rnacentral:lncRNA from 1 species
UCGAGCUGUCUCGCAAUAUUCUUUGCACCUCUCCCUCAAGGUAUCGAUUUCAUACCUCAAAUCACAAGGCAAAGCGCUACCUCUCUUUCUUAGUAUGUGGUCUCUUGAUUUCAUUCUUUUUCUCACUGGGUCCAUAUAAAGAGUUCAUGGCUAGGGCGAGUCAUAUUCUUUUCUCAAGAGAUGAGAACUAAAGAAAAAUAUUUCCCGACUUCCUUAACUCAAAUUUCAUUGAGCCUGGUUUAUUUCCUACUAAAAAGAUGAAAUUCAAUAUUCUUUUCACCCUCCGUUAGGCGCAUAAUAUGGAUUUCUCAAUCUUCUUUGAGCCCUCCGUUAGGCGCAAAGUUCGGUUAAUUACGGAAAGUCCUCCGGACUACUUCUGUUAAUUACGGAUGGUCCUACUUCCAUAUGGAUAGUCCUACGGAUAAAUCCUCCGGACCCUGGACCUUUCUUUGGCCCUGCGGACUCCGGACUCCGGACUGGAAGAUUUCCGCUUUCUUUUUCAAUAGGAGAGGAUCGGGCCCGCUAACCCUAUCAUCGGGGAAGGAGGAAUCGGGUAGCUGAUCGAUCGGAAGAAGUCUUUCUCUUGCAGCUUGACCAAAGGAUCUCUUAUCCAGUAUCCAGAGAUGUGUUGCCGAAGCAAGCGAGAACAAAGUAAGGAAGAGGAAGGAAUAAGGCUGGCUAGCUAGGUCCUAAUCUGAUUAAAGGCUAAGUUGAAUCAAUACCAGAAGUAGACUUAGCAGAAGUUUAUGUGGAAGUGGUUUGUGGAAGCUCUUUCUCUUUGGUAACUGAGAUACCUUCUUUCGUCUUUUAGUGGAAUGAAACUCAUCUGGAGCUUUGAUUUUAGGAGUAUUAAGACCGCUCCGAAGGACUACUAUUUUAGUGGAAUAAGACUCGUCGAUCAUUCUUUCGAUAAUUCUUUGAUUGGGAAUAUUAGUUAAGACUCGUCCGGAGCGCUCCAUAUUAAGCUACGGAGGCCCCAUAAGACAGGGAUAUUCUUUUCUUUGGAUAGUCCUUCGGACUGAUUAAUGGUCUCAUUGAUAAGGACAUAUAGAAUGAAGCGAAGGACUUCUUUAUCCAUUGAAUUUAGCCGACCUCAAUGAGUGAAAAGAAUUAUCUCAGCUCUUUAUUUCUAAAAAGUGGGCAGUCGCUUCGCUUCGCGCCUUGACUCCGGGGGUAGGUUUAGUAUAGUAGGUUUGGAAGGAAAGCCUAUGGUCGAAACCCCAACUCGUCUUAGUCUCGAAUUGACUCUGCCGGAUUAAGUUGCUGGAUUUCUUCUUUCAGUAUCGCCUUAAAUGAUUUAUGGGAUUAAGAUAAGAGGACAUGAUGUCCCCUCGAAAAGAAGGUUGAAUAGUGGCUCGACUGAGUUGUAGAAGGAGAGAGAUCGGGAUAAAAGGUUCAAAGAUUCCUUCUUGCACUCCUUAAGAGUGACGGCUUUUUUCUUUUCCUCUCUAUCUACUUUCAUCCUAUAUAUUAGCCGACUGAUUUAUGGAACUAAAUCUUUCUGGGAGUCCCAUAAAUAAAUAAAUAGGGAUAUAAAGAAGUCCUUCGGUCCUCAAUGAUUCUGGAGGGAUAGGCUUUCUUCCUUCCCCUAUUAGCCCUUUUUAGGUUCCUUAGGCUUUCCUACUUUCUUCAGUGGAUAGUCGGACUCCUCCGCUCCGCCAUAAGAAAAGCCCACUACGCUACGUAGUCUUAUCUUCUUCUUCUUCUUAUUCUACUAAAAUAUCCUAUUAUUAUACAAGAAUCAAACUCCUCCUUCUCCUCAACGAAAGUAUGAAAGGACUCAAAUUCUGAUCGCCAUUCUCUUCUUUGCUCUUCUCGCAAUAUUCUUUGCGCCUGAGAAAGACAGGUUCAAGUGCUCAUUAACGAGAAUGAAAGAAGCUAAAAAUUCAUCUGCUAGAUUUCAGACGGAGUUCAAUCCCAGAAUAUCUAAGAAAAGAAGAAAGGAGUGCAAACGAAAACUAAUGGAUUUCAUAGUCCUUCGGACGGACUACCGCACCUCAAUUCAUGAAAUAUUCUUUGUCAAUAUUCUUUUCACCUCCGGAGCCUCUCUUUUCUUUCUGUCUUCCCCGUCCUCCGGACUAUUCAACCUAUUCCCCGUGAGACUCAGAUUACUAAUUCUCUGUUUGAGACUGGAUCGCAUAUGGUCUGACUCAUUUUAUCGCAAGAUCGAAGACAAUAUCCAUUCUGCCCGCUCCCUUCUGAUUGAUCUCUUGACUGCUGAAAAUCUUCCUUUUCCCCGCUCCGUGGGCUACGCUAUGGGAAGAGUUAGUCCGAGACUUUCCAGUUGAGAUAUUCAAACCUAUCCUUGACUCGUACAGCUUCAUGAAAAUACAAUAUCUAGUACACAAUCACCUUUAUAUUGGCGUCGGCCUAGGCCAGUGAAAAGCCUAUGGUACGAGAGAAAAUGCUUUAGGAAGGGGGGGGGCCCGUGGAUCGGAGCGAAGCAGCUCACUAUAAGAGUUGGGCGCUACAGAGGUUAUGAAAUAACUCGACUGAAAGGAGAGGGGCGAAGAGACUCGACCGUAGGGAGAGGGGCUCCGGUAUCGGUGAAUAUGCUCUCCCGUGCAGGUUAGUUCCCGAGAGUCCGCCUAUAAAUGAACUUUGCUCCGUUUUAGAGUCCUUCGGUUAAUUACGGAUGGUCCUACUUCGGUUAAUUACGGAUGGUCCUACGGAUAAAUCCUCCGGACUACUUCCCUCCAUAUGGAUGGUCCUACGGAUAAAUCCUCCGGACUACGGAUAAAUCCUGCGGACUCCGGACUCCGGACUACUUCGGUUAAUUACGGAUGGUCCUACGGAUAAAUCACCUGGACCUUUCUUUGGCCCUGCGGACUCCGGACUCCGGACUACGGAUAAAUCCUGCGGACGUAGGACUCCGGACGGGUCAAAGAAUUUGAGAAGCUGCGACGGAAAGGAAAUAGUGGAUGGACGAGUCCUCCGGACCGGACGACUAUGAAGAAUAUUUGAAAAAGAAAGAAGAUUUGAGGUGCAAAGAAUAUUGCGGAAAGGAAUCUUCGACAAAUCUCAUUACUACUACUAAUAGAAGAAAAGCCUAAAAUAAGCACAUUUGCAUCCGUCCUCAGUCGCAAAGUUCAUUUCUAGAAGGCUCAAAGGAUAUUGAGCGAAAGGCGCCAUAAGACAGGGAUAUUCUUGGACUCAUUUCAUGGGGAAUUUGGGCAAGACGCCUCUAUCUGAGAGUCGAGCUACUUCAAUCCGUACGUGAUCCUACUUCUUUCAUCAAAUGAAUAGCCCGUAACCAGAAGACCAAGAGCUAUGGAUAAUGCGAGCGAGACGUAAAGAGAUCAUGACUCGAUUCCCAUCUUCUUGCUUUAAUGGGACUAGGGCUCAUUCCACUUAUUAUCUUACCUCCUUCUCAAAUCAAAUUCUUUGAGCAAAAUCAAGCUCCCCUAAUGGAUAGUCCUUCUUCGCAAAUUCUUUGCGCCUGUCUCGCAAUAUUCUUUGCUGCACCUUGCUGACUCAUGAAACUCAUAAUCCUAUCUACAGAGCAUAUGAGAUGAUAAGAAGAUCGGAAACUUCUCUUUCUUCUUCGGCAACGGAUAAUUCAACCUCCACUAACCGCUGAAUACCUCUGUAGCAUCCGAUCCGCGAGACCUCUUCUCCUGCCUGCCGGAUAGCUGCUUCUAACCGCGUAGUGGGCAGGGAAUGCCCACUCCUCCUCUUGUUGGAACCUUUAUUCCGACUAAUAAUUGUAUCUGAGUUCCGAUUCUUCUCUCUCUUUCUUCAAGUUCGGGAUCCGGAACGAUUGAUCGUACUUAUUCAACAGGUAAUUCCCUUUUUCUCCUGAUAAAGAAAGACCCCAUCAUUCCCUUUCCGGCUAGUCCUACUCACAGAAAGACUAUCAAAAACCUCCCUCCUCCGCCGAAAGAUGAGUCUGAUACCCGCAGCUUUCUUUCAUAUUCCUUCUAUGAAGUUGGUCGUAUUCGCCCCUGAUACAGAGAAUACCUGCCUCCAUAAUUACGUAACUAGUCCUAUCACUGAAAGAUCUCAUUUGACUGAUUCCCCGCUCCGUGGUAUCCGCUUGCCCUCGUAAACUCUGGACUGAUGAUCAUUCCUAUCCUACAGAGCUGAACUUUUGGAGUACGAAAGGAAUCCCUCCCAGGUUUCUGCUCGCCAGAAGACGAGAAAGACGAGACCAUGAGGCGAGAUGGUAACUACCUUUUAAGGAGUUCAGGCAGUUGAGAUCAGAAGCUGCUCGAUUCCCUUCCCCUCUCAAGAGUCCGUCCUCACUUUCCCUGCUUUGUUUGAAGGCGAAGUUCUCACCGCCUCAAUGAACAAGGGGUUUUCUAAUAGUCUUGUAAAUCAGAAAAAUCCUAUUAGUAGUUUAGUUGGAGGCAGCUAUCUCUCCCAAGCCUUGUGUAAUUCAAGCCGAAUAUACCGCCCCGUAAUACCGCGUUCAAGCUAAUAGUUUGCGUAGAAUUCUCGAUUAAUAUUCUAUUAGGAGAACUCUCUUCUCAUCUCUUGAGAAAAGAAUAUGACGAGACCUAGCCCUAGCCAUGAACUAUUUCUAUAGACCUAGUGAGAAAAGGAAUGAAAUGACUCGACUAAAGAAAGAGGAAGGAAUGCUCUUGCCUCUGAAUUCCGAAACCUUUCUGCUCUUGAAGUAGAGUUGAGGAUGCUGAUCGAUAGGGAAUGCGCUCGAUCCUCACCCCUCUCCUCUCGCCUGGUUCUCAAUUUCUUACGUAAAUACUUCCGCUGGACACAUUUCCAUAAGAGGUUGAAGAUUCCAUCUCUCACGAUCAGCCCACUACGCGGUAAGAGACUGAGAUACCUUCUUUCUAAAUCGGAAGUUUGAAGCGGGUCUCUCGGGGAGUCGUCGUUGAAAGGGAUGCUGCCUGCGGAAGUUGAAUCCAUUUCAGUUCCUCUACCUUCUUCGGAAGUUCUUGCUGAAGAAGUAUUUAGAUCGCCGCUCUGAGUUAUUAAUGAAAUUAAUUACUAGAAUACGACCCGGAAAGGUAGCGAUCGGAUUGACUCGGUGCGGGUAAGGUCUUGAGUCUUGAAGUGAGAGGAAAAGAGGAAAAGCUUACCGCGUAGUGGGUUGGACGCGCCUCAAGCUCAAACUAAGAAGAAAGAGUCUUUUUAGUCGGGAAUGAGAUGAGAAGGAAGUUAUCUUUGUAUGAGAUCGAUCAUAGGAUCGACCGGGAACAGGAAGACUACGAGGUCUCAGUUUGUUUUCUUAGUCUCAUAGGAAUUCUAUAAAGUAGAUAUUCCGGUAAGACCGCCAUAAAAGAUAGGGGGGAUUUAAUGAGUUGAAAGACGACCAGUGGGAGUCAUCAGACUUCCAACAAUCAGACUCAGAGGUGAGGCGCUCGACCUCUUUCAUUCUCGUAUUAUCUUAUCAUCUAUUAGUAAUAAGAAUCCCCUGCGAGCAUGCCUUCCUUUCGUACCGAUCGUCAUAGACAAAAGAUGGAUUGGGUCCUUAAAUAAAUACGAAGAAAGCAUGAAGUAAGCAAUUUCUUUUCUAGAGUUCUCAUUAUGUGAUAGAAUGAAAUGAGUGAGAUUUCUUUCCGGAAGUACGAAGAAAGCAUGAAUUAAGCAAUGAUAUAGGCCAGCUUAUCGUGCUUAUCUUCCUUCUAAGAGGAGCAUGAAAGUAAUAGCAAAGCUCAAAUACUUUGAUCCUCGAACCUCUUCUAUCUUCUACCGUAAUUCGCCAAUCUCGAUGAAAGAGCAGGUAACUACCCCCCCCUCUUUCUUUACGAUUUACGGGUACUUACUCGUGCACGGAAUCAAAGAAGAGGCAGGCGAAGCAUUUUUGAAAUGAGAUCAGCAAGGUGCAAAGAAUAUUGCGAGACCACUAAAUAGAAGACUUAGCCUCAUUCUUCGGCCUUUAUUUGCGUAAAGAUAGUAUUAAGCAUCGAUUGACAAAGAAAGUACUCCAGUACCCAUUGAAAGUUCAGAAGUCCAGCUCUUUGUCAAUACGAACCAACCCUAGCUUGCUUGCCUUCAACUAGAAACUAUUCUGAUUUAGCUUCCACCUUGAAAGACGGAAAAAAAAGAUAGCUAAAGCAAUUCCAUUCUCAGUCAAGUCUAAUCGUACGAAUCCAUAUUCACCUUUUCUUUGCCGCCUUGAUUUUGCAAUAUUCUUUCUCAAUCUUCUUUGAGCCUUAUAAUUGAACCAGAUCCCCAUUAUUAAGCUACGAAGGCCCCAUAAGACAGGGAUAUUGAUUUCAUGAGUUCAAUAUUCUUUGAACCUUAUUCUUAGGCGAAGGACUGAUUUAUCAAGCUUAACUGAACCUUGUUCUGCGCUCUUUAUUUCUUUUCAAAAAGUGGGCAGUCGCUUCGCGCCGCGUAGUGGGGAACUUCCGCGUAGUGCUUUCUGGAUCGAAAGGUUAUCAGCCGAAAGAGCGAAUUCGCACACUGCUGAAAGGCAUAUUUCAUUGCACCUCAAUUCAACUCAUCUGGAGCUUUGAUUUUAGUCUUUCCUUUUGAGUUUGGGAAUCUACUUUGUCCCGCGUAGUGCUUUCUUUAUUGUCGGGAUGAGGAAGUAGGAAGUGGUAUUUCUACGAAUGAAAUGUGUCUCGCAAAUGCAAACAAGGAUUUCCCAUCAUAAGAAAGUUCACGGAAAGCCCUUGCCCUUAUGACUUCAUAGGCUUCGCUUCGCGCCUUUAUCUUUUUCUUCCUUAUUUUUUUGAGGUCUGCUCUCGCUGUGGUUGAAACCCUUGUUUCAGUAGAUUGAGUUCUUGUCUCCUCCCCGGUGGCUGUUGAAACCAGCUAUUAGAAAGAAGAUAGUUCAUUAUAUCAUAAUAUAUUCCCGUGUAGUGGGAUCCGCGCCUCGGGGAAGUGACCAUACACUUGACCAUAAAGAAGGGCAUUAGAAAGAAAGCUAGAAAAGGAGGAAACUUCAGCAUUACUAGUAAGCCCACGUAGCGGAGUAGUCGAGUCUAAAAAGGGUAGAUUCAUUCAAGGCAUAUUUCAUUGCGCCUCGUCCUUCCGCGCUCCGCUCCUUUUUAGUGGACGCUACUUGAUUAUGGGGGGAUGAGACCCAACUAUAAGACUUCGUCAUAUUGAAUUUCACCUUGCCUCCAGUUCCUUGCCUCCGGGAGUAGGUGAUGAGGUUUCGGACUUCUCCUUUUGACUCCUUUUGAGCUCUUUCUUUAUUCCUUUGAUUUUAGUAGGUUCAAUUCAAUAUUCAUGAAUUCAGGCCUAUCCAUUAGAGAAUUUGACUUGUUUCAAAAACAAAGGCUCCAGAUGAGAGGUGCCAUAAGACAGGGAUAUUCUUGAGUCACUAAAGAGUAUUUUCUUGUAACAAAGGCUCAAAGAAUUUGAGGAUGGAUAGGAAAUCCUGAAAUCAGCCUAUCGUCAGGCCUUGGUGGGAAUAGCUGCAGCUAUUUCUUAAACAAGAACAGCCACUGACGAUUCAACUUCUGCAACUGCUACUGCCACAAGAACGGAUGCCUCUUCUUACAGUCGAUUCGACUAAUCCUCUCUUCGUGCCUAAUCCGAUACCUCCCUCUCCCGGGCAGCUGCUUCUCUCAAUUACUGUGACUGUCGAAAGACCGACUACGUCGAGCUCCCUCUUGCUAUGGGGAGAGCGCCUAUUCCAGUCCAGGAGAUCAUAGAGAGAAUAACCUCUUGGUCCAGCUACUAAUGAGUGCAGUGAACUACUCAUGAAAGAGAGAAGAUGGUGCUAUUCCCGCUACGUGGGGGUCGAGCGAGCUCAUACUCACUUCAUAGGCUUCGCUUUUGCCCUCGUUCCUCAACUGGGGGGAGGGGACCUCAUUCUUAGUCUUUUCCCUUGAACCCGACGAAAGAGGCUUUCUCCUAAGAAAUAAUCAGGGAUGGUGCAUCCUCAACUAAUGCCAAUGGGUCGAGGUCGAGCAUUCGCACCUCACCGAAAGGGCUACAGCUUCUACUCCAACAGCAACGUCUGCAACCGGAACAGCCACUCCAAUCAUUGAUAAGGAUCUUUGAACCUCUCGCAACUUCAGAAAGAGGAGCAAGAAAAGCAAGAGCUUACUCAUCAUCAUCAAAUUUCAUUGAUCCUCCGUCCCCCUUUCUUCUUUCAAAGAUUCCGAUUCAGUGAAUCAAAAGUACUUCUAUUCCGUUUGGGACCACUAUUCUCGCUACCGAAAGAACCCCGUAGACCUAUGAGUUCUAGCAGGAAGGAGGCGCGUCCGUCCCGAGUCCUAAGACUUUUGUCGAGCCGUUCCACUCAUCGGGUAAAUCAGGUCUCUGGCUGAAUAAUAUAGUUGUUGUUCGCGCUUCUUCUCGUAAAGAUGAAAGUGUACUCACCGAGUCAACUCCAACAAAGCCCGACCCUUUUUCAAAGAGUGACUUCGUUAUGACGGACAAAGAUACUCAACUAGGUAUGGACGAUCCGACCCAGCCGGAGGCUGAUUAUCUGACUUUAUCGUCUUCAGAUAUAAGAAGCUAAAUAGAGGUUUAUCAAGUCAAUAUUCUUUGAACCUUCGCAAUAUUCUUUGCGCCUUCGCUCAAUUCACAUCCAUAAAUAAAUAGGGGUUAGGAGCUUUCUGAUCCUUACUCUUUCUUUGCUUUCUCCUAGGCUUUCUUCUUUCUGGGAGUCUUCCUAUAUCUUUUUCUGAUAUAAGGAAUCAAACUCCGCUCUGCUUCUUUGCUUCCAAACCUCAAAAUCAGACGAAAGCACUUAAAGAUUGUACAGUUUAGCUUUGACUCUCAGACUCUUAUUCAUAGCCAUCCAGGAAAGAAAAGCAUGACUAGGGAUGUGCUUCUUACCCCAAAGAAGCUUGAACCAAGGGACAGUAUUACCAGGAAGAUGAAAGAGCUUCACUGUCUUAGCAACUGAAAACUGACCUCUGAGGCCAGAUAGUUCUAUCUUCAGUAACCUUGUCCAAAGUCACAUUACUAACAAUGUCUCUCCAAGCAUUAGACAGCAUCAAUGGCUACAAGAAGCCGAAAUGAUCAUCCUUCCAUACAGCAUUCAGCCUGCAUUUCUUGUUAACAUCAGCAUCUCUGCCGAAUACUGAGACAGAGGGUCAAAGAAUUUGAGAACUCGGAAGACUAAAGCUCAAGCGCGCACUAAGAAGAAAAAGGGUGAGGGCCGACGUUCUAAUGGAUAGGACUGAGGCGCAUCAAAAAAAGGGUUGAAGAUGACCUUGAUUUUUUGGACCCUUAUUUAUUGUUUAUUGAGGCGGUUCAAAUAUCGAGACCAGAGGAAGCAAAGAAGCUGCGAGAGGUUUCGGAAUCUCCGGCUCUUGUCCCAGUGACGUCUGAGGCAGUUGAGUAUUUAGCCGAUAUAGUUCUUUCUUCUCAAAUUCGCCUCUCCUUUCAGUCGAGCCUCAAUGCAAUAUUCUUUGCGCCUUUGAAUCUGCGAUAACAUUGAGAUUUCCCAUCACCGACUGGAAGUCGCUAUUUUCUUUCGUCUUGCUCUUCGAUAAUUCUUUGAGCCUCCUUCUACCUCUUUUACACGGAGCGGGUUGGGAAGGCCUCAAGCAUACCAUCGAAUGCCACCAGUCAACCGAAGGCUGCAAUAGGUCCGAUCGCGCCGGUGCCGAUUCAAUUAUUCACCUGGAGACAAGGCUAAGAACAUCCCGCCGAAUGUGAACAAUUCGAAGAAUGUUUAUGUGAAUGCCCUCAGGACGCAUCCUAUGGUAUGCUUUCUGGCCGCUUUACCUCGUAUUGCUAGCGGUCGUGGGUGGCCCUGCGUCGCUCGUCACGUCCGCUUGUAGUGGUCACACAGGCAGUGCCUUUUUCUAUCCUAAAAGAAGGGUAAACCGAGAAACCCGUAGGCUUUCUGUCUUUUCUUUUUGCCUAUUUUAAGUCAUCGACCGCCUUGAUUUAUGUUUUCUCGCUCGCUUUCUCUGCCCUUCGCUUCCUGAUACCGGAAGGGGUAAAGCGGAAGUUCACUCCUAAGACUUGUAAUCAUCUUGCGUGACGGAGAGCCUUCGUCCUUGUCUUGAAUAUCCAUCCUGGACCGGAUAUCCCCGUGCGUCUCAGCAUUAAGCCUAUGCCUUAAAAGAUCCGGCGGACCCCAUCCUAGGGCAAGGUGAAGCCAGUAUGCUUUUUCCAGCUUUUUGCCCCUUUCGUACUGAGACUGAGGCUUCCGUGAUCCUUUCCUCUCUCCGCACCGAGAUAUAUAUCCAAUCGGGCAAUUCUUCCUUGAGCGAAGGAGUCAGACCUCCUUCGGCCUUAGCCUUUUUUCGGCAUUUUGGCCGAAGUGCAAAGUUAGCGAGCGAGCUUCCCCCACUACGCGGGCAGUCGGAUGUGAACUGCUUGUUCAACGAGAAUACCAGAGUUAGAAGAAUUAACCUUCCCACGCAGCGGUGACGAUGCUGUAGGUUCUUAGUGUACUUAGAUUGCAUGGAUUUUUCUUCUUUCUAUAUUUUAGAUAUACUGCUUGGCUAGCUCAGAACGCUAACGCUAAUUUGGAGAAGAUUUUGCAGGUUUGUGAAACCUUUAAGUAAAAGUAAUUAUCCGACUUCAAGCCUCCGGCAACUCUUAGCUAACCCGAAGAGAAAAGGUAAUUCCCGCUCUCGCAAUAUUCUUUGCGCCUUUAUUUAUCCUUUCUUCUUUUCUUAGAUAAAUGCGCUUCGCUUCGCAAUAUUCUUUGCGCCUUUAUUUAUCCUUUCUUUAUCCGUCCGGAGUGCCAAAGAAAGGUCCAGGGUCCGGAGUCCGCAGGAUUCUUAUCCGGAGGACUAUCCAUAUGGAAGUAGUCCGGAGGAUUUAUCCGUAGGACCAUCCGUAAUUAACCGAAGCAGUCCGGAGUCCGGAGUCCGCAGUGCCAAAGAAAGGUCCAGGGUCCGGAGGAUUUAUCCGUAGGACUAUCCAUUAGAAGCAGGAUUUAUCCGGAGUCCGGAGGAUUUAUCCGUAGGACCAUCCGUAAUUAACCGAAGUAGUCCGGAGGAUUUAUCCGUAGGACCAUCCAUAUGGAGGGAAGGAGGACUAUCCAUAUUCAGGAGCGGAAUCAAGAAUAGACCCGUCAGUAUCCGGACCAUAAACUCAAACUAGAACUGAUCCAUGUGAAUUUCUGGGAUAGGCUUGAUUCUUUCAUUGCGUUUUCCCGGCUUUUUUGCUUCUAAAUAGGACUAAAUCAAAGAUUGAUAUUUAACGAAAAUUGUCUAAAAAUGACGGAUUUUUCAUGAUUUCUUGCUACUUUAUAGGCCCAAAACCUAGCAAAAUCUGGGAUUUCCCUCCGUCUUCAAUCUAGUAUUGAACUCCGUAAAAACAAGGUGAUUCAAUCAGAAUUAUUCUUUCAUUAUCGUUAAUGAGUGAAUUAUUCUUUCAUUCUCGUUAAUGAGCUUCUUUCUUUGCGCCUAACGUCUGCUUUAAAGGGAUCAUGACUUUCGCAUAUUGAAUUGCGCCUCCUCCUUCAGCAUAAUCUAUAAGAAGAUUUGCACCUAUCAUGACUCUUUCGCAAUAUUCUUUGCUCCUAACUACGGGGUCCAGACUCCCUGAUGGAUAGUCCUUCGGACCUGUCUUCUCGCCUUACUAUUUUUCUCAUUCUUCCCGUCCUCUCCUCCACUCUCAGUCGAGCCCAUGGAGAUGCGUAGAAGGAUGAAUUCAAUAUGAGAGAAGAAGAUUUUCGGUUCAUUUUCUGUCUGAACUUUUUUGAUUGCUUUCUUCUUUUUCUCGAGACUAAUUGUACGGAUUCUCAUCUAGAUUUCGUUAGUCUUUAGUUUCCCUAGUUUCUAGUCGGACUAAAAUGAAAAUAGUCCGAGAUCAUUCUUUGAGCCUCUUUCAUUGAUCUAUUUUGAUGCUUCCUUGCCAGCAUCUUUCUUUCUCCCAUGCUUUCCGUUGGUCAACAACCAACCACUGCUCUCUAUAGUUCUUCACUACUCGUACAGGAAGGAUUUCUGUCUGGAGGGAAUUUUCUUGAGAAAAAGAAAGAAUGCCUCAACUGGAUAAAUUGACUUAUUUCACACAAUUCUUCUGGUCAUGCCUUUUCUUCUUGACUUUCUAUAUUCCCAUAUGCAAUGAUGGAGAUGGAGUACUUGGGAUCAGUAGAAUUCUCAAACUACGGAACCAACUGCUUUCACACCGGGGGAAGAACAUACGGAGCAAGGACCCCAACAGUUUGGAAGAUCUUUUGAGAAAAGGUUUUAGCACCGGUGUAUCCUAUAUGUACUCUAGUUUCAAAGAAGUAUCCCAAUGGUGUAAGGCCGUCGACUUAUUGGGAAAAAGGAGGAAAAUCACUUUUCUCUCUUGUUUCGGAGAAAUAAGUGGCUCACGAGGUCUCGAAAGAAAUAUAUUCUAUUUGAUCUCGAAGUCCUCAUAUAGCACUUCUUCCAAUCCUGGAUGGGGGAUCGCUUGUAGGAAUGAAAUAAUGCUAAUCCAUGUUCUACACGGCCAAGGAAGCAUCGUUUUUUAAUCAAGGUCGUUCGGACAAAAUAGAAGUUGCGCUUUCUUGAUUCUUAGUAGAAAGCAUUACAAGAGAGAUCAAUAAGAGAAAAAGCGAAGGAGCAGAGCCAAGUUCGAACUAAUAGGAGCGGAGCCAAGUUCGGAACUAAUGGACGUAGUAGGCUCCCCAUAAAUCAGAGGUUAGGAGCCCCUGUUCAUUGACUUUAGAUAUUAUGUCUGAAAAUAUCCUCUUAUUCACUUUGAAUUUCAGCCUAUCCUUUUUAUUCAAUUCAAACCGCGGAGCUCCUAUUCUUUUCAAAGUAAUAGCCGCACUUUGCACCUCCCGCUCUUCAUUUGCAAAGAUGUCCUUAUCAAUGAGACGACUGAGGCUCAAAGAAGAUUUCGAAAAACAAGGCUCCAACUAACCGUCCGGAGGACUAUCCGUAUGAACCUAGCCUUCGGACCAGUCCGGAGGAUUUAUCCGUAGGACUCUAAAACGGAGGACUAUCCAUUAGAACCAUUAGAAUAGAUCAAAAGAUCGUCUUGACCCAGCCUCCGGCUUCUUAUUCCGCUAUCAAAGUAUUCCACUACUCAAAGUAUUCCACUAAGGAAAUGCGCUUCUCACGCAUAUUUCAUUGCGCCUCUUGAGCUCUCUUCUCUCUGUCUUCCUCUAUUUUCUUCUUAUUCUGAUUCUUCCGAUAAUAGAAAACCUUGAACUCUCUUUAAAGAGGCAGAAAGGUAACUGAAAGACUCAUAAGUGCAGCUGUCAAUAUUCUUUGAACCUUGUUCAUUCAGGCUAGGCUUUCCUCUGAAUUCAAACCUUAUAUUCCCUUUCUCGUUGUUCAUAACUAUUCUAUGUGAAUGAUCCCUUGUUCAUUGAGGCGGUCUUCUAUGUUUACAGGUUUGAAUAGAAAGAGUCAUCCCUUCCCACGUGUAAAGUUUCAUAAAUUAAUGCUGCCUCAACCAUAGGCUUUUCUCAAUUCUAUGUGGCCGCCGGGCGGCGCAGAACGCACUAAUCCGCGACCAACAAGUUUUCCGAAACCAAACUGAAGAGAAUUGUUACUUUCCAAAAAUGCUUGCUGAAAAUCAUAGGCUUUCUCCUUUCAGUUUCUCGUAUUCAGUCUCAGGAUAGGCUUUCUUCAGUAUUUAUUAGGUUCUUGGGAGAAUCCUCGUCCAAGACCCCACGGAGCGGGAGAAUCCUUCGUCUGAAAAAGAAGAGAGCCUACUAAAAUAAAACAGAAGACGUAGAAGUCUGCAAUUGAGAUUCAUUCAAGAAGACGGAGCGGAAUAAAGAGAAGGUAAAGUCAGAAAAAGUGAAAGGAAUAGGAAAGCAGUUAAAGGAAGUUCAAGGCUCCCCGGUUUUCAAAUAUGAUGAACUCAAUUCAUUCAGCCUUAACUCGCAUAUUUCAUUGCGCCUCAUCUAGAGCUUUUGUUUUUGUAGUCGCAAUAAGACAGGUCCGAAGGACAGACGGGUUAAUAUGGAUAGUCAUCUGGUCCCUUUUAUUUUGUUCUUUGCUCCUAACGUUCCCUCAAAUUCUUUGAGCCGUCCGGAGGACCAUCAAAGAAAGGUCCAGGUGAUUUAUCCGUAGGACUAUCCAUUAGAAGUAGGACCAUCCGUAAUUAACCGAAGUAGGACUAUCCAUUUUCAGUCGGACUAUCCAUAUGGAAGGAGGACUUUCCGUAAUUAACCGAACAAAGCUCCUAACUACUAAUGGAAAGGACUGAGGACGUCCGAAGGACUCUAAAGCGGACGGGGGGGAUUUCCGCUUAAAAAGUCUUAUUCCAAUAAUAUCCGCGGGGGUAGAUUCAAUCUUCUUUUCACCUCCGUCUCAUUCCCUAAUGGAUAGUCCUUCGGACCUGUCUUAUGGCGCAGUUCUUCCCUCGCAAUAUUGGGCCUCAGUAGCUUAAUAUUCAGGGGUGGAAAUCUUGUUGAAGACGGAGGUUCAUAUGGAUAGUCCUUCGGACCAGUCUUAUGGCGCAUCUGGACCCCUUAUAAUUGGGCCAUAGAUCUUUGCACCUUGUUUUUCUUCUUUGCGCCUAACGGAGGGGAGGGGAUAGACUUUUGACUUUUUCUUCCUGAUCAUCGACCGCCUUUUUUUUGAUUCUUUUCACCUUGUUCAUUGAUUGCGCUUGCACGAGUAUUCUCAAUAUUCUUUGAACCUCUCCUCUGUCUAUUAGAAUAGCGAAUAGUCCCCAGAUCCAAGGCGAAGGACUAGUCUGAAAUCAACCAUAUUAACCUGUGGAAUCUUUGAUACAUCCACAUUGUUCAAAGAAAGCCUAUCCUCCGUCCUUUUUCAAUAUUCUUCGAUCAUUCUUUUUCAAUAUUCUUUCUCAACAAUAUCCCCCACGGUGCGGUAGUCCGUCCGAAGGACUAUUCAAUCCAUUAGUUUUCGCUUGCACUCCUUUCUUCUUUUCCGCAAUAUUCUUUGCUCCGAUCAUUCAUAGAUUAUGCUGAAGGAGGUCCUCCGGACUAUCCAUAUUAGUGACCGCGGAAGAAAAACAAAGGUCUAUAUGAACUAGUUAGGCGAAGGACAGACAGGUUAAUAAAUAUGGAUAGUCCUUCGGACCUGUGGAAUGUAAAAGAAAGCCUAUCCGUCUCAUUGAUAUUGAUAAGGAACCCUCCUCUUGAGUCUGAAAUCUACCCCUAUUUAUUUAUGGAUUUCAUUGAAGGCGAAGGCGCAAUGAAAUAUGCGUUGACGAGCGCAAAGAACUAAAAAGAAAGGUCCAGAUGACUAUCCAUUAGGGAAAUUAAGGAGCAAAGAUCAUGGCCCACUCCUCCUUCAGCAUAAUCUACGAAGCGCAUUUAUCUAAGAAAAGAAGAAAGGCUCUUUGAAUAUUGAGAAUAUUGCUGGAAGAUUUGCACUGGGGGAUAUUGAUUUGAGAGAAAGAUUAGACAUUGAGCCUCCUUCUACGUCUUUUAGAUAAAAAAGAGAUUUUUCUUCCAUAAGGAUGAAAACGAGUCCUCCCCUUGUUCAUUGAGGUCCGCUCCCUCCUUUUGAGCUUUCUUCUUUAUUAUCCCGCUCCGUCUUCAGCUCCGUGGGCUUCCUUUCAUAUUCAACCGCUACGUGGGAGAUAGAAGAAAAUCAAUGAAGAAGUCAAUGCCCACUACGCGGGGAAGGAGACAAGACUACGUAGCUACUUUCAGUGGAUAGGUCGUCCGGAGGACUUGUUUUUAUCCAUCUGAGGAACUCAAACUUAUGGCCUCCGUAGUCCGCUCCCUCCUUUAUUUUCAAGGUUUCAUAUGAAAGGUUUGAAGUUAGAAGUGAAAGGAAGAAAAAGUCAAUGGAAGUCCUCCGUCUCUCUUCUUUAUGGUCCGGAGCCUUCGAUCAUUCUUUGAGCCUCCAGACCUACUAGAGAAAGCCCCACUCCGCGGAAGAAUCCAGAAAGCUAAGCUUGAUAAAGUCCUCCGCCUAAUUCAAUGGAUCUAAUGGACGCAAUAUUCUUUGCACCUGGACCCAGCCUCCAGCUUCUUAUUCGACGUUAGGAGUAUUAAGACCGAAGGACAGACGGGUCCUCCGGACCUGUCUGUCCUUCUAUAUAUUCUUUGCACCGCUCCGUGGGUCCUUUCCAUUAGUAGUUAGGAGUCUUAAGACCUCAGUCCUAUCCAUAUUAACCCGCGCUAAGUUCCAUUAAGAGAAAAUUCUUUGCUCUCUGCGACUCAAAGUAAUAGUAUUCAACAAUAUCCCUGUCUUAUGGCGCCUCGCAUAAAUACGGCUUCGAUCAUUCUUUGAGCCUCCGUCGCAAGUCAAAUUCUCUAAUGGAUAGGCCUUCUCCUUCGCCUAUAAAUUCCCAUAUUAAGCUACGAAAUAAAGAAAGCACUACGCGGGAAGAACUGAUCAAUGAAAUUUGAUUGAUUGAAUUUCAUCAUAUCAUAUUUGAAAAAGAAAGAAUAUUGAGGUGCAAAGAAUAUAUAGAAGGCGCAAAGAUCUAAAAAGAAAGGUCCAGAUGACUAUCCAUAUUAACCCAGAGAAAGUUCAGUCAGUUUCAGUGGAAUAAAGGGAAAGCCUAUCCAACAACAUUUCAGUGGAAUAGGAGAAAGGAAGUCCUCCGCUCCGUUGGAGUUGAAUUGGUCCUACGGGAAGAAAAUCAAUGAAGAAGUCAAUGCCCACUACGCGGGGUUAAAGUGAAAGAGGAAAGCCACUAAAAACCUCAAAAUAAUACGGAAAGCCUAGCCUUCUACGGCCUCCAAACAAAAAAAGCUUUACUAGACUCAAAUUCUUUGAGCCUCCGGAGCCUCAAAAAUAUAGCUUAAAGGAAGAGGUGCAAAGAAUAUUGCGUGAUUGAUGCCUCCGUCUCUCUGAUUUAUGGUUAUGGUUCUCCUGAACCUACUCCCUACGGCAAGGCAGAAGACUGCCAGAAAGAAGAAAGCCUAGGAGAAGACAACUCCCAGAAAGUUUGAAAGUGGAAUCAAAUAACUAAGAACGAAGAUUUGUUGGGAAGGAAAGCCGUCAUAAGUACUUUCGUCUUAUUUUUAGUCCUCUUUCAUUGAUCUAUUUUGAUGCCAAGAAGAAACUUCAGGAUUACUAUCAAUGAACAAGGGAAGCACUACGCGGAAGUUUCAGUUCCUCAGUCGGAAUAUGGACCUCGCAUAUUGAAUUGCGCCUUCUCUCCUUUCAGUCGAGCCCUCAGUCCUAUCCAUUAGACUGCACCUCGCAAUAUUCUUUGCGCCUGCGCCUGGACCUUUCUUUGACUAGAAACUGAAAGUAGGCUUUCUUCUAAUAGUAGAAUAAGAGGAUAUUUUCAGAGAAGAGAUAAUCAAGAUAAAUAGCUAAGGAUAUUCUUUCUUCCCGUGUAGUGGGCUUACGGAGUGGGUCGCAAAGUGAAUUUCUAGGCGAAGGCUGAAUGAAUUGAGUUGCGGCUAUUACUUUAUUUGGAGCGAAGGUGCAAAGAAUAUUGCGUGGAUGGAUAGGUGCAAAGAAUAUUGCGAGGCUCAAAGAAUCCCACGGAGCGGGAUAGUCCUCCGGACUGUUAAGGCUCAAUGCAAUAUGAGUGAUUCCUAUUCCCGCCUUCUACGCCAUAAAUCAGUCGGAAUAUAGAGGGCUCUAUCCAAGGAAAGCCUAGGGCUCGGUCAAAGCAACGAGAUCUUUUUCUAGUUAGACUUCUAUCAAUGCAAUGAAAGAACCAUCCCUUCCUAUUUUUGAGUCCUGUCAGAUAGAAAGAAAAUGAGACCCCAAAGAGCCCUUCUUUACCACUUUAGCGGGUGGGGGUGAAGGGGGGGUUUACAUACAACCGAGGCAAAGUGGUUUAUGAUUGAAUCUCAGAGGCAUUCUUAUCAUUUGGUAGAUCCAAGUCCAUGGCCUAUUUCGGGUUCACUCGGAGCUUUGGCAACCACCGUAGGAGGUGUGAUGUACAUGCACUCAUUUCAAGGGGGUGCAAGACUUCUCAGUUUGGGCCUCAUAUUUCUCCUAUAUACCAUGUUCGUAUGGUGGCGCGAUGUUCUACGUGAAUCCACGUUGGAAGGACAUCAUACCAAAGUCGUACAAUUAGGACUUCGAUAUGGUUUUAUUCUCUUUAUCGUAUCGGAGGUUAUGUUCCUUUUUGCUUUUUUUCGGGCUUCUUCUCAUUCUUCUUUGGCACCUACGGUAGAGAUCGGAGGUAUUUGGCCCCCAAAAGGGAUUGGGGUUUUAGAUCCUCGGGAAAUCCCUUUUCUUAAUACCCCUAUUCUCCUUUCAUCCGGAGCAGCCGUAACUUGGGCUCAUCAUGCUAUACUCGCGGGGAAGGAAAAACGAGCUGUUUACGCUUUAGUAGCUACCGUUUCACUGGCUCUAGUAUUCACAGGCUUUCAAGGAAUGGAAUAUUAUCAAGCACCCUUCACUAUUUCGGAUAGUAUUUAUGGUUCUACCUUUUUCUUAGCAACUGGCUUUCAUGGUUUUCAUGUGAUUAUAGGUACUCUUUUCUUGAUCGUAUGUGGUAUUCGCCAAUAUCUUGGUCAUCUGACCAAGGAGCAUCACGUUGGCUUUGAAGCAGCUGCAUGGUACUGGCAUUUUGUAGACGUGGUUCGGUUAUUCCUAUUUGUCUCUAUCUAUUGGUGGGGAGGUAUAUGAAAGAACGAAAGAGUGGAUUGAGGAAUUCAAGCUCGAAGACAAAGAGAACCGGGCUUUUCCAAAGAAUUACAGCAGCUUUCCCACUCCCUCUCAUUAUUAUAUACCACAAGGUCUCUUCCACUUUCCUACCAAAUCUCUCUUUAUUCUGGCACAUAAAUUCAGGGAUCGAAGAGAUUAUGGCAGAUCAUGUUCACCAAGAAAUGACCCGAAAUUGGAUCUUGGUCUAUUUGAGAUUCUUCCUUUUCAUCUCCAUCAAAGAUCUUUUCUUGUCUCUCAUUUCUUUUCCGAAUCAAUCGAAGAACCUAAUGGACUCAUCCUUGCCUGCUAUGAAAGAUAUCGGCCUUGCGGAAGGAAGGAAGUGAAUUUUGAGUUUCAGUUUUGUGUAUAAAGGUUUGAAACUCGAUCUCCCUCCCCUGAUUUAUGGAUGUUCCUACCAAGAACAUCGAUCAGUCUAGGCUUUCCUCUUUAUAGUACUCCGAAGGCUCCGUCGGACCCCUUAUUCAUUUCCUCCUAUCGAGCCUUUGUCCUCUUAUUCCUUGAAUCUGAUCUUCCUUAUUCAUUCGUCUUCAUAUUCUGGAGCUAAGACCCUUCCAAUGCUCCCUUUCGCCAUGCAUAAACUGCACCGCUCUAAGAAUUUCUCUAAAUAGAGAACGGAUACGCCCAUAAGGAAUGCUCAUUGCCCAAAAGACCUUUUCGACAUCAAAAUGUAAUGUAAUGAGAGUGUGGAUUCUCAAUUGUAACCUCCCAUUGCUCGAGAUCCGAUAGCAUGCAGCAACUAGUUGUAAGAAAGAGGGGGGAGUAUCAAGAGAUAUUUCAAGUGUGCAGUGAGGAGUAAUAGGUAGCCAUACUUAACUCGGCCCAAGCAAUGCCCAUCCCAUGCCUUUCUUGGUUGGACCAACCCAACCGGCGAUUUCCGUCUUCCUUCAUUGGGAGAGCAAGAACAAGUCUCUCUUUUUUUGGGGGGGGGAGCAGAGCAGUCAAAGAAUAAACCAAAGAAAAUGAUUGUUCUCAAAUGGCUAUUCCUCACAAUUGCUCCUUGUGAUGCAGCGGAACCAUGGCAAUUAGGAUCUCAAGACGCAGCAACACCUAUGAUGCAAGGAAUAAUAGACUUACAUCACGAUAUCUUUUUCUUCCUCAUUCUGAUUUUUGUUUUCGUAUCACGGAUCUUGGUUCGCGCUUUAUGGCAUUUCCACUAUUCUCAAAAGAAAAUACCGCAAAGGAUUGUUCAUGGAACUACUAUCGAGAUUCUUUGGACCAUUUUUCCUAGUAUCAUUCCGAUGUUCAUUGCUAUACCAUCCUUUGCUCUCUUAUACUCAAUGGACGAGGUAGUAGUAGAUCCAGCCAUGACUAUCAAAGCUAUUGGACAUCAAUGGUAUCGGACUUAUGAGUAUUCUGACUAUAACAGUUCCGAUGAACAGUCACUCACUUUUGACAGUUAUACGAUUCCAGAAGAUGAUCUAGAAUUGGGUCAAUCACGUUUAUUAGAAGUGGACAAUAGAGUGGUUCUACCAGCCAAAACUCAUCUACGUAUUAUUGUAACACCUGCUGAUGUACCUCAUAGUUGGGCUGUACCUUCCUCAGGUGUCAAAUGUGAUGCUGUACCUGGUCGUUUAAAUCAGAUCUCCAUUUUGGUACAACGAGAAGGAGUUUACUAUGGUCAGUGCAGUGAGAUUUGUGGAACUAAUCAUGCCUUUACGCCUAUCGUCGUAGAAGCAGUUCCUAGGAAAGAUUAUGGUUCUCGGGUAUCCAAUCAAUUAAUCCCUCAAAGCGGGGAAGCUUAAGUGGAAAUGAAAGACAUAAUAUCUCAGUGAGGGAAAAGGAGGGAGACCACUCAAUUUCAGGCUGAACUCGCUCGCUCUAACGCUUCUUUAGUAGACAAGGAGUUCCGUGCAUAAGCCCCUUUAGAGAGAGGGGGGAGUCCUACACGAACUCGUAAGUCAAGUACUAGACGAGCCUUGUCUACGAAGCAGAGCGCCCUCGUCUUGCUUUUGGCGAAGCUUAACGAACUAGAUAAUAGGCAUUUUUUUAUGGUAGGAAGACUACUUUUUAGGCCGACCACAAUACAAGUCAUGAGCGAUAGCGAAGCCAAGCCGUAUAAAGGCGAGCAGCCCUUAUAGCAAUAGCAAACGGCCUACUUAUAGCCCGCCCGCCCUCGCCUAUUUUUUGGACGCUAUCAGUCCGAAGGACUUAUCCAUAUUAACCUGACUCACCGAAGGCGCAAAGAAUAUUGCGAGACGAAGGACUCGGUAAAAUCGCAAUAUUCUUUGUCAAUCAAAUUCUUUGAUCCUUGCGACUGAGUAGGCGAGUGUCCAGGUGGUCAAAGCCCUCAAUAAUAAGGGAUAGCUCUGACUUUGAAAACCACUUUUCACCUUGCUCCCCUAUCCUUCUCCUCCGGAGGGGUCUUACAAGCUCAUAAAAUGGCAAUUCUUCACCGCCUCAAUGAAUCCACAGGUCGCAAUAUUCUUUGCGCCGCUCCGUGGGCAAUGAUCUUUGCUCCGGUCAAAAUCAAUAUAUAUGAUUCAUAGUCAAGAGGUGCAAAGUUCGGUUAAUUACGGAAAGUCCUCCGGACUCCUUCGGUUAAUUACGGAUAGUCCUACUUCUGUUAAUUACGGAUGGUCCUACUUCUAAUGGAUAGUCCUACUUCUAAUGGAUAGUCCUCCGGAUAAAUCCUGCGGACGUAGGACUCCGGACGUAGGAUAAAUCCUGCGGACGUAGGACGUAGGACUACUUCCUUCCAUAUGGAUGGUCCUACGGAUAAAUCACCUGGACCUUUCUUUGGCCCUGCGGACGUAGGACUGCGGACUGCGGACUCCGGACCCUGGACCUUUCUUUGAUGGUCCGAAGGCGCAAUUCAAUAUGCGAGUACGCGGGAAUGAAUUCUAUUACUUUCUUUUCAUUGAUAGAUAUGUGUACCACACCGAAGAAGCAAGAUGCCGAUAUGCUUGAUGUACCAAUCAAGCCCAGGAAGGAGGAGCAAAGAAUAUUGCGAGGCGAAGGACCACCAUGCCGAGAUUCGCGGCAAAGAGAGCGAUCAAUGAAUAAGGAUAGGGGAGGCCCUAACCGAGAAAGGAUCCACGGCGGGGAAACCAGAGUCAGCGAGAAAGAAUGAAUAAGUCACAAUCUACCUAGGAAAGAUAACAAGGACAUCGAGAGAGCUAUCUAAUGAAACCAUUUCUCUCUUCACUCCGCUAUGCUUUGUUCACUCUCUUCGUUUAAGCGAGUCAACUUCUAUAAAUCACUACUGAUAGUAGAUUCAGUGCUACUUGUCGAACUCUCAACAUAUGUCUAUCAAAUUUCUUUGUGUUCAGUGUACCGCUAUCAAUUCUUUUCCUGUCCCGUACCGCUACGCUACAACGUAGUCAACUAGAUUUGAGAACAGCGCCUGAACUGAACUACUACUGGCUUAGCUGCCUAGCUACUAAUAACUUGGCACCCGUCCUGCCAAUAUAGUAUAAAGAGUAGUGGUAGGAUUCCACUCAGGGCACACUUGUUAGCUACAGUUCCCAUCUGUCUUGUAAAGAACUAGAACUGCGCCCGCAGUUACGGGACUAGCUCCCCUGGCCAAACUCUUGCUCCUCAGAUUCACAGACUGAAGGUGCAAAGAAUAUUGCGUUGCGUUAGCUACUUACUUCUAUUAGAGUCAGACAAGGCCUUGACUCUCUGCCUUCCUAUAUCAUACUUGGGAACUACUAGAUCUAAGUCCGAAAUAUCGACCUUGGUUCAACUCCUAGCUCGAAAGGCUGCCAACUCCUUACUGAUAUUGUUUGGGGUUAGGGUAGUUUACUUGCAGGCUGAUAAGUCAGGUAGCGAAGCCUAAGAUUAGAUGACUAGUUUGUUUCACUUCAGUUCCCCGCCGUCGUCCCCUAUCUUAAAGCAUGGAAAGGUAUCCAGAAAGCACAGUAACAGCUAUGAGAUAGGCGGCCCUCUCACCUAAUACCCGCUACUAAGGAUUGAAAGUAGCACAAUCGGCUAUAGAACUCCAGAUCUACGAAUAGCCGCGGGCAAGCACCAAAGAGAGGCUAGCUUCCACCUUUCUUAACAGCAAGGCGCGAAAGCCUGAGCCUUUCCUAUAGCUUCUACUUAGACUUAGCAACCCAAAUAAAGGUUUUGAUUCCUUAGCUGUCGAGCUACUCAAGCUAGUAAGCUAGUAUACACGCAUUUGCCCGAUUGCUUUAAGAGAAGCUUGACCUCCACCUGUCCUGUCCAAAACUAUGGAACUCAUCUUCAAAGUAGAUUUUCUAGAUCAGAACGUUCACUCUGAGAAUAGGGGUAUAAAAGUGAACCACCUAGAAUCGAUCCAUGACCGCUAAACAAAAGGAGUCCUUUACCACUAGGCAACCGUCUUUACCCGCCUCAACCGAUCGAGGCUCGGACAUGCCAACAGCCAAUACUGACUCCUUUCCCUGGGACAGCUAAAAAAAACUAAUACGGCUCGGUAAUAGGUUUCAUAGUCAUCUGGACCAUUAACACUUUUUAUUGGACUGACGAAAUUCACAGCAGAUAGACAGAAGUUAUGACAACCACAGCCACAAGCCUUCUUUCGUCAAGGCUUUUGAGGCUCCUCAGGCUUUCAAGCGAAUAGACUUGGAGGGCCGAACCUGGCCUCUUUUCCUAAGUCGAAGUGAGAAAGGUUCUAUAGAGAGAUCGCCGAAUUCACCUUCUGAAUGGAGAUGAAAAAGGAAAGGAAACAAUUCCCCUUGCGUUGAGGAUAGAUCUGCUCUUACGCUUGCUUUCGUAGACCUACUGCUAAUAGGAGAAGCGGGAUAAGUAGGACAGGGAGAUGUAGGGCACCGUCCACUGAUAGAGUUGCUUGAGCUCUUGGAGCUAGUAUGAGCAUCUUCAUCUUGCUAGCGAGCCAGUCCAGGCUGAGAAAUUUGGGCCCCCACUCCCGUCCCGGGGCGUUAAGGCUCAUCGCUAUAAGGAAGAACUUUCCAAUCAAGGUUCAAAGAAUAGCUCCGUCUUCCUUAACUCGAUAGAGAUGGCCUGCUUUAUUUGAACUUCCUACUAUAUAAGGCAUCCCCCCAGACCUAAAUGGCUAUACCUAUAUCCGACCUUCUAACCACUGAAAGUAGCGGUCCGAAGCCUGAAUUAUCUCAGAUUUUCGGUUCAUCUUUAACGCCACUUUUCUAAGCUCCGAAGGAGGAGUCCUCACCCAUUUAUUUCGGAAGAAAAGAAAGUUCAAGUGUAGGCUUUCUCCAAACCUAAAAACGGCUAAUAGAUAAGACGACUUUCGCCUAUUUUUUGGUCCUCGAUAAUUCUUUCUUUUCAAAUAUGAUUCAUAGUGAAAUAGUGGUCCUAAGCCCACGGAGCGGGAAGAAAGAAUAUCCUUAGUAGUCGCAAAGUUCAUUUCUAGGCGAAGGAGAAGGCCUAUCCAUUAGAGAAUUUGACUUGCGACGGAGGCGCAAUGAAAUAUGCGUUGACAAGACUGCCCACUCCGUUUUAGAGUCCUUCCUUCCAUAUGGAUGGUCCUACUUCGGUUAAUUACGGAUGGUCCUACGGAUAAAUCCUCCGGACUACUUCCCUCCAUAUGGAUGGUCCUACUUCCAUAUGGAUAGUCCUACGGAUAAGAAUCCUCCGGACUCCGGACUACGGAUAAAUCCUGCGGACUCCGGACCCUGGACCUUUCUUUGGCACUGCGGACUCCGGACCCUGGACCUUUCUUUGAUGGUGCAAAGAAUAUUGCGAAGGCGCAAUUCAAUAUGCGAGGUCCAUAUUCCGACUGAGGAACUUGAACUGGCAUCAAAAUAGAUCAAUGAAUGAGUAGGCCUCAUUGACUUCUUCAUUGAUUUUCUUCCCGGUCAUACCUCGGCCUCUUUACCCGGAGUUUCACUAAGGCAUAUACCCCCUCGGAGCAGUGGGGAACUUUAUAGGCGUCUUAGCAUCAAAAGCAUCUUUUUCAAGUCAAUUACAUCGACCGUCAAGCAGAGGUACUCUUAGUUCAGAGAGUCGACUUGGCAUGCUUGAAGUUCAGUUACUCGCCUCUAAAGAUCUUCCGAAGAAAGUUUGAUUGCCCACCAUUUCUGAAACCCCCUCUUCUCGGGCCAAUAGUUCUUUCUGAGAAUUAGACCAAUUUACAUGAGUUUAGAUGCCGCCUAUAAAAAAAGGUAAGAGCCUUGACUCUUUCCACAGCCAGAAAGCCCAAGCCUUUCUCAGCCGCUUAGCGCUGUGACAAAGACAGAUGUGAAAAUCGAAGACUGAGACUGGAUCCCUAAAGACCUCAAUCAAUAGCGUCCGUGAAGUGAGUGAUCUUCGGUCUAGCCCCUUCUCUGAAUGAAUAGGUUAUCGAUCCUGAACUUCAUCGGUCAAGUCGAUUUUAAUUAAGAGAGAGUCGGCAUCAUUACUUUUUCCGUGAGAAGAUCAGUCUUUAUGUUAUGAUCUAUUCUCGCCCUUAAUAAGGGAACUAACUCGUACUUGCCUUCAACGAUUACAGUUUCUUUGUCAGGUGCUCUAGUGUACCGAAGAGGUGGAGUCUUCCCAUCAUGUCUUUGAGUAUAAGAGUCCCACUCCGCGGUGAUCAUCACUACUCUUUUCAAGCAAGAAGAUAAAGGUAGAAAUCCGACCGCCUUUCAAUGACGGAAUAAAGAGAAGGCGAUACCUACUACAUGAUCAAUGCGAGAAGGCCCAGUCGGAGAGGUCGUCAUCCUAUUCCUAUCUACAUUGGUCGUAUUCGUCCAGUGAAAGAGGGAAUUCCCUAUCUUAUCUGGGAAGGGAAAAAGCAAGUCUGAUCCCAGCCAGCAAGGCAUCCUUAUCUUGGGAGGACUCUCUUAUGGAACUGAAAGUUGCAGACGGAGGCGCAAAGAAUAGAAUAUUGCGGGAACUGAAACUUGGCAUCAAAAUAGAUCAAUGAAUGAGUCUUUCUCUUUCUGGGAGUCUUCCUCUUCCUCUUUACCUUUGCCUUUUUCUUCCUCUCCUUUAGCUUCCCUUCUAGCCAAAUAGUAGGUUUUUAUGCCUGAUGAUUGAAAAGACUGAAAUUCACAUCCAUAAAUAAAUAGGGAGCUUGACUCUGUUUCCGAAGAGUCUGCGAUAGCGAAAGGACUUAAUAGGCGAGAUGAAACCCACGGAGCGGAGACUGAGUUGUAGCAGUUGAGUCUUAAUAGGUAGGAGUGCAAGGCUGAAUCUAAUUUCACUCAAAGAAAGAAGGCAGAUUCAGAGAAAAAGGAAGAAUCAGUCCUCAUUCUAUGUGCCCGUAGUGAGAAAGGGAAGAAGGAGAGGAGCGAAAGCGGCUCGACUGUAAGGAGAGGAGAGGCAUCAAAAUGCAAUUCCCGACCGAACUUUCUCGUAGCAAUCUAAGUUGGCUCCCGGAAAUCCAACCUUUCUAUAAUCUCUGACAUGUUCGUAUCUUAGUUGGCGAUAUAAGGACAAGUCCACCCCCUUAUAGGAUUAGGGCUUUGUGAAGGUGCGGGUUUUCACUAUUCCCAACGGCCUUAAACAGGCUUUAUUGCGGCCUGCUCUGGUCUAUGGAAGAAGCUCAUCGGGACUUUAGAUCUGCCAUUUUUGAGUUAGGCGGAGUAGAAAACUUGCUUUUUGAUUCUAUUAUGAGCAAUGGCCUGCUUUCUUUCUGGUCUUGUGCCAGUUGAUGUGGCAGGGACGAAGCGAAGUGGAAAAGUAAUGGGCUAAUAGAAGGGAAGGUACGGUUAGGGACGGGACAGAUGGAAGCUGAGGCAGAUAUUGCAUCCUUUGCUUUGCCUUCUUUAAGAAUUCGUAGAAGCCUGUCAUCGGUAAAUCCCUCUUCCAUAGCAUCUUCAUUCUCGACGUCUUCUUUGGUAAAGAAAGGGGAUGUUUACCCAGGCGCCGUAGUCUUGCCUAAGAAUAUCGCUCUGUUCACUCCCAGCUGAAAUUCAAGCCAUCUUCAUGAAAAUGAAAAGAGACAGAGUUCUCAAGAAGCUCUCCCUUUCAUUCCAAAGCUCCGGUCAUGGAAAAAAAAGCUGUCAGUAGCCGGUUUAUCUUAAUAAAAACCGAUAGCGUACAAGUUCAAAGAGAGAGACCUCGAAAAAAGAAGAACUAAAGUAAAGGAGGCGCAAUUCAAUAUGCGUUGACAAGGCUCCUUUUUCCUUUUCUGCUCUCAUUUCAUCAAGUUCUACUUGGGGGGUUUUAUGGAUUUUCUUCGAAUUGCUGUCUUGCAGAAGACGCUAAGGGCUUAUGACUUGCUGCUUAAGGAGCUAAGUUUCCUAAAUAUGAAAGAUGAUGAGUCUAAGCUCCAUAAAAGAGGUAGGUUUGUCUAGCCCGCACCUUGCCCCUCGGCUUUCAAGGAUUAGAUAGAGGUGAUAAUAUCUCGACCCACGUAGCGGUGUAGAAGGAGAGGCUCAAUGCAAUAUGAGUUGCGAGACAGGUCCGAAGGACUAUCCACUAGGGAAUAAAGCGAGAGGAUAGAAGUGCUUCGAUCAUUCUUUGCCGCAAUAUUCUUUGUCACGCAAACAAUAUCCCUCAAUGUGGAAGGCAAUAUUCUUUGCGCCUCUGGACUGAUUUAUGGAACUCAAUCUUUCUGGGAGUCUGAAUGGCUAAGACGAUAAGGGAAGAAAAUCAAUGACCCACGGAGCGCGGAGGACGAGUCUCGCAAUAUUCUUUGCACCUGGGUAAGAAAAGAGAUGGAGCGCUAGAAUGGAAGAACUGAUCUUCUUCCUCCUCCUACACUGGGACUGAGCCCCGAACCCUCUCUCUUCCUCUAUAUAGGGGAAGGACUAGUCUGUAAAAUGCUAUUUUUCAUCGAUCAAUAUCCGAAGUAUUAGGCUCCAUAAGACAGGGAUAUUGUAAGAAGUAUGAAUAGCUAUUACUUUUCAGACAAAGUCGGACCUACAAGAUCCAGUCAAUUAAUACGGAGUGGGCUUGCUUUGGGCCUCAGUAGCUUAAUAUUCAGAUCCCCAUAUUCAUUAGGCGAAGGACUUCUUUAUCCAUUGAAUUUAGCCGACUCCCAUAAAUAAAGACAUAAUAUCGUCAGUCUUAUUCCCUUCUUUGAACCUCUUUUCUAGAUCGAGCUAUUUCUUGCCAGUCGCUUCUCAAAGAGCAAAAUCUCAAAUUCGCAAGUCAAAUUCUCUAAUGGAUAGGCCUUUGUUUUUCUAUGCGUCCUUUGCCUUUGGUUUGCGCUCUUAUAUUCACCUUUUAUUUGCCGCCUUGAUUCUCUUCUUUCUAAUGGAUAGUCCUUCGCAAAUUCUUUGCGCCUAACUCCGGCGCAUAUUGCGUGGGAAUUUUGCGUGAGAAUUUGAGAAAGAAUGAUCGUCAGCCCUUCGUUAAUUACGGAAAGUCCUACUUCGGUUAAUUACGGAUAGUCCUACUUCCAUAUGGAUAGUCCUACGGAUAAGAAUCCUCCGGACUCCGGACCCUGGACCUUUCUUUGAUGGCGCAAAGAAUUUGCGAAAGGAGUCUUAUUCCACUAAAAAACGAUAGAGGAGGGGUCGGAUCGGGGGAAUCCGUGGGGGUUGCGGUGGCAGCUGAAAAGGAAUCAAUCGUCCCAGGAGCAGUCGCGGAGGCGGAAAUGCUCUACUCCCACGGAGCGCUAGCCCUUGGCUGAUCAGUCAUCGGAUAAAUUCCCAAAACCCACGUAGCGGUAAUUACAGAAGUCAAUUCUCAUUAUUUCUUCCGUAUAGAAAAAACCUGAGAAGUUCACCCUUUCUACCAUCCCAUCCCGACUUCCUUCUUUGUGCAUUCAUGGGUGAGGCAUUCGGCUUUUGAAUCUGGAAUCAUUUCUCAUUCGCAGUCUGAUGAAAAGAAAGAAAUGAGGACCUCUACCUCUACUCCUUUUCCUGCCAUAAAAGAUAGGGGUAGGUAGGUCAAUUCGACCCCAGCCCCGCAGCUUUCAGGUCCUUGGUGCUCGAACCAGGCGGGCAACUUACUCUUUUUCUGUGGAUACUUCCGAACAUUAUAAGGAAAACGGAGCGGUGGAAUAAAGAGGUCAAAAGGACGGGAGCGUGAAUACGGAUGAAAUGGGACGUAAGAAGUCGAGCGAGUGACGGGGAAAUGGGACAUCAAUCUUGAGAAGAACCUCUAGGUCAAGGACAGCACUGGGCCGCACCGCCUCAAUGAACAAAGGGAAGAGUGCCGAUCCCGGAGUAGGAGUCUGAAAGAAGGCUUGGCCUGAGUGAAUUCUUCAUUCUCUCUUUCUCUUCGAGGAAGAAAUCUCUUGAUUUUAUUAUCCCACCGUCUGUAGCGUAGUGGGGAAAGUUCUCAGUCUCCGUUGAUACUCUGCCAGACCUUUACCGGCCGACUACAAGGCUGAAUAUGGCAAUUAUAAGGGGUCCAGAUGGUCAAAGCCCUCAAUAAUAAGGGAUAGCUCUGACUUUGAAAACAAAGAAGGACUAUUCCUCAAAUUCUUUGAGCCUAAAGAUGAACGGAAAAUCUUCUAAUGGAUAGGACUGAGGCGCAAUGAAAUAUGCCUUGAUUGAGAGCUUGAUUUUUCUUGUGUCUUUGUUUUGGAUGAGAAAUCUCUCAAAUACUUUGAGCCUUGGAAUGAGCAUUUCAGAGCUUACCGAUCAGACCCUACUACUGAUCCGAGUUGGCUACUACUUCCUUUUCUUCAACAAGGGAUGAGAUGAGGCUUAUCUUAUUCGAACUUCAAGUAGGUACUUCUGGAUCUUCCAAGUAUGCCUAUUUCCUGAGAGUGAGCUUGCGCAAGUAAUCCCCCUUUUUCUUACUCUCAGAACCCCAAAUCUUUUCGUACUUCCCCCUGAGGUCCCAGCUCCAACUCUUCUUCUCGCUUUAGGAAUUCAAAUUCUUCUUGAAUGAUCUCUUUCGUAAAGCUAUUUUUCUAUGGUAAAUUCACUCUUUAGCCGAUGACGCGGGAGAACACGGGUUCACUGGGGUGGAUAGAAUACGACCCGAGCGUCGGACCGAGACAGGAGGACCCAUUACCAGUUGAGGAAUUCAGUCGAGAUCGAGACCGUGCGGAGCCUUCCACUGGGACGUUCUCCUUUGUUUACGUGAAAACCUUUCCAGAUGAGCAUACGACCCAACUUCCCCGUAUGAGGAGGACUUGGUCCGUCCCUUUCUUCUUAGUAGUACUUUGACUUCUUCCCCGCGUAGAGGAGGAGCGAGCUCCCUCCCUUUCCUGGGAUUUAGAUGAAAGCAUCCCAAUGAGAGAAUAGAUUAUUCAACCCUACAGCGUCUGGGACAAGAAGGCGAACUACUUCUUUCUCUCUCUCUCUCCUUUCCUGAAGAUGAAAUAAGAUUCUGAUAAUAUAAGUCGAAAGGGAAAGAGAUCAUUCAAGAUCGAAUGAAAGAAGAUAAGUGAAUAAAGCUCUUUCUCUUGUUCCGCUCCUUACUUCUUCUUCUUUUUCAUACUCUUUUCAAUCAUAAGGCUGCCUCUUUCUCCUGAACUCCGUCUCCUAGGCUUUCUCUUUCUUUCUCUAUUUCGAAGAAUCUUUUCAAUCAUCAAAAUCAAAAGGCUGAACAUUGAGGUCUUCGCCCUUUAGGCAGUUCGCCCAGCACAGCAGUCGCAGCUCUUUCUCUUUCAAGAAGUUUGAGACUGAGAUUCUGAACGAGUAGGAUGAAAUAGCAGGCACAAAGGCCCCACCAAGAAGAAAGUCCUCCCCUUCUUAUGGUGGCUCUAGCAAAUAGUCAGCGAAGAAGCUUCCAAAUAGUAAGCUGUCGAGUAAGAGGGAGUCGAAAAGAAGCGCGAACUCCAGUGAUUAGGGUAGAGUCUCAUCCCCCCAUAAUCAAGUAGCGUCCACUAAAAAGGAGCGGAGCGCGGAAGGACGAGGCGCAAUGAAAUAUGCGAGGAUGAGGCAUCAUCGUAUAAGAGGGAGCAAAGGAUCUCCGUGAAGCUGCUCGAGGAGAGGAAUGAAAUGGCGAGACUGAAAGGAGAGGCAUCCCUUUCUCUUGCACCAGUGGUUGUCCCAGUUCUUCUUUAAGCUGUAGCCGGCUGUGGUUCUUCCGGUUGAGGAAGUAGCUCUCGCUCUUCCAGUCUCGGAUAUUAUUCUAUUUUCAUAUUGUAUAUUCAAAAAUAUUCCCAAUUAGAGUAGAUUGGGUGCAGCGAUCCCGGGAAUGAGUCGGACUAGCCUACAUAAAGCGCUUUUCUCACUAUAUAUGUCUCGACUCUUUUGUAUCGCUUAUUCAGGAGACUGAGUCAGAAAGGGAAGAAGCAGAGAAAGAUCAAGCUUUCCCGAUAGGGGAGAGUAGUUAUGAUCCGGGGUCUUUCCUUAAAAAGGUAUUCUAGAAUAAGAGUUUGUUAGCAUCUCUCCAUUCUCAUUGUCUGAGUAUGAUAAGUUUCUCUUUCAUGAGAAGGAGACUGAGAAGGCUUCGGGUCUGUCUUUCGCCUCUUUAGAUAUUAUGUCAACUUCUCUUCUGCUUUUCGCACCGAUAAGUCAAGUCCUCUCUCUCCCCUCUUACUCAACUUCGUAAACCUAGUCUCUAUGCACUUGCACUCCUUCGCAAUAUUCUUUGCGCCUCAUCAUCAAAAGAGAAAGUGCUCUCGCAAUAUUCUUUGCGCCUCCAGGACGUCCUCUGGACUAUCAACCUAUUACUUUGAACUUUUAUCCCUCUCAUAACAUAAAUAGUGGGACUUAUCCAGCCUGAGGAGGGCAGAAUCAAGGCUCCAUAAGACAGGGAUAUUGUAUGAGUUCUAUACAAAAAAUAGGCGAAGAAGAAUUGCGAGGUCCGUAAAUCAUCUGAGAAUCCCGGUAAUUUUGGGGGAGGUGAAAAGAAGAAAAGAGUCCAAUAAGAGACCGCGGCUUGGGAACUCAUUCCCGAAGAUAAGCAAGAACUUCUCCUCCUCCUCCAAGACUGAAAUUCCAAGAGCCACUUCUCCCUCUUCUGAUGACGCAUACCACCGGUGUCUCGAUUUCUUUGAUGAGUGGAAGGACGACAGGUUAAGCUUGAUAAAGAAGUCAUCUGGACCGCUCCAACUAACCUCUGCGGUCAGUCCUUCGGACCAGCUGACUAUCCCUAAAAUAGUAAGGAGUCUUAUGGCGCUCGUCUUGAGCCUGAAUUAUCGAAAAGACUUCUGCAGAGAGCCAAGAAUUUGCGAGCAGCAUAAGGAAUAAGGAGUCGAUCAAAUUAAGGCUUCGGACCGCGGAAGGACGAGUCUGAUUCCAAAAAAGACUUCUGCAGACGUUAGGAUCAAUGAAAUUUGAGAGAGGCGCAAAGAAUAUUGCUCAGGCUCGCCUAAAUUUGAAGUGGAAGGCAAUAUAAUUCAGGCUGAGGAUCAAAGAACAAGAGCGGGAAGAACUGGAUAUUGUAGGAGUUGACGGCUCGACUGUAAGGCUAAAUGUGGGGCGCAGUUGCGCAAUAUUGCGAGAAGUCUUUAUAUAUUGAUUAGCCUACUUUUCUGGAUUGGGACAUGAAUAAAUUAGAAUCCAAGGAUUGAUCGAACCUCGACGCAAAUUCUUUGCGCUAGUGCGAAUGAAAAAAAAUUCAGGCUAUAGGCGAGAUAGAAAAAUGACCCAGGGCGCGCCUUCUUCAAUGAAACUGGGUGGGGACCCGCGUGAGCCUAAUGCUCUUUAUUGGGCCGAUUCCCCGCUUGGAUCAGACAAGGGCGGGGGUAGAAGUUUGACCUUUGGAUCCGCAGUCAAGGAUCCCUCUUUCUAAAAGUAUGUCAAGAGCAUACUUGAGCUGAGAAAGAGAGAGACCAUGCGAUGAUUGAUCUACUGAAAUGCCAAGCCUUAUCUCAGUCUCCAGAACUCCACAGGAAAAUAGCAAGACGGGGGUUAGAAUUACCCAGUUCAUAUCCACUCCUUGCUAAGAGUUUAGUCUUCUUUCUCCCCGCAAGCCCGUUGAAUCAUGACUUCCUUAAUGCCUUUAUACCCUCGUAUGAGAAAAAAAACCUAGCCUGAAAGUGAGAGAUGGAAUUCAUUCUAUAUAUUCUUUGCACCUUCGCAAUAUUCUUUGCGCCUUUCUUUUAUCCAGCGGAGCCUUUCAACAAGCACUUGAUCCCGUAUUUAUCCUACGCGUAGCGGUGAAAGCUCAAAUUGCAUUGAGCCUGUGAAAAGUCAAGAAAAAAAGAAAAGAAUAAUUAACUCAUUAACGAUAAUGAAAGAAGCUCAAAACAAAAUGAAUCUGCUAGAUUUCAGAUUAAUCUGCUAGAUUUCAGACUAGUCCUUCGCGGAGGGAAAUACAAGAAAAUGCUAGGUUUUGGGCCUAUAAAGUAGCAAGAAAUCAUGAAAAAUCCGUCAAAAUUAGACAAUUAUCGUUAGAUAUAUAUAUGAGAAAAAGUCCUAUUUAGAAGCAAAAAAGCCGGGAAAACGCAAUGAAAGAAGAACUCCUAGGACAGGUAAAAUCAAUGAACAGAGUUUGAUUAUGGUUUCUGGUCCGGAGAAAUACGGGUCUAUUCUGGAUUUCCCUCCAGGUUAUGGGUGAUUCAAUCAUAAUGAUUCUUUCAUUCGAGUUAAUGAGCUUCUUUCUUUGCGCCUGCGCCUGGACCAAAGGUUAAUAUGGAUGGAUAGUCCUACUUCCUUCCAUAUGGAUGGUCCUACUUCGGUUAAUUACGGAUGGUCCUACGGAUAAAUCACCUGGACCUUUCUUUGGCCCUGCGGACUGCGGACGUAGGACUACUUCGGUUAAUUACGGAUGGUCCUACGGAUAAAUCACCUGGACCUUUCUUUGGCCCUGCGGACUGCGGACCCUGGACCUUUCUUUGGCACUCCGGACUGGAUCUUGUAGGUCAUUCUGACCCGAAAAGAAAAGUAGUGCUUUGAAAGGUAGGGAAGGUUACCCCACGUAGCGGUAAGGGCGCAGCAAAGGUUCUUUCCGGAGAUGGCCCUUUAUUCUGGCCCACGGAGCGGUUGUGCAUGAAGCAAGAGAUCUUGGAAGUAGCUUUCUUGCAAAGCGAUUAUGAGAAAUUCAUAAUGAGGUCUUGACUUUCAAGAGUCUUAAAGGUAACUUCAUAAAGAGUGCUCUUUCAGUUGACUCUUUCUGUCUAUAAAGCUCUUCUUCUUAUUAGUUUCGCGGGAGAGAGAGGAUGAGGGGUGCCCGAGGAAGAAAUGCUAUCCCAAAGGGCAGAGUACGUUGAUGUCCCCGUUCUUGUUUAAGAGGUGGCCUCAUCCGUUGAUCAGUAGGGCAUUUCUUUCCUUAGAUCUCUUUCGUAAGACCUCAUGAAAGGAUUAUUUAUUCAUUGUCGUCUGAUCGAAAGAUGUCAAUGUGCUUGCCCAUUUUAUGAAGAAAUACACCAGCCUCAGAUCUCGCCCAUGGAUUGAUGAAAGCCAAAAGGCCCUUUAUUGUAUUGUACAUCUUUCACGCAAGGAGACGUAAGAAGUCGACCGCCUACUCAUUUGGAAGAAGAAGAAAGACAAAAGAAGAAUGAGUCCUCCGGAAGGAAGGCUCGACCGUCGGAGGGAAGAGGGCUGCCAGAGAUGAGUAUGAGUCAUCCCUUGCUUUAGUUGAAAGAGCUAAAGUAGCAGUCCUUUCUUAUACCUUUCAUCUCGUGAAUGCACUCAAUUAAGGAUGAAAAAAUCUCGUCAAUUCUCAUUCCAUGAAGGACGACAAGAAAGUAGACUCGCCACGGGGCGCCGAAUCAGGCAAAUAGCCCUUAUCUCUCUUUAUGUCCCACUCGAGAAGACCUUUUCUUGCAGGUCCAAAUUAUGACAUUCUACCUCGAAAAGUGGUUAGGGCUUAGAAAGUAUCAAACUAGAAAAGGAUGCCCCAUGGACGCGAUUUCUUCCAUUCAGCCUAUGGUCUUUUCUCACUAAAAUGUCCAUUGGGUCUUCGCCAAAAACCUGCAUUGAAAAAGGAUGCAAACCAAGGUCAAUAUUCUUUGAACCUUUGAACCCAUGAAUUCACAUGAAAAGGAGUCCCAGAAAAGUGAAGGAAAAGAAAGAGGUUAAUAUGGUAGAUUGAAGACGGGUCAGAAUCAGGAGAUCUCGGACUUAAGGAAGACGGAGCGGUAGGCCUACUUUGAGGGAUCGACCCAGGAGAGGCAUAGGAGUUCAGCGGAUUGCCCAGAGUCUGAGGAGAGACCAGGUGCAGUCUAAUGGAUAGGACUGAGGCGCAUCAAAAAAAAGGUUGAAGAUGACCUUGAUUUUUCAUUGAGGCCGUUCUUCUCCUUGCAGUAGCUUUGAUUCUUUCAAGAGUUGAGGAUCAAAGAAGAUUGAUAAGUAUAUAGGGAUAAGCUAAGCAUUGAGCUAGAGAUCGUAAGACCCAGGCGAAUAGCGAGGCAGAAGGGAUUGUGAUGUCUGAGCUUCUUUCUUACCAUAAAUUAAGAACCUUGAAUGAGGCCGACGGAAAGAGAUCGUCCGAGAGGUUCAAAGAAUAUUGACUUGUUCAUUGAGGCGAUAACCACAAGAGCAAACUCUUGAUAUGAGUUUGAAGAGAUGAAUAUAAGGAAGGAAGCUAGACAAGAGCAUCUAAAUAGGUUUUCUUGAAAUAGGAUCUAAAGGUGCGAAUAGACCAAUAAGGAUCGAGGGGUUGUCCGGCGGAGACAGAAGUCUCCUUCUUCACUCUCGGUCUAUGAAAUGAAAUUGGUUAUACCGCUCUGCUUCUUUGCUUCCUCAUCAAGAUAUGAAUAAUAAGAGGAGUCUUCUUCUGAGAAGUCCGAUCCACUGAGACCCCUUAAGUACUGCUUCCCUUCAAGAAAGAACUCGUUGAGACGAGGUCCAUUCGACGGAGAACAAAGUCCCUCCCUUUUGGCAUACUUGAUGGACCCAGCGGCAUAUCGGGGAAUGGCUCACAAGCAAUGAAUGAGUGGGGGGCGUAGGAUACUCGUUGGGGACUCCCAACAGCACUAUUAGCUGUCUAGCGGAGAAUCUGUUGAGCUUUUGGAAGGAGCGGAGCAUAAGAAGGGGAGGACUUUGAUUCCAUAGUUUUCUUAGAGGCGUAGGAGGACGCUUAUUCCUUUUCUAGAACCUUCUAGAACCUACUAUUUGGAGGCGAAGGACUUCGCACAAUAUUCUUUGCUCCUAAGUCUGCUUUGAAAAGGAAAAAAAGAGUAUUCAUCCUUUCUCUACUUCUACUUUGAGCCUGAAUUUCCCCGUCCUCAGUCGCAGGUUAAUAUGGAUAGUCCUUCGGACGGAAUCAAAAAUCGCAAUAUUCUUUGCACCUUUGUUUUUUCCUUCCGCGGUUCAAGACGCCUCAUUAAUAUGGAUAAAAACAAGUCCUCCUACUCGUUCAAGUUCCACGCAAUAUUCUUUGCUCCUUGCUAAAAGAAAGAAUCUCAUCUUCUCAUAUUUCAUUGACCGUUAGGCUCUCGCAAUAUUCUUUGCGCCUCAAUCGCAUCGCAAAUUCUUUGCGCCUCCGCUCAAAUUCCCUAAUGGAUAGUCAUCUGGACCCCUUAUAAUUGGGGGCCAUAGAUCUUUGCGCCUCUCAUCAAAUCCCCUAAUGGAUAGUCCUUCGGACCUGUCUUAUGGGGCCUCCGUAGCUUAAUAUGAUUUGCGAAAAUUUGAUGCGUCUUUUCCGCUUCGAAUAUGAAUUCAUCCUGAGAGCAGAACAAUUGACAAGGUUUGCUGCGGAGUUAGAGUUCUUCUUUUCUCAUGCAAGCUUGUAAAUGAUAGGUCUAAUUACUAUCCGCAUCUCUACCCGUAUUACCGGAAUCUAAAUCAAAUGGGUCUUGUCCUACGGUCGGUCUGUGUUGGAUUGAGCUCAAGUUCACUUCUUUUACCUUUCGUUUUCUACCUGAAAAUGCUCUACUUAGAAAAAAAGAGAAAUUCUGAUGUUCAAUUUGGAGGUUCUUCAAUCUAUGAAAAGAGAUGCUAAGAAAGAAUUCAAGAAAGUCCAUUACUGGUGAUCUCGUCUUGCUUGCUGGGAGAGAGGACGGACCACCUUUUGAAGGCAGAUAGCGAGCGAUCACUCAGCAAUUCAGACUAAAAGCGGCCGAGAAUUAGUACCUAUCCCUUACGGGAAUCGAACCCGUGUCUUCGACAUGAAAAGACGAUGUCCUAACCACUGGACGAAAGGGACCAAAAAGCCAUUCUUCAUAUACCUAGUAGUGGGAUCCGAGAAUAGAAGUCCUUCCUUUGAUUGAUAUACGCAAUUCGACGAUUUCCUUUGUCUGAAUCUUGGCGAUUUCUGAUUCAGCGGGUCCUCCCCCCUUCCCCCACCGAUGAGACAGCAACCACGCCCCCUUCGUAAACUCACUCGACUCAAUUACGAAAGAAAUAAGAAGAUAUUAAUAGAUAUAAGAAGAUAAGAAAGCUCUGAUGAUGCGUCUUUCUGUACUCUUCGGGAAGCCCAUAAAUUAUGAAUCUUUGCGAAUGAAAGACUAUUACAAUCAAUGAUUGAGGGAGCGGAAAGAAAGGCUCCACUAAAGAAGGGCAGAGGAAGACUGAGAGUUAGUAUGAUGAAAGAGGUUAUCAGCUGCUAUCCGGUUAGGAGGGAAGGAAUUGAAGACGAAUCGAGGAUUUGAGACAGAGGUUAGAACGACCUACAGGAAAGGAUCGGGUAUUUCAUUCAUAGAGCUUUUAGGGGUCAAGACGAUCUAUCAUUCCCCAACUCCUAUCCUUAUAUGAGAGUCACUCAAAUUCUGAUCGCCAUUCUCUUCUUUGUUCUCUCUUUCCUUGAUUGAGUCUUCCACGCAAUCUAUCUAUCCUGUAUCGGGAAGGUUGGAAUAUGCUCUCCUCUUCUUCCUACAUUUCCUGAAUAACUUCAAGGCGUCACCGAUCGGGGACUUCGACUGCCUUGUAUCAGGUUCAGAGAAGGGGUGGUAGGCUUAGUAGGGCUCGAACCUAGAAUAUCACCCUUAUGAGCGGUACCUUGAAAGCAAUGAAACUAUAAGCCCGAUCUCUACAUGCAAUUCGCUCACUUCGGGAAGAGGAAAGAGGAGAGGUGCAAAGAAUAUUGCGAGGCGCCAUAAGACAGGUCCGAAGGACAGACAGGCGCAUUGAAUAGAUUAUGCUGAAGGCUAGGCGCAAAGUUCGGUUAAUUACGGAAAGUCCUCCGGACUACUUCGGUUAAUUACGGAUGGUCCUACUUCUGUUAAUUACGGAUGGUCCUACGGAUAAAUCCUCCGGACUACUUCCCUCCAUAUGGAUGGUCCUACGGAUAAAUCCUCCGGACUACGGAUAAAUCCUGCGGACUCCGGACCCUGGACCUUUCUUUGAUGGAGGUGAAAAGAAUAUUGACAAAGAAUAUUGCGAGGUUCAUACUAUUACUUUAAAUAGUGGGACUGAUUUUGAUCCAUAUUCCUGAGGGAGCGGUACUACUUUCUUUUUUUGUGCCCGGUCCAACUAGGAGGGAUGGAACUCAUGCCUCCCGCGGUCGAGCUAGCUUGUUCUCGCUGCUCUCUUUUCUUUAUAGAAAAGCAUAAAAGCUUCAUCUUUGAUUUGUGUGAGGUAAAAGGGGUUCUUCUUGAACGAGAUUUGUUCGUAAAUCUCUACUAUAGAGAAAGGAAAAAAGGAGUAAGUCCGCUGAUUUUACGUGAUUUCUUCCAUCUUGCCUAUGGCGGAAAAGAGCUUAUUAAGGGCGAAAGCAAAGAACCGUGCUCUAGGCGCAGGAUCUGGGAUGUCACAAAGCGACUGUAAACAACCGCCGCUACACAAGGGGAGGAGUCUUUGCAGCUUAGUUGGGUUAAGUUAAGUCGCCAAAUUCUCAAUUCUUCAUUUCCCUUGUAACAAAAAGUAGCCGCCAUUGCAGGAGCCGUUUCAGGAGUCGCUGCAGGCGCUCUUCGUCUUCUAGUUUCAGCUUUUGUUGAAGUAGCCCUUGUUCGAUCGAUCGAAAAGGCUAGAUCUCUGUCCCAUAUUUCCAAGGCUAAAAGAAAAGGCUGAUUCAAGGUCGUAGCAGUGAGAAAAAAAGACUUUUGACUCGUCCGAAGGACUUGUUUAUCCAAUUAUAAGGAAGACGGAGCGGUUCCAUCCAUAACAAGGUGAACCAACAAAGGAGUCCGUCGCUGAGGAGGUCGGAAAGUGAAGGGCACCACGGUCUGGUCCCAGACCGAUUCAGUGGAAGUUGCUUUGUUGAAAAGCGAUUAUGAAUAUUCUUGUAUAUAAAGACGUAAGAGAAAGAAAGGUGCGAAGCAAAAAGAAAGUGAAGGAAGACGUAGCGGUAGACUAAGAAAGUAGUACAAUACAAGAAGGGACAAAGGCCCCAUAAGAAGAAAGAGGGAUGGGAUCGCGCACGCCCACUACGCGGGGGAAUAGGUUUCAUAGUCCUCCGGAAUUAUUAAGGAGAAGGACGCUCGCAAUAUGGGCCUCCUACGCUUAAUAUGGCAAAGAAUAUUGCGUUUUGGAUAGCUCUGAUUUUGGUUUUCGUCCUUCGUCCUCUCAAAUUCUUUCUCAAUAUUCUUUCUCAAUAUUCUUUGCACCUCUCCUCCAUCUCAGUCGAGCCGCUAAUUUGUAAUUCAACUCCGUUAGGUCCUCCGGACUAUCCAUAUUAACCCAGAUUUCAGACUCCGCACUCAACGCAUAUUUCAUUGCGCAUCUGGACCCCUUAUAAUUGGGCCAUAGAUCUUUGCUCCUCGCAAUAUUCUUUUUUUCUGUCUUGUAAAUCAUCAAAAUCUUAUAAGAAGAGAGACCAAAAAAAAGGGAAGGAAGAUGAAGGAUCCGCGGAACUGAAUGAAGAAGAAUUAGUACGGGUCUGGAGCUGCCAAGCUAUUAUUUGAAAAAUAUAGAGUAGAUUAUGAGUACCCUCAUGGCUUGAAAACAAGCUUCGGUUGGGAGUCUGACUUGGAAUUAGAAGUUUCCCGAAGCGAGAGAGAGAGAGUUUACUUCGGAAUUCUCAGAAGAAUGAGUAAGAGAAAGAGGAAUUCCACCCUAGCCUCAAGCCUGAAUUUAUGUGGGAUCAGAUUCUGAUAAUAAAGAAGAAAGCUCAGAGGAUCGUCUAAUGAGUCAGAUCGGCUAUCUAUGAUAUAGGAGGAGGGUAGCUUGGAGACAAAGACCAUAAUAAACUGAGUUGGAGUUGACUCGCGGUGUGAAUAGACUGUAUCAGCAGAAGUCUCGGAAGAGGAAUGAGUUGGAGAAGAAAGAAUGAACUCCAUAAUCUCGUAUUAUAAUAAGAAGAAAGAAUCUCUUAUCAUAUUAGCUUUCUCUCUUUCAUUCAUAGUCAGCUCUCCCGGAUUCAGUCUCAUAACUCUGAUUAUUAGUGGGGGAGUCGGCCUUGGGGAGGUUCAAAGAAUAUUGACGGAGCGGUCUCGUAGACAAGGUAUGAAUGAGAACGAGAAGGAGAAUCAAGUCUCACGGAAAGCUUAUCGACAAAUCUGCCUAUUUUUGGGGUGCACGAGGCUCAAAGAAUUUGAGAGAACUCGAAGCCUGCUCGUAGAAUACGGCUAGGCACAGACUCUCCAAAGAAGGCUACUAGGAUCAGACUUGCUUGGGACCGGACCAGAGUGACCGGACGACCAGAAAUUCUUUUCUUUCAUCUUCGUAUAAGGUAAUUAUCUCUUUCUACAUCAGAAGUAGGGGACCAGGGAAUUCCCAGUCGACCGAGUUCUCUCUAAUGGAUAGGGUCGACGAGAGAAAUAAGGUGAUGAAUCAGUCGAGUCAAAUCAGAGACGAUCGCAGUCUUCUUAUCUACUUAGUUUCGGAAUGCAGUAGGAAGACGGGAAGAGGUUUGAGUAUUGAAUAGUUUCCGGGAGAGAGAAGAAGCAAUCUCACACUCAGUUUCAGAAGAGUCAGUGGCAGCCGCUGUGGCAGUUGCUAACCCAAGUGGAUAGUCUUGUGCCGCUAUUAUAGAAGAAGACUGAGAAUGAUCUCUUUCCCGAAGAGGGAACUAUCACAAAGCAAAUAUCUCAAUUCUAAGCAUUCUCAAUUAGUAGGUCGAAGCAAGACCGAGUUGGAGACAGCGUAGCGAGACCAAAUAGAGGGAGGCCUUAGCCUCUCUAUAGGCGUUCCGAUCCUUUUCCCGGCUGCGUCCUACAUAGUCAAGAGCACUUGUAAGAAUUCCCUAUAUCCGAUACUGGAUAGACCCUGUCUUCCUUCUAAGGAUCGAACUGGAACUCUUCACUCUGAAAGAAGAUCGACUGAUUCCGAUCUGGAUCUUCCCUCGUCAACUGAGAAUACCGCUUCCCGAUUUUCUGAUAAGAGAAUUCCGAAAUCAGUCCCAAGAUAAGGAUGCCUUGGUUAGCAUAUGAAAUGUGCACAGCUCUUGAUUCGUAAGAAAGCUACUUGCCAUUUAGAAUACAGAGUGAUGAGACUAAGAAUAUCCCUGUCUUAUGGGGCCUUCGUAGCUUAAUAAUGGGGGUCCGGGAUAGACUCUUCCUCUAGCUUCGGAAAGACUAUCUCAUACGAAGAGAAAGAAGACAGAUGAAACUUAAUCAACUGCGGGGAUAAGUUGAAUUAUUCAUACCGAGAGGAUAGACUUAGAUACCCGCGGGAAAAGAAAGAACUCUUCAAUUUAGCGCUCCACCCAUUUUAUUCUUUAGAAAUCCUAUUACAAAGAUUACUAUCGCCCAAGGCUUCUUCUGACUCUGGAUGAGGUCCCUGCCUCCCCUACUGAUGAGAAUAGUACUUCUUCCUCAACUUCAAGACCCGAGACCUUACGGCACGAGCUCUGGAAGGAGGAGAAUGCUCCUUCUUGUAGAAAUAGGUUUUUCUGCUUUAUAUCCCGCCUAUCCCCCCGGGUUAGCCCCUUGUUUGUCGAGGUCAAUAUUCUUUUCACCUCUUUCUCUGGGUCUGACCUUUCGUCCCUAGGGAUCCUGAAUGAAAGUCUUCCCAUUCUUCUUAUUCAUUCCCUUGCUUCCGAGUGAUAUUCUCUAAUAGAAAGAAGACGGAGAUCCCGGAAGAGAUAUUCUCUACCCUAUCCAGUCUCUCCUAUUCUCCUGAUGACAUCGACUUCCCUUGCAGCCUCAACUGAGCACUUGCUUCAUUCAACGGAUUUAUGAAAGAUUCGUACUGCCUAUGAAACCGAGACUAAGCGAUCCCGAAACAAAGUAGCAAGACGGAGAUCCCGAAAGAGAGAAUGAAAGUAAGUAGUUGACCUAUUCACACAUCUAUUCCUAGAAAAGUCGUAUUCAGACCGAAGACUGAAAAGAUAUGAUAACCUCGUCUUCUCUGUCGAGCUGACCUAUCCAACUAAUAAUCAGAUAUGCCGAGACCCUACUUUAGUUUUUAUAAGCUUCGGAUCUUCCCUUUAACGGUCUUCCCUUUCUCCCCGAGUGGGGUUCCCUAUUUCGGCGGCAACUGAGACUGAUGACUUUAGGGCUCCUUCUACCCUCUCUGCGUACUCAAUCCUAUCUUUGAGGCUUCCAAUCAGCCCUUAUUGAGGCGGUAUCGCUGACUCCCUAGCUUCGGGGACUUAGACGGAUGACUCUUUCUUUUCCAGCAGUCUAGCCUUUUUGUUCUCGAUGCUACCGCGGAGUGGGACUGAAAGCCUAUUCAUACCUUCCCCUCUCAUCUGGUCGAGACUGAUUAGUCUAAGUCUCCGAAGUAUUGGUCUCGAAGUAGAUAAGUUCGGGGGAUCCGGAACGAGUUUGGAAGUAAUAAAGAAGUAGUUCGUUCGCGCCUUGCCCAGUGGGUCAACUUCUAACCUUCCCCGCGGAGUGGGCGCGGAUCAUAUGUUCGUUCCCUAGCCUUCUUCGCAAAUUCUUUGCGCCUCAAGAUCUUUGCUUUUUGGUCCUCUUGACAUAUGAACUUCUUCUUUUCCAUCGCUUGAUUGAUACUCUGCCAGACGUGGACCGGCUUCGCGUGCGCCUGUAUAUCUUGAAGGGCCACUGACGGCCUCGCACUUUGGGCGCAGGGUUUGAGAAAGGAAAAGAAAGAAAUAAAGAAAGAGAAAGCUGAAACUAUCAGAAUCUAUAUGAUUCAGUAUGAAUUAGGCGAAGGACUUUAUCAAGCUUAAUCAUAUUUCAUAAAUAAGGGGCGAAGUGUAGUAAAUCAAAGAAAAUGAGCUCAUUAACGAGAAUUGAAAAGUCAAGAAUCAUUAUUCUUUCAUAACCUUGUUCAUUGGGAAUCAAGAAUAGACCUCUCUUUCUCCGUCCGUAGGACUAUCCAUUAGAAAAGUUUUCACAAACUAUGUGAAUUUCUUAUCCCUUUAUGAUUCUUUCAUUGCUAUUUCCCGGCUUUUUUGCUUCUAAAUAGGACUUUUUCUCAUAUUGAUAUUCUACGAUAAAAGUACUUUAUUGACUGAUUUUUCAUGAUUUCUUGCUACUUCCCUAUGGGCAAAACCUAGCAUUUUCUUGUAUUUCCCUCCGCGAAGGACUAGUCUUCAAUCUCCCAUAUUCACCUCUUUCUUUUUCAUUCCCAUUUUUUUCUUCUUUCAUUAUCGUUAAUGAGCUGUCCUACGUGCCAAAGAAAGGUCCAGGGUCCUACGUCCGCAGGGCCAAAGAAAGGUCCAGGUGAUUUAUCCGUAGGACCAUCCAUAUGGAGGGAAGUAGUCCGGAGGAUUUAUCCGUAGGACCAUCCGUAAUUAACAGAAGUAGGACCAUCCAUAUGGAAGGAAGGACUCUAAAACGGAGGCGCAAAGAAUUUGCGAUGCGACUUUGAGCCAAAAGAAAGAAUGUCAUCUUGAGCCUUGCAAUUCUUCCAAAUAGUAAUCCCUUCUUCCAUUGUGAAUCUGAGGGUAGCACUUUCAUGAGAGGGGGAAGAAGUCAGAAAAGCAUCAGCCCACUACGCGGUAGCAAGAGAAGGAGCUAACCCCUUUUUUCCGUCAUAAGUAUUCAAGAAAGGAAGCCGCAAAUCCUUUACUGGAAAGAAAAGUACGAGGCAGCUAGGGAAGCCUCUCUUUCUAUAGGCAGGCGCUGCGGUAUGAUUUAUAUCAUGAUGAUAUGCUUUGAGUAGGACUAGCGCAUCUUAAUCUUCGAGGUUAGCCCUAGCCUCAAGCAAGCUAUAACUAUUCAUUAGUAGGAGCGGACUCAAGUCAAUAUUAAAAGACCCUUGCUUUAGUUUCUGCUUGAGUUUCAGAAGUUCUUUCUUGUAUAGAUAGAAAGGCUUAAUUAAGCUAGAAUAAAUACGACUUAAACCUACUAUUUAGAUUCAAGCCUAUGGACUUCUGAUCAUUCCACUAAAUCUUUCUGACCCGAGCAAAGAAUAUUUCAAAAUCAAGCUCAUCCUCAACCUUGUUUUUGAUGAGCUUGAUUUUUCAUGGAUCUUUGAGCCUCUCCCGAUUCCCCUUUCUUUGAGAAAGAGCUUACGAUUUCAGAGUUCUUGCUUUCCACAACGGAUAAUGAAAAGAGUGAUAGCUUUCCCUUGCUUCUAAUGGAACUACUGCGGAUGGGGAAUACAAUUCAAUACUAUAAUAACGAAAGACAGAUCAUAACCUAAAAUCCCUAUGAGUUCGAGCUUAUUCAACUCUUUCUACUGAGACUGAUUGAUCUUCCUCUCCGGCUGUAGAUUGAGAGUGGAUUUCUGCUGAGAUAGUGUCGAGAAGGUAUUAGCCCUCACCUAUGAAAGAUCUAGAAAAAGGACAGUUCAGCUCUUUCGUAAACAAUUGGGCGGUGCUUCCUCUGCUGAAGACUGACUUCUCGCCCGCUCCGUCGGCCUUGAUCUGAAAGUUGGAGGAAACCUCCUUUUCAGUCCUUCUAGCCAUUAGAUAGAAUCCCCAGACUCCUCUUGCAAUGUCCCUAUAAAGUCGAGCCACUAUUUUUUCUCUGCCUUACGAAUGAAUACCUUUCUGCCUACUAAUGAACGGCCGCUUACUCUCCUCACUUUCUUAGUAUGUGGCCUCUUUAGGCUUGUAGUGAGAAAAGCGCUUUACUCAAGAUCUAAUUCAAGAGAAACCUCGGACUCAAGAUCAACUACUCCCCUAUUCUCUUCUGCCGAUGUCAGUUACCUUUAAUCCGACCCUACUCGGGGGUUAGCCACUUCGAUCUGCUUUAGGCGCCUCGUGUCGACUUUGUCAGUUAGUUCGAGUCUCGGGAACUCGGCUUUGAUCAUUUAUUCUAUUUCCGUUAUAUGAGUUAUCUUUUUGAUAAGCUUUGCUAUUUCAACAACGUCAGCAAGCAAGAAAAGCAACUUAGACGGAAAGAGCCGAAAGAGUAGCUCGAGCAGCGGCUUAGUUUGCCUGCCUCCGACAUGCCCUUGUCGAGCUUCUCUUGAGAUAAUUCUUUUCUCUCUUUGUAUUGGGUCAUUAUUUUGACUUCUUCUUGCAUUACCGCGUAGUGGGCGGGACCUGGCGAGACGUUUAGAACCCCACCUUUCAGGGAAUAUGCUCUUUAAGCGGGUAUGAGCUCUUGAAUGAGCAGAUUUGUGUCCGAUCCGAAUGUCUUAAGCGUAUGCGCACCUCUACAAUACGGUCGAGAUGAGGAAACCUCUUGCACUCCUGUUAAGUCCCUUCCCUUCUAGCCUUCUCCGUCCGAAGUCCGAAGGACUGUCCAUAUGAUAACCUUGCCGUAGGUCGUCUUCUUCCUUAAUUCUUGAGUAAGUCACUGAAAAACCUAGGCUUUCUCUUUUCAUUGACUUAUGGAUUCUUCCUAGUUUCUACAGUGAUUAGGCUUUAGGAAUGGUCAAGAGCUCAAGUACCGAAGAUGAGGCAUACCAUACUCAACCAAUAAGGAAGGGCUGCAAGAGGAGGCUCAAAGAAUCCCACGGAGCGGGAGGACAAGAACUGAAGAAAGAAGAGGUCUAGGCCCUUGAACCUCGAGCCUUGACUCCUCAACCGCGGAGUGGGGGUUAUUCAAGAGUAGUAGUUCGAGAAGGAACCUAAAUGCUUUGCACGUCCCCAUCUCACUAGACUUUGACUCUGGGAUUCCGGAUCAAAUGAAAAGGAAAAAGAAGGCGCGAAGCGACUUUAAAUAAGGGUCAAGACGGGCAGUAGUAGGCCCACUUGGAGAGGCUAAACGAAAGGGUCUACCUUUACCAAAAACAAAAACAAAAGCUCCAGAUGAGUAUGAGUUGACGAAACCCACGGAGCGGUUACGAGGCCUGGUGGCGGCAUCCACCGUCUCAGUUCUCGGAUGAGCCAGUCCCAAGGCUGAUCUAUUUUUCUUUUUCCUCUCUGGUAAUGCAGAAGAAAAAGAAGAAAAGGGGCGCUAACCCAAGGGCAGGGGAAGACGGAAGACGGGAUUGAAGAAGCUGUUUCUGGAGUGGUUGCUGGAUCAGUUGCUUAGUUUCGCCUACCCGUCUCAUGGGGAUUUUACCCGACAUGAAAAUAGCUUCUCCUCCAUUCAGCCAUCCACCUUUUAGACCUCUGUAAACAAGGAUGGAAACUUCCUUCCCCAAAGGCAGGGCAGCAAAGCGGGUGAGAUGAAAACGUCCACGAGUAAGGUCUCACCCAUGAAUGAAAGAGAAGAAGAAGAAGUGGAAUAAAUCAGUCCUAUAAGAAGAGGUCAAGGAAAGCCGUCAGUCUCAAUUUCUUUUGUCUUGCUUGUACAGCUGGAUAUGCUAAAUACUGAUAGCAGAUAGAGAGAUGACCCUCUGGGAACUCAAAAGACAUCGAAGAUCUUUCAUAAUGAGUCGGAUUCCUCAAACUAGUAAAGUACCCAACCAAGGGGAAUCCCAUUACGUAGACUGCCACGAAGGCUGGUGAGAAUGCUGGUACAAGGGAGAAUGCGAGAAUCUCAAAGGUCUCAAAAAUAUAGGUAUCUUUCUGGCUUAUCUAGUCUCACUGGAGACUUUGAUCUCUUCUAUGGAGCCGGAUGUGAGCUUCUCGCCUACUGAUCCAAGAGUCAAUGGCAGCGGACACAUCAAUAGCAGCAGACGCAGAGAUGCUCUUCGGGCUAAGAUGCUGACUUUUCCGUGGAAAGAGUAGUGAUCGGGUAAAUCCUCCCCAUCCAUUCAGGGAGUAUUCGUAAUUGGACUAUUUACAUGAAUCUAUCUCCCACUCUGAAAUAGCGAGGUAGCUACUUGGAAUCUUCGAUUGCCUUUAUCGUCAAAUCAAAUAUUAGUUCCAACGCAAUAUUCUUUGCCUGAAAUUUGAAGGAGUCUUAAGACCGAAGGACUAUCCAUAUUAACCUGUCUGGCCUCCGUAGCUUAAUAUCGUAGUCUGAAAUCAACCAUAUUAACCUGUCCGAAGGACUAUUCGCUAUUCUAAAAGCCUAUCCUCCGCCUAAGAGCGCAAACCAAAGGCAAAGGACGGGUGUGGUAUUCCUUCAUAUCUUUCCUCUUCGGAAUCAGAGUUGGAAAGAGAACAUCCAUCGUCCGCUCUCCCUCUUUCGGAAGCUAGGUAAGAAUCAGACUAAUCCCUUCCUUCCGUCUCGACUUCCAAGGUAUGAAGUUCAGAUAGGUGCUCUUUCAUCAGACAGGUAAUGAGAAGUGGAAUGAGUUAGCAGGCAUCAAAAUGCAAUUCUUCCGCCUCAAUGAACAAGGGCUCUGACGCUCCGUUUUCCUUUCAUUGGUCACCUCGUCAAAUCUCUCUCCCUAGGCUUUCCUCUUCCUUGAACUUUUUCGACUUUCAUCCCCCCCCGUCCUCCGGACUGAUUAAUGGAAUUCUAAAUAGUGGGACUGAUUUUUUAGAAUAGCUCAAUUCUUCGCAAAUUCUUUGCGCCUUCAAAGAAAGGUCCAGGUGACUAUCCGCAUUAACAUUAGAUUGGAGCAGUGAAUUUAUAGACCAGAUCCUAAAUAGUGGUCCGGAGGCGCCAUAAGACAGGUCCGAAGGACUAUCCAUUAGGUCCAUUGAAUAGGGAUAGUCGGACUGAUUUAUGGAUAUGGAAUAUACUCUGGAUAGGCUUUUGUAUUUAUUAGGUUUAGAAGCUUCCCCACUGGAAAUUCCCUUGAUUCUGAUUCCGACACUGAGAAUGCUAAGUCUUCCCUUUCUUAAUAAUAAUAAGGUCGAGAAGGUUCUAACCUUCAGAGUGAUGAGAAAAAGUGGAGUUAUUCGCCGAGCCCACUCUUUAUCUUCCCUUCCCGCUCCGUGGGUCAUUAAUCAUUCUCACUCUUCAAUACCGGAAUAGCAGAAAAACUAUCGAGUCGAGACUGAUUACGAUUCUUGUGCCCCAGCCACUUCUUCCCUUGUUCAUUGAUCAUUCCAAAGCUGCUGAGAUCCUUUCCUGGGUUGACUCUCCUUCUUCAUAACCUUCUCUUUCUCUCCAAGACAGUAAAGCGGCUUCUCCCCUAUCCCAUCACUGGGCAGCAGCAGAGCAGGUUUAUCCUGGUAUGCUUAUGCCGUCUUAGGCGCCCACGUAGCGGUAGUUUUCUCGCCGAUCCUAUGGUUAGGGGCGCCUAUGCCGAUCUCUUUGAGAAGCGAAGGUUCAGCAUAUGGAUAGGAAAAUCUUUAGACUCCCACUCUACGGCGCAGAGUUUGCGAAGCGUUUACGUCUAAAACAUAUGACUGUAGACCUUGAACCUAUCUCGUCAAAGAUGAUCCUCAGAGGCCUUUCACCCUAUGCUUUGGUAGAAUUACCACCUUUUUGUUAAGGACCCCAUGCGCUUAUCCACUCGCCUUAGAACAGCUUAUCUAGGAUUGAAAGCCGCCUCUCGUAUAGAAGUUUUAGACAUCAGAGACGUGCUAAGCGAUCAUUGUACAAAGUUUCUUUCUUCAUAGAGGCAGUGUGAUUUGGGUUUUCUUUGCUCCGCAAGGUAGCCAGAGCCUGCCAGUUUUUUCACUAAAUAGGCAGAAGAGUAUUUUCACUGCAGAAAAGUAGUGCUACGAACUAGUCAGAAUUGUGCCAGCCAUCCAAUUCCUACUUCAUGGAGAGAUUCCUCUACAACUCUGGUAGAAAGAUAACUGAAAGAGGAAGGGGAAGUAGUCCCAGUCUGAUGAAAGAAGAAGUACUAUUCACGGAUCUCAACAUCAAGAAGAUGGAGGCUACUCAUCAAAUGAAAAUCAAAGAAAUUGAGUACUAGCAGGCUGCAAAGAGGCUUUCUGCAAUUGCUGCCGAAAGAGAAAUGGGGAGUCGCGGGCCGCUAACCUCGUCUUAGCCUAAGAUCAGGCCGAAAGGCGUAGUCGGUUUUGAACAUUCUCCCUGUAGGGAUUUUCUAGGUUCUUCCAUCCACCUUCUGACUUAUGAAAAGACAUCUUAGCCCCUCCCUCUCCGUCUUGUCUUCCCUUUCUCGUCUUCUUCCUUAAGAGUUGACAGGAAUGAACCGCUACGUGGGGACUCCUACGUCAGAUAAGAAGCCAGAGGAGAGGAUAAAGGAGGGCUGGCUUCAAAACAAGCUUCAUCAGUUGGGGAAGAAAGGAUCGACUUCGGAAGUUUAGAGAAGUUCUUGUUGUGGAAAUCUUUCUAUUGAUUUUCUAAAGAAGAAGGAGAAAGUAAGGGAAGAUUUGUAUUCUCAGUUGCUACAGAGGAAGGAGGAUAGUCACUCGAGGUUUCGGAAGAAGGGUAAGAACAGUCUGCUGUCUAAGUUUUUCCUCUGUUGAAGCUUAGUUCUUCGAUCAGAAGUUUCUCUUUCCUAUCUCUCUUUCCCGAAAAAGGAGGGCAGAGUCCGCAUGUGCGUUGACUUUCGUGACCUCAACAAAGCCGGUCCCAAGGAUGGAUGAUUUCCCUUUGCCACACAUUGAGAUCUUGGUUGACAAUAAAGCGGGAAUUUUGAGAUGGGUUCUCAGGGUACAAUCAAAUAAAGAUGGGGCCAGAAGUAGGGGAGUCCCCCAGUGGGGAAGAUUUUGCUACCCUCGGUCUCAGGCAAGAACUCAUUUGAUUAGGGUAGUGCUAUGACUUGAAUCUUGAAGGAUAUGAUGCAUGUAUUCUCAUAAAUCUUGAGGUCUACACGAUAUACUUUGAAAAUCCAAGACAGGAGAAGGACAUCCGGAAGCUCUACAAAGGGUUCUUUCAAGAUCAAGAAAAUCUCAGUUGAAGAUUAACCCCCUAGGUAAUAGUAUCGUGCGCCUUCGAAGUCAGAUCAGGGAAAUUUCUUGCUUAUUUAUUUGGUGAAUCGACAAGGCACGAAUGUAGACCCAGCUAAAAGAAAAGCAGUGGGAGAUCUCGAGUGAAAAACCUCAGCGAAAGAGUUUCAGUCAUUUUUCGAAAAAGCUUCCUACUUUAGAAGGUUCUUAGCAGGAUUAGCAGCCUUAUCGGCCCCUCGGAAUGAAUUUUGAAAGAAAAAGGUAGACCACAAGCCUUUGCGAAAAUCAAGGAGACCUUAGCGAACGCCCCAGUGAUGAUGGCUCCAAUAGCAGGUAAGGAAGGUUAGCUAUAUCUUGCUUUUCAUGAUAAUGCUAUCUUUAUAGUGCUAGCGCAGGAUGAUCAAAAUGGUCAAUCAAAGGCAAUAUAUGUAGGUAGUAGAAUUCUCAAAGAAGCUGAAGCCUUAUACACUAAAGCGGAGAAAAAGAGUUUAGCGCUUAUAUAUUGCAGCCAAAAAGUUAAGACAUUCUAUUCUGGCGCAUAAAGUAGGUUGGGCUAAUCCGCCCACGUAGCGGUACUUGCUGUCAAGGCCAGCCCGCCCUAUCGGGAAGGACAGCGCGCUGGUUGUGACAGCUCUCAGAAUUUGUUUGAGAUAUAGUCCUUUUUUUGCGAUCAAGGAUGCGAUAAAGGGGCAAAUGCAGAUCUACUGGCCCAUCAAAAGACCGAGCUUUCUUCAGAAAUUCCUGGUGAUCUCGAAUGCAAGAUUAGAAGAUGGGCAAUGGACCUUAUACUUUGAUGAAUCAUCCACAGUGGUGUAGGAUUUUGAAAUCAUCAAAAAGUCCACGCAAUAUUCUUUGCUCCUUUGAAUUUGCCUUUCCAUGCUCUAAUAAGAGUGAAUAAUAUGAGGCCGAUAGGGUUGUCUAUCGCUAAAGAAAUUCAGAUCAAGAAGUGAAAAGUGGUUGCUGACUCAAAUUUGGCGGUUCGACAGAGAGAUGGGACAUUCGCACUGAAGGAGAUUUCCCUAGCACCUUCUCAGUUCCUUGUGCUGAAGCUCUCUUAUUCAAUUGAUGUGGAAUUAACCCAUGUCAACAGGUCUACCAAUCGAGAUGGUCUUUGGCCACUGAGGCUUCAAAGAUCAAGUUCGAAGAAAAAUCUCAUUCAUUAAGAGAAGCAAGCGACGAACUCCAGCUCAUGGAACUUUAUUGAACGAUAAGCUAUAUUCAGAUCUCAUGAAAAUGAAAGAAGGAGAUUAAAGACAUGCUGUGAUUCAAGAAGAACUAAAGCAAUCAGUGUCGUCAGUGCACAUGGCCAGGAUUUCAUCACAAAGUGGCAAUUUUGGGACUACUCACUCGGGGUCUUAGCUCGGUGCCUUGGCCUUGAAGAAGGAGCAAAGAGACUUUCAGAAGUGAAUGAUAGAUAAGGUCUGAGAAAGAAAGGGUAAACCUCUACAGAAGAUUGCAAAGACAAGGUUACUAUUGGCUAAAGCAAAAGCCAUAACCCUAGAUGCAAAAGAAAGAGAAGAGGAUAAAGGCCAUAAUAUACUCAUUCAUUGAUCUAUAGAAGCUCGUAUUCUCCAACUCCGUUGCCUUCGCACCUCUCGAGCAGAAUGUCCAUUUAUCGAUGUAGUGGAUUGGAGACAGCCAUAUAUCUUUUAUCUGACAAAAGGAAGCGAACCUUACCGGAUGAUAGAUAGGAAGCGAAUAAGCUAAAGAAGAUAGCCAACCUAAAGGUAUAUAGUGAGGUAAGCUAUGAAAAAGAGGCUUAUCGGGAAUUCAUCCCACUCCGCGGGAAGAACUUAUCCACGAUCUUACAAUAGACCUCUCUUUCUCCGGACCUGAAACCAUAAUCAAACUAUGUUCAUUGAUUUCACCUUCGGACCUGUCCUCCGGACAGACGGGUUAAUAUGGAUAGGACUGAGGACCUGUGAAAAGUCAAGAAAAGAAGCUCAUUAACGAUAAUGAAAGCAUAAUUCACUCAUUAACGAGAAUUCUUCUUUCAUAACCUGGAGGGAAAUAAAGAAUAGACCUCUCAGUAUCCGGAACACAAACUAGAAGUUCUCAAUGUUCAUUUCUUUGACCUAGAUUUUGCUAAUGGACCAGUUGCAAUUUCCCGGCUUUUUUGCUUCUAAAUAGGACUUUUUUGAAGAUUGAUAUUUAACGAAAAUAGAGUGAAAAAGAAGGAUUUUUCAUGAUUUCUUGCUACUAUUUCUUUUCAGCUCUCCUUAUCAGUCGAGCCCAAAACCUAGCAUUUUCUUGUAUUUCCCUCCGUCUUCAAUCUAGCAGAUUAAUCUGAAAUCUCCCUCUUUCUUUUUCAUUCCCAUUUUUUUCUUCUUUCAUUCUCGUUAAUGAAGAAUCCACAAAUGUCUAUUCUUUAUUGACUGAUUUUUCAUGAUUUCUUGCUGCCAGCCAAAAGUUAGUCAAUGUGGGAUUUCCCUCUCAAUCAUAAUUCUUCUUUCAUUCUCGUUAAUGAGUUCAAAGAAUAUUGAAAGUAACUGAUUUAGAACAGUAUUAAGUCUAAUACUCCCCCUCAAGAUGGAGAGUAUAUAUCUUUCACUCCCAUCUUGCAUAAAUGAAGAGAUAAAGUUGUGGCAUUAAGGGGCUUUGUGAGAGCAUCAGCAAGCUGAUUUGAAGACCGUAUAGUAGUUUGAUAGAUCCAUCAACAACUCUGUCUCGGACAAAAUGACAGUCAAGCUCUAUGUCUUUGGUUCUCUCAUGGAACAUGGGAUUUUGAGCUAUGUAAAUGGCAGCCUGGUUAUCACAAAAUACAGCAGCUGGUGAGCGUACUGCAAUUUUCAGUUCUCUGAGGAGACUUUGGAGCCAUAUGACUUCACAACAAAGAGUGGCUAGUGCUCGAUACUCUGCCUCAGCUGAUGACCGUGAAAGAGUUUGUUCUUUCUUUGAUUUCCAUGAUAUUAGAGAUUUACCAAGGAAAACACAGAACCCUGUAACUGAUCGUCGGGUGUCUGGACACGAUCCCCAAUCUGCAUCAACAAAAGCUUGAAAAGAUAGAUCAUCUGUUUUAGCCAUGAAAAUACCUUGGCCAGGCGAACCUUUGAUGUAUCUCAAAAGGUGAUUUGCAGCAUCCAUAUGUGUCUUGUCCGGGUGAGCCAUGAAUUGGCUGAGUUUAUGGACUGCAAACGUUAUGUCAGGUCUUGAAAUAGUCAAGUACAGCAGCUUCCCAACUAAUCUCCGAUAAGCAGUUGGGUCUUUAAGAGGUUCUUUCCCUGAACCUUUUAGUUUGACUGUGGGAUCCAUUGGUACUGUUGCUGGUUUGGCACCAAGUAAACCAGCUUCCUCUAGCAAACGUAAAGCAUAAUGCCCUUGUGAUAAGCAAGAAAAAAUGUCAGAGAACCCAAGUCUUUAAGCAGAAAUUGACGAUUAAGCACUGCUUGUAAACCUCGAAUAAGCCCAACAUUUGCUCCAGUGAUUAUAAUAUCAUCAACAUAGACAAGUAAUGCAAUGAAAGUAGUACCUUGGCCUUUUAUGAACUGAGAAUAAUCUGCCUUUUCUUGUUGGAAGCCUAAGGAAAUGAGGAACUGUGAAAACUUGGCAAACCAUUGGCGAGAGGCUUGUUUUAAUCCAUAGAUAGAUUUAUGUAGUUUGCACACCAUUCUCUCCCCCUGAAUGGUAGUAUUUGAUUUAUAGCCAAGCGGUAAGCCCAUAUAAACUUCUUCAAAGAAAUCUCCAUGAAGAAAGGCAUUGUUCACAUCAAGUUGGACUAGGUGCCAAUUCUUUGAAACUGCUAUGGUCAACAAGGUUUUGACAGUCACCAUUUUAGCUACAGGUGAGAAAGUUGAAAAAUAAUCAAGGCCUUCUUCUUGUGUAUACCCUUUCCUUUGGCAACGAGUCUUGCUUUAUGACGUUCAACAGUGCCAUCAGCUUUGUCUUUCAUUUUGUAUAUCCACUCCUACAGCAUUCUUGCCUUUUGGUAAUGGAACAAUACUCCACGUGUGAUUAAUCUCCAUGGCUUUUAGUUCAGCUUCCAUGGCUUUUCUCCAGCAAUCAUGUAUGACAGCUUCAUGAUAAAAGGCUGGUUCAUGUAAGGUGGAAACAUGUAGUAUGGAGUCUUUGAAAGGCUGAGAGAGGGCUUGGUAAGAUAUGUACUGGUUUAAUGGGUAUUUUGUGGAGCUUUGGUGAUGAGAGGUUGUGAUGUAAGGAGGCUACAAUGGUAGGCUUGGAGAUAAGAUGGUUGUUUGCUGACUCGAUUUGAUCUUCUUACUGGGGGAUUGCUGGAAAUCAGAGAGGAAUUUUCCUAAAGUGUAUUCUGUUGGAUUGACGAGGAUGGACUAUCCAUGGACUGGGCGAUGGCUUCUGGUAUGCUGUCAAGACUCACAUUUGGUGAAGAGAGAGUUGGGAUAUUUGAUGAGGGAUUAAGGCUAUCAUUGGGAGAAUCAUGGAAGGCUUUUGGUAGAGAAAAACCUGGUAUUGGAUCUUCCACGGGCUGCGGAUAAGUCUUUAAAAGGAAAGACUUCUUCAUGAAAUACAACAUCUCUUGAGACAAAAAAUUUCUGUUGAUCAAUGUUGUACAAUUUAUAUGCUUUCAUGCCUUGUGGAUAGCCUACAAACACAGCUGGUAUUGCUCUAGGUUGAAACUUGGAACGGUCAUGCGGCAGAGUGGAAGCAUAACACAGAGAACCAAAGACCUUUAAGUUCUUGUAGUCAGGUAGGUUCUUGUUAAGUAGUUGGAACGGUGAUUUCCAAUGCAACAACCUUGAUGGAGUUCUGUUGAUCAAAUAAACAGCAGUUAAUACACAUUCUCCCCAGAAAAUCAUAGGAAUACCUGACUGAAAGAAUAGUGCUCUUGCUGUAUUAAGUAUAUGCUGAUGCUUCCUUUCAACCACAGAAUUCUGUUGAGGGCAAUUUACACAAGAAAACUGAUGUAGAACUCCUUUCUCUUUAAAGAAAUCAGUGAAUUUGAAUUCUGGAGCAUUAUCAGAUCGCAUUUGCUUGAUUCUUUUACCAUGUUGAGUUUCAAUGAGUUUGAAAAACUGAGGUAUGACAAGCUUGACAUCAGAUUUCUGUUUAAGCAUGAAGACCCAUGUAAAAGGAGUAGCAUCAUCUACUAUGGUAAGAAAAUAACAGUAUCCAGCAUGAGUAGCAGUAGACAUAGGACCCCAGAUAUCAACAUGAAUGAGAUCAAAAGCAUUAGAAGACAAAUGAUUAUUUGAAGGAAAAGAGAGUUUUCUUUGUUUUGCUAAAGGACAAGUAGUACAAUGAUGAGAAGUAAGAAACUUCAAUUGUAACAGUAAGGAUUUCAAAGUCUCAAUAGAGGGAUGACCAAGUCUUUGAUGCCACAAGGAGCUGUUAUCAUUGGUGACAGCACAUAUUGAGGAAUGUACAGCAGAGGAAUUUCCCAAGUUGAACACAUAGAGUCCAUAUAAAAGUUCAGCACUGCCAAUCUUCCUCAAAGUGAACUUGUCCUGAAUUAUACAAUUGUUAGUGGAGAAACUAAGAUUAAUCGGUAGGUCUCUUGUCAAUGCACUCACUGAUAUAAGAUUGAACGAAAAUUCAGGAAUAUACAGUACAUUCUUCAGCUCUAUGAAUUCAGAUAGUCUGAUGGUACCAGCAGUUUUCACUUCAAAGACUUGUUUGUUAGGCAAUCGAAUGGUCGUGGAGCAAGGUUCCAUAGAUGUAAAGAAAGACUUGCAGCAAGAAAUAUGAGUGGAUGCUCCAGAAUCAAUUAUCCAUAAAGGAAAUGAACAAGUGGUACCUGCUAUAUGUGAGGUGGUUCUUUGAUUAGAAGCAUUCAUCUGGGACUGAAGUUGAUUGAGAAGAUUUUGACAUUGAAUCAAAGCUUCUGCAGUGCUGCUUGCAUUUACCAUCUGAUUGGGUUGUACAGUAGCUUGAGAUGUGUUUUCAUCAUUCUGGGUUGUCACUGAAUUAGCCACAUUAUUGGCUCGUUCUUGCUUCGUCUUGUAUCCAGGAGGAUACCCAUGGAGCUUGUAACAUUUAUCCACCGUAUGAAUCUUACAAUGCGUGCACACAGGUCUGUCUUUCCUCUGCCGAUUCAUAGAACCAUUCUUAGAUGGGUUCGAAGCUACGGCAAAAGCCAUUGCUGAAGUUGUGGAAGAAAAAGAUCCAAUUGAUCUUUGCUGUUCUUCUUGAGAGAGAAAAUGCUCGGCUUAUUGAAGGAAGAGAAGAGGCUCCAUAAGAAGGAGUUGUGCUCGAGCUUGAGAGAAAUUUUCAUUGAGUCCCAUGAGGAAAUCCAUAAGGUAUUCCAUUUGAAGAAAGUCUGCCAUUUCUCUUACACCAUCACAGUUGCAAGCUCCACAGGUGCAAGCUGGUCUAUAUGUAUUUAGUUCAUCAAUGAGAGUUUUGAAUUUAGUAAAAUACAUACCAAUGGAAUCUUGGUUUUGUGAUAAAGUCGCAAGAGAUCGCUUCAACUGGAAUAUUCUUGGUGCAUUUUUCUUCUGAAAUCUCUCCUUGACUUGAGGUCAACCCAAAUAGUUCUUGCUGAAUCCGAGAACAAAAUACUUGCUGAGAUGGGUUUAGAAACAGAGUUCAGUAUCCAAGAAAUAACUAUGUUGUUAUUUCUAAUCCAAGCCGGAAGAAGAUCGCCGGUUGGUCGGGUAAUGGUUCCAUCGAUGAAAGCAAUUUUGUUCUUCACUGAAAGACCAAUGGUCAUUGCUCGGCUCCAAGAAAGAUAAUUGUCUUCAGUCAAUUGCUCUGUGACUAAGACCAGAUUUGUGUUGUCGUUGUGAUGAAGAAAGUCAGGAUGAAAAUAUCCUUGGCUUUGAUCGAAGUUUGAGCAGAAGUAUCAGUUUGGCUAGAAUGAAGAUUUUCUUGGUUUUCCGGCAGGUUCUGUGAAGGGUUGAUGGUCGGAGUUGUCAUUAUGACAAUGGGUUUCAGCGGAAGACGAGGAAAAGAGAAAAAAAGAAAUUUAGGAGGAAAGAGGACGCUCUGAUACCAUAUCAAACAAGUAUUUACAGAAUGCUUGAACUCAAACUUUAUUCAUCAACAAGGAGUGAUAUUUGGUGGUUGGUAACAAGAAAAUAACAGAAAUGAACAGUAAUGAAACUAAUGAAAGAAUAUUGAAAGUAACUGAUUUAGAACAGUAUUAAGUCUAAUAAAAAGGAAUAAAGAAAGAGCUCAAAAGGAGGCUAGAAGGCUCAAAGAAUGAUCGGAGUGGAAUGAAUGAGUUUCGGUCUUUAAUGAGACCGGAGCUAGGCUUUAUCGGUAUAGGUUUGGAAGGUUUCAGAAGAGGAAGGUGAAAGACUCUCCGCAAUAUUCUUUGCACCUCGCCCUCUUCUUUAAAAUAGAGUUCAUGACUUGCGCUCCUUAACAGUCGCUUCUCAACUCAUAUUAGAUCUCGCCUCUCCCUAUGGUCGUCCGGAGGCAGGAAAAAUAGUAUUCAUCUUUGCGCCUUGCACUCCUCGCAAUAUUCUUUGCGCAUCCGGUCCAUCUUUUCUUUUAUUUACUCGCGCCUUCGGACCGUAGGACGAGUCUUAUUCCACAGGUGUCUAAUGUUUCUGACUCCUUCGGUCUACAAUAUCCCUGUCUUAUGGAGCGGUCAAUGAAAUAUGAGAAAGAAUUUGAGAGGCGCAACUUAAGGACAUAGACAUUUGUGGAUUCUUCUUAAUCAGUUCAUUAACGAGAAUGAAAGAAUCAUUCUGAUGUUCAUUGUACUCCUUCAUUGAUUUUGAGAUUGAAGACGGAGGGAAAUCCCGGAAAAUGCUAGGUUUUGCCCAUAGGGAAGUAGCAAGAAAAGACAAAAAAUCAGUCAAAAUUGAUCUAUUUUCGUUAGAUAAGAUAAGUCGAAAAAGUCACAUUUAGAAGCAAAAAAGCCGGGAAAUAGCAAUUCAAGAAUCAAGCCUAUAAAAGGGAUAAGAAAUUCAGACUUCUAGUUUGAGUUUAUGGUCCGGAUACUGACAGGUCUAUUCUUGAUUUCACUCCAGGUUAUGAAAGAAAAAUGAUGAUUUCAUUCUCGUUAAUGAGCUUCUUUUCUUGACUUUUCACAGGUCCGAAGGACCCGUCUGUCCGAAGGACGGGAUUUCAGACUAGUUGUAUACCACCACUGAUAUGAUAAAGACCAGAAUAAGCGAUAUUCACUGGGCCAAGAGCACCACCUCGAGUAAAAGCUUCGACGGCCGGUUGACCAGAUCCCAAAUUGCAUGAGCAAUAGGUCUGACAUGUAAAGGGUCCUGUACCCAUGCUUCAAAAUUUCCUUGCCAAGCUACAUGAAACAGAUUUCCGGAAGUCCACAGAAAAAUUCUUGCUAAUUGCCCGAAAUGAGAAGCAAAAAGAUUCUGAUAAAGACGUUCUUCAGUAAUAUCAUCAUCAUCAUGACUUUCGAAGUCAUGCGCGGUAGCAAUACCAAACCAAAUACGACGAGUAGUGGGGUCCUGAGCUAAGCCUUGGCUAAACCUUGGAAAUCUUAGUGCCAUAAUGCCUUUCAAAUCCUCCUAGCCAUUAUCCGACUGCAAUAAUUCUUGCUAAGAAGAACGCCCAUGUUGUGGCAAUUCCACCCAGAAGGUAAUGGGUUACUCCUACUGCACGUCCUUGGACAAUGCUCAAGGCUCUAGGCUGAGUAGCAGGAGCAACUUUGAAUUUAUUAUGAGCCCAAACGAUGGAUGAAAUAAGUUCUUGCCAAUAACCACGCCCGCUGAAUAGAAACAUUAAACUAAAAGCCCAUACAAAAUGAGCACCUAGGAAAAACAGGCCAUAUGCAGAUAAUGAAGAACCAUAAGACUGAAUUACCUGGGAUGCCUGUGCCCAUAAGAAAUCGCGAAGCCACCCAUUAAUAGUAAGAGAACUCUGCGCAAAGUUUCCUCCCGUAAUAUGAGUUACUACCCCUUGUUUGCUAACAGGUCUCGCCUAAUAGAGUCCUCAAAUCACAGCUACAUUCCUCUUCCCUAUCGGUUGAGCAACUUGGAACCUACUAUUUGGAAGAAAGCCUAUCCUAAACGUCUAUAAACUGAAUUCCUCUCCUUACAGUCGAGCCGCUUUCGCUCCUCUCCUUACAGUCGAGCCGCUUUCGCUCCUCUCCUUACAGUCGAGCCGCUUUCGCUCCUCUCCUUACAGUCGAGCCGCUUUCGCUCCUCUCCUUUAUGUCGAGUUGCUCCGCCUCUCUCCGCUCCGGUCCUCACCUUGAUUUCAGUUGGAAGGUGGGCUUUCUUCUUCUUCUUCUCACCUUUCCUUUCUCUUUGGAAAUGCAGCAAAUUCAGAAGGCUCAAAGAAUUGGAGUUGCAACAUCCCUUGCCUUGCUUUCGAGCCCAAGCCUACUUUCGUUAUAGCUUGAGCGCAUAAGGCUCUCGUACCAAAUCCAAGGUGUAUAAGCCUAGACCGAAGGGAGGAUAAGAAUAAGGCGCCCCCCAUCUGCUGCAUCUCUUUCAUCCGUAGCUGAGACAAAAGGAUAUGAAUCAACUCUUGAAGAAGAAGCAAGUCCAUUACGGAGUGCGGCGGUACCCCCUUUCGUCGGCAGCUAGAGAGAUAGGCCGAGCGCAUGCGCGGGAAAGGAGCAAAGCAGCUUGACCCGACUAAUUAAGAGAGCAAAGCCACUUUAUCGAGUUGUAGCGGGAAAGGCAGGAGAUCCUCUUCCAGUAAAGACAUACGAAUGCAGCUUUCUCUUCAGAAUAAGGAGGAUCGCGGAUAGAACGAGACCGGUAGAUAAUAACUCCUCCACUUAGAUUAGAGGGUCCGUAAGGCUCCCAGUCAGAACCACCAGAGUUUUUUUACGACCAAGAAGAAGGUUAGGCCGGAUUAGGCGAGGCAUCCGUCCCACGUAGCGGUUGGAAUCCCGCUCUUGUGUUGAAAGGGAUCUUUCUCGGCAGUAGUGGUCCUGAGACUGAUCGAUGUUGUUGGGAGAAUUGAAUUUUGAUCCGUCUUCUUCCUUUUAUUUAAGUAGGCGAGGCUCCUUUCUCGUCUUAUGACUUUUGUUUGAGUGGUUUGUUUUCUAUUUUCAUCAGUUCCACGCAAUAUUCUUUGCACCUUCGCAAUAUUAGUUCCAUUAAGAAAAACAAGUCAGAAGGUGCCAUAAGGGAUAUUCUUGAGUGGCUCCAGCUUCUUAUUUGACGCUAGGCGCAAUUCAAUAUGCGUUGUUUGCGUUCCGCUUAAAAAAAAAAGAAGAAAGAAGAGAAUUAUCCGUAUUAAUUGACUGGAUCUUGUAAGUCCUCCGUCAUAUGGAUAAAAAUCAGUCCUUCGGCCUAUGGUAGCCAAAUAGAAUUCGACGCUCCGGAGGCGCAAAGCAAGCCCACUCCGUAUUAAUUGACUGGAUCUUGUAAGUCCUUAAUUUAAUAUGGAUAAAGACUCAAAAGGAGCUUGAUUUUCGCUCAAAGAAAUAUCCUAGGCUUGAUUCAUGAAAGCUAUAAAAGCAGAGCGCAAAGAAUUUGCGAAAGGCUCCAUAAGACAGGUCCGAAGGACUAUCCAUCAGGAAGGCUCAAAGAAGAGAAUCAAGGCGGCAAAGGUGAAUAUAAGGACGAGUCGAAAACAAGAGGUAUUUCGACAGCUUGUUCUCCGUUGAUAGUAUUUCAGUCUGGGAUUCGCCAGGAUCUGGGCAUAGGCGGCCGCACAUGCAACCAUACAAGGUUGCCACGAUCCUCUCCUCCUGUAAGUCUUCUAAGCUAAGCAGGAAUAGAAGUUUCAGGGCAUAAGGUGAAUUAUCAGCCAAGGCCUGUCUUCAUUAGUUCAGCUUCCCGGAAUCCGGUUUCCCAUUAGGAUAAUGGGUACGUUAGCUCUUUUUAGAAAAGUUCAAUCAUAUUUACAAUCUAGCCUGCACUCCUGCCCAGUAGGGUGAGUAUCGCAUGAAUAUAGCCGCCGCGCUGCUCCCUUUCAUAUUGGGUCUGCGCUCUUCGCAAUAUUCUUUGCGCCUUGUCUUUCUCUUCUGUGCUUUCUGGAAGCUUCGCCUUCCAGUAAUAUCUCGUUUAGCUCGAACUUUCCCCAGAGUUGACAGGAGUGAACUAGCAAGAAGCUAUCACAAAGUAGCGAGAGAAGAAGUCUUAUCGACUUAUAUCUUGUUCAUACAAACUUCUUUCUUUCGCGGAGAGAGAGGGGGAAGAAUACCCGUUCUUCUUCUUAAGCUCUUUCCCCGUCGUCCGUAUUCUAUUCAACCUUGUAAGUCAAAGAGUCAGCAACCCCACCAGUCGUUGUUGCCGUUGCUGAGUCGAUCGGCGGAAUCUGAGGUCAACUCUUUCUUCAGUCGCUUUUCUUGUCUUUUUCUCUUUCAUUCUUCCACGAAUGCGAAGUUGCCGCUGAGUUGGCCGAGUAGGGUAGGUCGGGGAAUCGGGCUAGGCCCGAUUGACCUUCUUAAGUUCUUUUAGUAGCUUUUCUCGUUGCAGGAGUAUCGGUUUCAGCUUCAAGCUUCUAUGAGAAAUGUCUCAACAAGAACAGCUACUGCCGAAACAUCUCAAUCAAAAUCAAGCGGAAAUCUCUCAAAUUGCAUUGAGCCUGCACCCUCGUAAACUCUUCCUACUGAAUUACCUUUUUUCAUUACCUUCCUUUGUCAAUUCCUAGAGAAAGAGCCUGUCUCGGAAGGGUCCCGUAGAACGACCUUGUCCGUAUCUUUUAAAGGGAAGAGAGUCAGACUUCCUCCAGUUUCUAGGAUCGGGAGCUAGACCUGAGGGGACCGAGGGCUCCUUACCUCUACGGCUGACUAUCUCAGUUCGAAUUCUUACCCGGCGGCUUUCUUCUUUUUAGUCUGAUGAACGAGAAUCAAGGCUCAAUGUAAUAUGAGUUGAGAAAUCCAUUAUUUUUGGACGGGUAGAUUCAUUCACGCAUAUUGAAUUGCGCCUCGUCCUUCCGCGCUCCGCUCCUUUCGCAAAUUCUUUGCGCCUCAAAAAAAAAGAAAGAAUGUCCAUCUGAGUCAGAAACCGCAUCUUUGCAACCUUUGGGAUCAUGACGGAUAUUAUUGGAAUCAGACUCAAGAGGAGCGGUCUUAAGACUCGCUUUAGCGGAAUAACUCCGGUUAAUAUGGAUAGUCCUUCGGACCUGUCUUAUGGCGCCUCCGGUUCCCGCAAUAUUCUUUGCGCCUAACUACGGGGGUUCAGAUGACUUUCAAUAUUUUGAAAGGAGUAGGCGUAGUCUUCUUCCAUUGAAUCAGCGGGUUAGCCCAAUUGUAUGGACGAGCCGCUCUUCGAUAACUCUGAUGAUUGUACCGCGUAGUGGGUCACUUUAUUCAGUAGAAAGAGAAUAGUCAUUUUUCACUUUUGGCUAUAGCUGGCAGCAAGAAAUAGGGGUUUUCAGUCAAAAAAGAUCUUUUAUCGGCAUCAAAUUUUCGCAAUAUUCGAUAAUUCGCAUAUUUCAUUGCCUGAAAUUUUAAGGAGUCUUAAAACGGAGGACGAGUCUGAAAUCUGGGUUAAUAUGGAUAGUCCGGAGGACCUAACUACGGGCUCAAGAUGAGAUUCUUUCUUUUUGCCGGUAAAAAAAGCUUGGUCCUUCUAAAGAAAUAGGAUGAAUGUCAAUAUUCAAAGAGCCUUUCUUUCUCUCUCCAUUUCAUGCGCCUCAAAUUCUGAUCGCCAUUCUUUCUCUUCUUUCAGUCGUCCGGAGGCGCAAUUCAAUAUGCGACUUUGAACCUCCGGACUGUUAAGGCGCAAAGAAUAUUGCGACUGCCGGAGGACGGAUAGUGGAAUAAGACUCGUCCUCCGCGGUUCAAUGAACAUCCAUAAAUAAAUAGGGGGUUUUGCAACUGGAUGAAUUUGAAUCUCUCGUCUGAAGUUCAUUCAGAAAAAUCUCCGCGGUUGAGUCCGUAUCCUCGCUCUCUCACUGAAAGAGUCCUUAGACCUUAUUGGGUUAGUAGCUUAAAACUAGGUCUCGUGACGAACCAUUCAUUAAGAUAAGAAUAGGGUUGGCUGAUACCGAGAGUGACCUCUCGAAAAGAGAAGGAACUCUCAUGCAUUCAAUGUCUUGGGUCGAGUGCGAGAAUCCUACGUCCGAUUAAUUGGUAUUCUCUCAGUCCUUGGGUUAAGUCAAGCGGGCGGCUUCUCCUUCUAUCUAAUUAUUAGAUUCAGACGAAGAUGCUCUAACCGCGUAGUGGGGUCGGAAUAGCAGCUGUUAAUGGAAUGUGGGAUAAAGGGUCCAAAGCCUUUCUUCCAGAACCUUUCUGACCCUAGUUGCUGAUAUCCCACGCAAGGGUAUAUCGUCUCCAUGAAGAUAUAGUGAGAAAUGGGAAAAAGCGAUGCUAUUUCAUCUGGCUUGAUAAGAGCCAAUUCCACUCAAAAAAAGGAAGGGGGAAAGACUGAAGAUGGCUAAGCUCGCAUGCCUCAUCCAAGAGGAGAACUCUCAACAACUUUAGGACUGCAGGGCUUAUAUACAAUAGAAAGAAAAGGGGGGGAAAGGGCAUGAAAAAAGAGCUUCAAAAGGGGAAUAGAAUUGGAUGAGCUUACCAUUAUCAUUACAUUAGACUAGCACUCCGACUAGAUAGGCUUUUUCUCGAAAUGCAGCGGGAAGAAUUCGUCAACCUAACUUCGAACCUGCUUUCCUACAUAGAACGAAGCCAGGAUUCAAGCCUUAAGCGAGAGACUAUUCGCUGGACGGCCAGUAUUGAUGGGAGUGUAGGAAAGGUCCUACAGGAAGGGGGUCUCGAAAUUCCCGAUAAGAGGACAGGAGAUAUCAUCUUCGCUCAUCGGGGAAAUCUUUCUUAUCUCAACGAUAUAAUUCGCGAUCUGGGGGGGACUGGACUGAACCUCAUGGUUUUUCAAUGAGGUGAUCGACUUCGUGCUUGGAUCUUAGAGUGUCUCUACCUUCCAAAAGAAGAUGGAAGUUUCUGAAAGGUGAAAUCAAAGUGCUAAAGCACGAACCCCGGACAAAUCUCUUUGGAUCGAUAGAUCUACUUUAACAUUUGAAUUUCUCUGACAUUCUACGUUCCCGAAACGGAUCCUAUCAAAUAUUUCACAUUUUCUAUGAUCAUCUCUAUUUUAGGUAUUCGGGGAAUCCUCCUUAAUAGACGAAAUAUUCCUAUUAUGUCAAUGCCAAUUGAAUCAAUGUUAUUAGCUGUGAAUUCGAACUUUUUGGUAUUUUCCGUUUCUUCGGAUGAUAUGAUGGGUCAAUCAUUUGCUUCAUUGGUUCCAACGGUGGCAGCUGCGGAAUCCGCUAUUGGGUUAGCCAUUUUCGUUAUUACUUUCCGAGUCCGAGGGACUAUUGCAGUAGAAUUUCUUAAUAGCAUUCAAGGUUAAACAUCACUCCUAGAGAAUUACCAAAAUACGAAGUUCGAAUCUCCUUAGCACAAGCACUAAGUAAGCAAGCAACCUCUUAUGUAGGCGCCAACUCCAAGUUCUUUCUCUUCUUUCUUUUUGAGUUUAGUGAGAGUUCAUCAAAUUGUCCUCCUAGAUCGAGCACGCGAGGCGCAUAGUCUGAAGUUCAAGGAAAGCCGCCGCUUUCUUUACUAGAUUUCGACUACUUUUCAUCAAUAUUCUUUGUCAUCUGUCGCUCGCAAAUUCUUUGCGCCUCCAUACCAUACCUUCCCUCUUCUUUCUUUGUGGCUUCUUCAUCAUCUUGUUCCAUCCUUCUGGUUCGGUAGGUGUCCGGGCCUCCUCAAAAAUCCUGAAGACAAGAAUGCUGGCUGCUUUCACAUUGUAAGAGAUUGAACCGUCUUGCUCUUGUGAAGACUGAUCAUAAGUGGCAAAACGGAAUCCUCAUGUCCAUAAGCUCUCCUCUCUGAAGUUAUGUCUAAUAAGAAUAGUUAUGAACACCGAAUAAGUUGAUAAGAUAAGAAGACCAGCUAAAAGGAAGGAAAGAAGUUAUGAACAACGAGAAAGUAAAGAGCUGCUAGCAAGACUGGUCACCGCUACGUGGGUAAGAGAGAAUGAAAGAAAGAGAGUUAUGGAUCGGCCUCAAUGAACAAAGCCUCAAUGAGUGAAAAGAAUAUUGACAAAGAAUUUGAGUUCUUAUUAUUCAUAAGAAAGGGAAAGAGUUUGAGAGUCAAUGAUAAAGGAGAGGGUAGAUAUAGGCUCGACCGCCCCGUGGGAGGGAAGACUGACGUCUAUCUCAUGGAUCGCAGAAGUUCUAUACCCGUUCAGUCAUCAGACGAAGAGGUUGCGGAUCUUGCAGUAUCCUCCCCUGUUUCGGCAUCAAGGGGAAGAGCUCUCCCAAUAGAGAUAGAGAGAGGCCUCCAUCAAGGCAAUUCCCCGUAAGAGGUCGUCCCGGCCGAGAGAAAGGCUGGCAGUUUCCGCAGAAAAGGAAGCCCACGUAGCACGCUAUCCUUGAGACUGUUAAGGCUAGGCGUAAUUGAGUGGAGAGUGAGUUUACGAACGAGUCCAGAAUAUAAUAGAGAGGCGCCGUCCUCUCGGCUCCUAGGGUAGCUCGGUAAUGAAGGUUCCAUCCACGCUAGGUUGCCGGAGACUGGAGAGCUUAGUCGGGUAGAAAGGGAAUAUGUCUCAACUCCUGUUGAGGAAGAGGAUGAAAUCCCAGUAUCUGUCUCGGAAGCUGUCCCAGUUUCAUUAUCCGUCUCUACAGGAAGAGGCGGACUUGGACAGUAACCUCAACAAUAAGAGCUUCCCCAAAAAAGAUAAAGAGGUUGAAGCCCCGAUCGACUGAACUUAAUACUGAAAAUAGGAAAGAGGUGAAAAGAAUAUGGAAUUGAGUCGAGUUAGUUUACGAAGGAGAAGGUGAAAAGAAUAUUUCAUCCGUGGGUUUAUUUACCUGUAUUUAUGGUUCAUAUUUCAGUCAUUUACCCGUCCUUUGCCUUUGGUUUGCGCCCCAUAUUAAGCUACGGAGGCCCGAAGAAGAAAAAGAAGGUGCGGGUGCAGAUGCGCCAUAAGACAGGUCCGAAGGACUAUCCAUUAGGGGAUUGAGAAAGAUUAGACUUUAACCCCCGCGUAGUGGGCCUUUUUCCCUUUCCUCUGCCUAUGAGAUUGAAUUUUGAAAGCUUAGUAAGGAUAAGUAUUUACUAUCCUCUUGACUGAUAGCUCACAUUCCCGACAAAAGAGCAAAGAGAACUGCCCUUUCUAUCUUUCCCCCUUAACGGAAUCGCACCUAGGACCUCUCAGUCAUCAUACUAGGGGGAGCCAUAUACAUAUUCGAAAUCAGAAAAGGGCUAACUUAGCAAGAAAGCAGAGAGAAAGGGUGCCCUAAUGGAGUCAGAGCGUACGGUUAGGAAGAAGCAAUUCCCUACUCUAUUACUAUAUAUAUAGUACACUAUUCCCCCCUUUUUUUUGCAGAAGAUCUAUCUGUUGCUGGCGGAAGGAGAACGGGGAACUGAACUGGCCAAUUCGACUGGCUAAUGAUGUAAUCCUCUGAUUAUAGGAAGCGACUUGGGGUAGCCAUCCAUGCGAGAUUGUGACUGAGCUACCUUUCACCUCGCAUUCAGGGACCUUUUUUUUCAUUUACACUAAGCCGUCUUAUAUUGAUUUCCGAAAAGCGAGAAAGGGGGGCUUUGAGUAUGAAACUUAGCACCUCAUUCCUUUGUUGGGAUAAUUUACUCCCUUCUGACUCAGCCAAAGGAUCAAUGGACAAAGGCUGCAUUCAGAUUCGGUAAGUCUGAUAUUAUUUUCUCUUGUCUCCGCUCUGCUGAAAUCAUCAGCUGUUCCAGUAACCGGUGCUAGUGGUAGUAGGAGUUCUUGGUCAACUAUCAUUGGUGAUGCAGAAGAGGAUUGAGGGAAAAGAGGAUUACAAUCAAGCUAGUAAGGCAAGGUGCCCACUACGCGGGGGUUCAAGUUUCAUCUUUCUUUUUUGCACUCCUAAUGGAUAGUCCUACGGAUAAAUCCUCCGGACUCCGGACUAUCCAUUAGAACUUUGACCCUCUCCCUAUGGUCGUCCGGUUUAGAGUCCUUCGGACGUCCUCAGUCCUUUCCAUUAGUAGUUAGGAGCUUUUCAUAUUGCGGAAAAGAAGAAAGGCUCAAUGCAAUAUGAGUUUGAUAUCCAUAUUAACUUUUCUUUUAGAACUCAAAUUCUUUGUUCUUUGUUCGCCUCUCCUUUCAGUCGAGCCUUUGUUUUUGGAAAUUCAUGGAUAGGGCUUCAAACCUUUAAGCCUUUUUAGUAGGUUUAGGAGAAGGAGACUGAGGAAGACUUAGUAGGAAUAGGAGAGGCUAUAAUAUCUCAACUAGGGAUAGGAGCUGGAUACUGAGUCUGAGUGAGGGAUCGAAAGGGGAAAGCCGCUCUGAGAAGAGAGAGGGGAAGAGUCAUUCAAUCGUCAGAAGAAGGCAGAAUAGGGCAGUCUAGGCCUCGUCUCAUUCAUAUGCUUUCCCGAGUAUUCUCUCUUUCCUUAGCCCCUCCUAUAGUCAGCAAGGGAAUUCUCCUCAAUAGAAUAUGCUCGAAAGCGUAGAUAGAAUUCUCGUAUCUUUGAGUAGGAGUUUACGAGUAUUUUAUCUUAUUCGUUAUGCAAUAGACCCCGAUAGGGAUAGGUUAGUUGUCCUCGCAGCUCUCCUAGGAUCCAGGUCAUUCUUUCAUGAGUAAGCUAGAAGCGAUAACUAAGAUAGAUACGCCGGAAGCAAGGUAACUGAAAGAGGAAGCUGAAGCUGAGUUGACUCGGGGGGUUAGGGUAGAAGCUACUUUCCCCAAUGAGUCGGAUUCGGAGCUCAUAAUAAUAAUAAUAAUAAGCGGAAGACUUCCGAUAGGGCGAGGUUAGAAGGAGUCCCGCCUCUUCUCUUCCGAAAGUUAGUGGAGGUGGAGCUCUAGCCGAGUCAAUCUAUACCUUAAUAGCUCAUGGUACGCUCACAUUUUCCCUUGGCGACGUACUAAACUGCUAUCUUUCCUUGGAAGUAGAGCAGCCCACCUCUAACCCAGCCGAUUUCUCUUCUUAUGCUUCAGCCGAUCCAUCCGAGACUGAUUAGUCUUUCUCUUCCUGGCCGAGAUUCGGGCUUCCGAGUGAAGGAAGGGAGUGAUCGAUCUCUGAACCUAAUAAAUACUGUUCAAAGAAUAUUGACCUAUCUCCAACUCACUGAGGAAAAUUCCUCUCCCUACGGUCGAGCUAUUUCAUUCCUCUCCCUACGGUCGAGCUAUUUCAUUCCUCUCCUAAACUCUAUCCCUCAACGGAAAAUACUCACUUCAUAGGCUUCUCAAAUUCUUUUCACCUGGACCUCUUCCUCUGUCUUUUCUCUCUCCCGCUACGUCCGAAGUCCGAAGGACUGUCCAUAUGAUAACCUUGCCGUAGGUCGUUGAUAGUCUUUCUAAAGAUAAAAAAGGGCGGCUCCUUCGCACCUCUUCCCCAACUUGCCAGUCUCGACUUUUCCUCAUUCUAUUCUGAUGAGAAUGAAAGAGCAAGGGCACGGACCAGGCUGAGGCAAGGAUCCGAGGAACUUUCCUUCAUCCAGUAUGAAAGCCAAAGGCCUAUGAGAAGAAGAAGAAGUUCAUUCCUUAGAAAUAUAAAUGAGAGCGAAAGCGGCUCGCUCGCAAUAUUCUCAUGUCAGUGGAAGGCAAUAUUCGAUAAUUCAGGCUGAGGCGGAGGAGGAGUUGACGGCUCGCCUUAGAUAGGAAAUAGGGGGAGAGGCGCAAAGAAUAUUGCCCAUGGGCUCGACUGAGAUGGACGGAGGACGAGGCGCAAAGUUCGGUUAAUUACGGAAAGUCCUCCUUCGGUUAAUUACGGAUGGUCCUACUUCCAUAUGGAUAGUCCUACGGAUAAGAAUCCUGCGGACUCCGGACUGCUUCCUUCCAUAUGGAUGGUCCUACUUCCAUAUGGAUAGUCCUACGGAUAAGAAUCCUCCGGACUCCGGACUACUUCCAUAUGGAUAGUCCUCCGGAUAAAUCCUGCGGACUGCGGACGUAGGACUGCGGACUGCUUCUAAUGGAUAGUCCUACUUCGGUUAAUUACGGAUGGUCCUACGGAUAAAUCCUCCGGACUCCGGAUAAGAAUCCUGCGGACUCCGGACCCUGGACCUUUCUUUGAUGGAGGCGCAAUGAAAUAUGCGGCGUGAGAAGCAAGGUUUUAAGUGCAACUCAACCUACUAAAAUAAAAAGAACCUAAAAAAUACUGUUUUAAGUGCAAGGAAUGAUAUUAAUCUUUUACAUAGUCUUUGAAAACUGGAGGCAAGGCAGACCAGUUUGCUCUUUUCAAACAUUAACAUGCGAAGCGAAGCAUUAAAAGAAGAGAUAAAUAAAGAGUUAAGGAGCGCAAAGACGCAAUAUUCCUUGCGCCGGAGGACUAUCCAUAUUAAGAAAGACUAUUACAAACAUUAGUAUGGACUAUUCCGUGCCUUUUUACAUAGUCUUUGAAAAUCAUCAACACCUCCGGACGGAGGCUGGGUCAGGAUAGGUAAAAGAAUAUGCUCGACGGGUAAAGCCUUAAGCAAGGCAAGAGGUAAGCACUACACUAUUGUAUAAUAGGUUGAGUUUUGGUCUCCCUCUUGAGUACCCGCCCGGGACGUCUUUCUUGUGCCUGUACUGCCAAGAGAAGGUGCCCCAUAUAGUUAACAAGACUUCUCCCGUUGCCCAGUUUUCCCGGUUUGGGGACACUGCCAGAAUUAGAUUAUGAAGAGUGAAAAGCGAGAAAUGAGAGGGAGGAAGGAAGUCGAGACCUCCCACGUAGCGGUAGAGGAAGGAAGCCAUUUCCAGCACGAGCCAAUCGAGAAAGCCGAAAAAGUAGAACACUUUCCGCACGAAAGGGAAAAUUCAGAGUAGAAGGAGUUGAAGAGGAAGAGCAUAACCGAGCCAAUUCAGAGCUGACGCGCGGGUCUUUAUCCGAGACAGAUGUAGACCCGAAGGCUCGACCGGCCGAGAAGAAUCCCAGUUUCUAGGGCGAACAAGUAGCUUAUUUGUCCAAAUUCAAUGUGUUAAGCAAAUGAGAACUACAAAAAGUCAUCCAUUCAUUCUUUGUCAAUAUUCUUUGAACCUCCUUUCCUUUGGACGUAGAAGGACUUGCGCUUGCACUCCUUCAGAGCUCUUUCUCAUAUUACAUUUCACCUUUCUUUGUCUUUUAAUGCGCUUGGCUUCUAACAGUAUUUAUUAGGUUCUAUUAGCCGUUUUUAGGUUUGCAGUCUCUCUUCUUCUCACCCUAUUUAGUAGUAGGAGAUGUAGUGCCUCUACUUCCCUUUCCUUUCUUUUCUUCAGUAUUUAUUACUCUGGCUUUUCAUUGUCAACUCAUCUCUCGCUCGCAAAUUCUUUGCGCCUUCUUCUCUGCGAAUUUUUCUAAAUCAUAAUUGAGGGAGCAGUCUUAUCCUAUUUUACUCGCUAGGCAAAAAUAGAUCGCACUACGCAAAGCCUAGACACAAAGAAAGAAAGUGAGAACUCAUAGGGUUCGGGGUCGGGAGGAAUAUGGAUCAAAAUCAGUCCCACUAUAAAGAUAGGUUUUUAGUUCUCUCAAAUUUCAUUGAUCCUUUGACGCAGUCCGCAGGAUUUAUCCGUAGGACUAUCCAUUAGAAGCACCGAAAACGAUUAAAAGGGAGAAAACGACUCAAGAGGAGUGCUCCGUCGCAAAUUCUUUGCGCCUAAUUAGUUCAGAUAGACAUUCUUUAUUUAGGAGGCGCAAUUCAAUAUGCGAUUGCGUUCCGCUUAAAAAGUCUGAUUCCGAAAAAAAGCUGUUAAAUAGCCAAUAAUAUCCGCGCGUAGGUGCCACAGGGAUAUUCUUGAGAAGAAUAUUGACAAGACUGGUCCGUCCUCCGGACUCAAGGAUUCCGCUAAAGUUUAGGGAAUUUGACUUUGUCUAAGAAGAGAAAACGAGUCCUUCGGACGGAGUGCAAGGCGCAAAGAAUAUUGCGAGAGCCUAACGUUCUAUUCUAAUGGAUAGUCCUACAAGAUCCAGUCAAUCAAUCCGUAGUGCUUUCUUUAUUUCGUAGCUUAAUAUGGAGCGGUCUCGCAACAAAAGAAUAUCCCCCAGUGAAAAUCUUCUUUCUUCUUGGAAGCACGCCUUUAUGUUCGGACUAUUGCGGGGGAAUAUCGAUAUCACCGCUCACAAAGUAGGGAUGUUCCAACCCAUUAUUCAAAGACCUCUUUCCCGAGUCGGAAGCUCUCUUAUUUCAGACGGAGGAGUCUGACGCUUCGCGCCUUAUUCGUUGACAGGAAUGCACCACCCAUUUUAUCAUGAUGGAGAGUACCGCUGGCUCCUUACCGAUCUCGAGCCUGGAUCUUAUUCAUUCAUGAAACCGAGACUGAUGAUUCUGCCUUUGAACCUGUCUUCCUACCUGCUCUGAUUUAGAAAUCUGGUCAAUCUGGGGCUUCUGACGAUUACUCUUCCGCCGAGACGGACUCAGAAGGUGGUUUCCGGUCACGGUCAAACCCGGGAAUCAAGGUAUUGAAUUUCUUCUAGAUUUUUCUUUGGGGGAGGACUACUCGAAAGGAGAGAGCGAGACUGACUGACUUAAUAGGAAAUAGGGAGAUAAAGCCAGAGGGUCCUCUGUUCUUCUAGUUGAUCGGGGCGAAGAAGCGAGAUUGAAUUAAUAGGAAAUAGGGGGCGACCGAAUGAGACAGAGAUUGAAGGUGAAAAGAAGAUUUCGAAAGGCAUCCGUCCCAGUUGAAUAGAUAGAAAGUGGAAGAAGAAUAGAAAGCAUAACUAUCAGAGUUAGAUUGAUUGAGUAGGAUCGGGGGGAUCGGAAACCCUCUUUCGUCAAUGUCCCCUGAACCUGAAGUAGCGAUAGGCCCAGGACAGGAGGAGUUAUCCCUCUUUCUUCAGUCAUCCUAUUCUCCCCGAAGAAAGCCCCUACCCCUAUUUCUUGUCUUUACGCGGAUCUGCUGAGUUAUUGCUGUUAGGCUAGUCCCAUGAAGAUUGGAAUACGAACAUUAGUCAACGGAGACUUCUCCCGAUUCCUAAACUAAUAAUCAGACGGAUUCUGCCGACCCAACCGCUACGUGGGCCCACUCCGAUCCUCUACGUCCCUACUUCUUAUGGCACAACGGAUGACGCGCUUCCAUCAUGAAAUCAGUCUUUUGACUCGAGACAGCGACUACUGAAAUUCCAGAACCUCACUCACUUGCUUACUCUUUCAGUUCCCUUUGUUGACUCAUUAUCUCAUACUCGGGAAAGCAGCUUCCUGAAACUCUGUCUCGCUCAAUUACGAACCUCGUCAACUCAGUAUAUUCAUACCUCGGGAAAGCAGCUGAGCUCAAGACUCGAUACCUGCUCUCCACGCGUAGUGGGGUCGAGGAUUGAAGUGAUGCUUCGCCCUUCCUGCUGCUUUCUUGUUCUGGCUCUUUUUCCGCUGCUCCUUGUUCUCCUUAUCUUAAUCUUCUUCGACUGUUCUAGGUUCUUGCUUCGCUUUGUCCUAUUCCCCCUCUUCUUGAGUGGAAGGGGUCCGGGGAAGUUGAAUAAGCAGUUUCAUGAGAAAAAAGCUCUUUCUCUUGUUCUGGCUCUUUUUCUGCUUCGUAUGCGUCUCUCUCUUGAUCGGAAAGCAUCUCUCCCAUAGGGAAAACUCAUGAUUUUCUAAUUCUAUCAUUUUAUUUUCAUUAUUCAUAUUCAAAAGUGAUACCUCUCUCCCCCAUGUAGCGGUACUCCACGAAAGAAAGAAGUUGAAAAGAAAAUAGAGGUUUAUCAAGCGUCUCGUCUCUUCUUUAAUAGACUAGUGAAAGAAGCGCAUCUUUCUUUCUGAAAGUGAACCAUCGCUUGAUACUCUUUCUUAAAGACCUUUACCAAUGAAUCAAAAUCAAGAAAGGCGGCCGAGCUUUAGUAGUUUGAACCGCGGAGGGGGCUCAGGAAGCCAGAAUGAAAUAAGUUACUACUUUUUUUUAGGGGCGAUGGAUAAGCGCUGGCUUUGAUUUUCUCAAAGAACGUGCUAAGAAGAAGAGAGAGGGAUGAAAUAGCGAGACCAUAGGGAGAGGGAUGAAAUAGCGAGACCAUAGGGAGAGGGAUCCAGCUGCUCAACUUUUUCUACCUGGAUAGUUCAUGCUUUGUCUUUCUUCUCCUGAGAUCAAACUUUCUACUAAGUUAUACGGAGACCGGCUCCUCCUUCUACUUAAUUAUUAAAGUAAAGAGCACCCAUAUUUGACGGUCCUAUCAUGGCCUCGCUUAGUUUAUUUAGGGGAUUAGGCAUCUAGUUUGAGAAAGUAAGGAAAAGAUCGAUAGACAAGGCUAAAACUACCGAUAUGAAUAGUUCUUCAAAGACGAUAAAAAAAAGACUUUCUUGUUCAUGAGCGUCAGCCUAGUUCAUUGGGAAUCUUUGCUUGAUUGAUUCUAUUAAGCUAGUUCCAAUCUCGUUCAAUUCUCAUUGAGUUCCAUUAUCUAAUUUCGAAAAAUGGAGAAUAGAAUAGUUGUUCAAUUUCUAGUUCUCUAGUUCAUAGUUCUAGCUUGACUCAUGGAUCACUUUCCGCAACAUAUCAUUCACCAGCGGAUCGAAGAAGACGAACUUAUACUUCCCUGGAAGAGUGACUCCUUGCUCCUUCCUCCCUUUCUUUAGCUGCUACGGGACACCCACCCAAACCAACCCAGGAACUUCCCCCCUAGCUUAGUCAACUCUAACCUCUUCCUGAGAAAAGAAUGAAACUGCUCAUUCACUGAAUUUCCCCGUCAUUAAAGAAGUUCCAUUAUCAAGCUAGAACUCAGAAUCAAAGGUAGAGGUAUGCUCUUGAUAGAGAGAUUUCGUAAGAGGAAGAAGAAUCAAGGUAAUUUUCAGUGGAAAGAGACAGAACAAGAGGAAUCGGCAGCUAGACCCGACCUAUUCAUAUAAAAAAGAGAGUGGGAGAGGGCUUUUCUAUCAUACUUUCACUCUGGGAGAGACUGAAAAGCCGUCAGUCUGAGGACCCGUUUUGAUUCCAGAGUCAGCUAAACCCGAUUGACGAGACCUGAGGGGAGCCGGAUCGGCGUCUGGAGCAAGAAGAUCUGACUCCCCCUGAACUUUUCCCUUCGAGACCGCGGAGUGGGAUUCUUUGAGCCUUCUUAAGCUGCUUUCGGGUAGAGAAUGGCGAGACCUAGAAUAGAAGUGAAGCAUGAGAUGGAAGAUAAAGAGGAAUCCGUCGAGCAUAUCCUUUCCAGAACAGUAUAAGCGAGGAAAUAAGAGGACGGAUAGGGCACCAUAGAUUCCGUUGGCAACGGGCCUCGAGUUGUCUUAGCCCGAUAUCGACCAAUCGCUUGCCUUGCCUCUUCGGCUUCGCCUUGCCCUUCUAUCAUAGCCUCUCUCCCUUCUUUCUGCUCGAGCAAGAACCUUUUUGAUUUUUAUUGGGAUUGAUUUGUCUAUAUAAGGAGAAGUCUUUCACUGACCUUCGAACCUAUCCAUGAAAGACGAGAUGAGAGGAAGUGAGUAUUUGAGCAGUUUCACUAUGCGGUCUAAGCUCUUCUAAAUGUGUCUAAAACCAAGGAUGAACAUUUGAACUGGACUCUUUGAAAUUCCUUCUUUUCUCUACAUUAUUGUCAAAGGUCUUGAGGGACCGUAUUGGCGCGAGACGUUUAGAACCCCGGAGCUCGAAGAGCGGGUGGCGUAAAAUCACUUGAUUGAAUUUCAUUCCAUACCUCCCAUCUACCCCUGAAAACGUAAACAAAGGAGAAGAAAGCAAGCGUCAACAGCCUCAACUCGAAGAAGACUCCCUCACGCAGGGAACAAGCCAUAAAGUGGUCUCUCGACUUCAUUCCUCAACAGGUAAGGUUCAUUCUCCUUGUGUCGAAAGGCACCCAUUAUGCCGAGUGAGGUCUUGAUUUUCAUGGGACAUAGGAAAUUAUACCUAUGGGUAAAGGACAGCACUGGGCCGCACCACGUAGUGCGGAAGAUUGUCUCUCCCGCUUCUUCUUUGAGAUUUUCAUGUGAAUUCAUGGGUUUACUUGUUUUUCUCUCAUGCGUGAAAAGAAAGAAAGAUGGAACCGGGUCCUUGAAAUGCCCAUAUUUAGAGGGGAGCUCAGGAAGAGGUUAUAAGCGCUAUCAUUUAUAGACCUCAUUCAGAACCAGAUAGGAGAUCGGGGCAGGAAAUAAGGAAGCCACUAAUUAUGGAAGCGAGUGACUAAGGGGUAGAAAUAAGAGAAAGAAGGCUUUCAACCACACGUCCCCUUGGCAUUCACGGAUGGGUUAUGUUUCAAUCCUUUCAGUCAAGAUCUUCUAUCCACUAUGCCAGUGGCGUACGACCUUCUGUGCUUUAGAGUGAAGGUCUAGAGCUCUUUGACUUGAUUCUCCCUCAUCAUUAUAAUCGUAUCUCUUUUUUGAUUUCUUCCUUUUUGCAUGAAAGAGGAAUGUUUUAGCUCGACCAAAGGUUCUUAAGUUCAAUAUUUAAGGAGUACGAGAGGAAUAGGUUUCAUUCUAUUCAGCUGUCCCAUAGGGAGAGGGUAUCACCGAGAAUACGAGGUAAGAGAGAGAGUUUGAAACUCUCACAGAUCGUCUUUCUAGUCUCAGAGUCACUCAAAUAGCCGUUGGCAGCUGAUAGGGAAAUCCAAUAGUCAUUUUUCACUUUUGACCCCCUCCGGUCCUCCGGACUCAAGAAUUCCGCUAAAGUUUCUGACGUAGGCUUCUUAAAAUAGUGAGGCUCAAUGCAAUAUGAGUUGCGAGACAGGUCCGAAGGACUAUCCAUUAGGGGAUGAGAAAGAUUAUACAUUUUUAGCUUCUUAAUCAGUUCAUUAACGAGAAUGAAAGAAUAAUUAGGAUUGAAUCACCUUGUUUUUACGGAGGGAAAUGCUAGGUUUUGCCCAUAGGGAAGUAGCAAGAAAUCAUGAAAAAUCAGUCAUUUUUCGACAAUUUUCGUUAAAUAGAAAUCUUUGAUUUAGUCCUAUUUAGAAGCAAAAAAGCCGGGAAAACGCAAUGAAAGAAGAACUCCUAGGACAGGGAAAAGAAAUUCAGACUUCUAGUUUGAGUUUAUGGUCCGGAUACUGAGAGGUCUAUUCUUUAUUCCGUAAAAAGAAGGUUAUUCAAGAAGAAUGAACUCAUUCACUCGAAUUCAAUCAUAAUUAUGAUUUCAUUGUACUCCUUCAUUGAUUUGGAGAUUGAAGACGGAGUGAAAUCAGCGGAUCUGGAAGUUUUGACCUUAAUUACGGAGAAGAAGGAAGAGCGGAUUCCCCGACAAAAACUAGUACACUAGUACCAGGGUCAAAGAAUUUGAGGAAGAGCUUUUUCCUUUGGACUAGAUUUCGAUGUUGUUCUAGAACCAUUAACAGAGGAGACACUGAUUUUCUUUGAAAAAGGGCAAGCGAACCCCUGAACUUUCCACUUUUUUGCUCCGCCCCUUAUACUGACUUACCUCUUGUACUUACCUCUUCCUUAGACUUUCUUACCUGUUGUUGGGCUUCGCCCCCUUAUACUGACUUACCUCUUGUACUGUACUUCUUCCCCUUAGACUGAUUGUACUGACUUACUUCCUUAUACUGACUUACCUCUGAGAUCAUUCUUUGCCCCUCACCUCACACUGAUUCUUUCUUUCCUUCCUCUCACCUAAGACAGAAUGUAUACCUUUCCCUAACACAGACUUGCGCAAUAUUCUUUGCACCUCCUGCUUAAGACAGAAUGUAUACCUUUCUUUCUUUCCUGCUGUAGGGCUUCGCCCCUCACACUUGUUCUUGCUUUCCUGUUGUUGCUGUAGGGCAGAGCCCAUCAUAUUUUCUUUUCUGAGCUGACUUCUGAGCAAUAUUGCGCCUGCCUCUGAUACUGAUUCUUUCUUUCCUGACUUACCUGUACUGUAGGGCUUCGCCCCCUUAUACUUCCUCCUUAUACAAUACAGACUUCCAGACUGACCUCUUCCUCUUCCUUAGAAACUUUCUUACUCUUCCUCUUCUCCUACUUUCUUUUGGUUUUUUUGGGGUAGGGGUACUCUGGAGCUUCGGUUUUGCUAGAAGUCAGCCGAGUUUCGAAAUCUUCUUUUCACAUCUGGUCCCUUUUAUUUUGUUGAUUGCUCGGAGUUACCAUUAACAGAGGAGACACUUCUUUGAUUUCCCAUGCCUUCUACGGUGGCUUCGCCCUGAACUUUCCACCUUUCCUGCCUGUUCUGCUUUCUUUCCCUUCCUCAAACCUAAAACACAAAGUAUACCUUUCUUUCCUGACUUACCAGUACUCUUAACUCUGACCUGUACUUCUGAACUCUUACCUGUACUGUAGGGCUUCGCCCCCUUAUACUCCAAACCUAGCCUUGUUCAUUUGCGCCUAGACGGGACGGAUAGACGGAAGGAAGAACGGAUUGGUUUACGCCGUCACGGAUGCCUAUGCCCUUUUAACGUCAGUUUUUCGUACUUUGAUGAGCCUAAACAUAUAAAUAAACUUCGCCCCUUCCCCUCGUCAACUCGGUAAAGCUGCUUCGCCCCUUCCUUGAGUCCUUUUCCUACCGCUACGUGGGUAAUAGGUCCGGCUUUUCUUUUCCUUCCAUCUUUUCUCGCUGCUAACUAAUAGGUCCGGUUCUCGCUAACUCACUAACUAACUAAUAAAUAGGUCCGGCCUGUAGUCCGGCUUUUCUUUUCCAUCUUUCAGGGAUAUCGAUCCGGCUGCCUCUAUAUAUUCUAUUCUUUGCGCCUAACUACGGGAUAAAGAAAUAGACAGUAGUUGGUAGUUUACGGCUCUUUCCGCUACGCUCCGCUUCCGCUCCAAUCAAUGAACCGCAAUAUUCUUUGCGCCUUUGAUUGAAUCUUGGACUCCGUCUCCAAAUUUGCACGACUGAUAAGUCUGGUCUGAUCAACUGCUAAAACUCUCUCUCUCCUUCUACACCUUAAACUAGGUCUCGCCGGUCUACUUUUUGAUCUUCUUCUCUCCAUGAUGAGAUCUUUUCUUCUUUCAAUUCGAACUCAAUGAAUCAAGAAUGAGAAUCUUUCUGUAAGUCUUAUCUCUCUUUGUCUUUCAUUCUUUGUGAGUUCUUUUCUUCUUUUCUUAAGUAAUUGCUUUUAGUCAUGAACGAGUAGGCGAGAUCUAAUUGAGUCGACCCACUACGCGGUGUAGAAGGAGAGGUUAGAAGCAGCUUUACCUUAAUUAAGGGAGAGAGAUGAGGCAGAUCAAAGGACGACGGAGAGUUGUCCCAAAAGCCUAACUGAUCCCUUUCUUGCUUGAAAAGAUGAUCCCGUCACAUUCAAACCCGGGAUUCAAGGUGUAGGGUAGCUUUCUUGUAGACCUAGAGGCAGGAGCAGAGCCUUACGCAUCCUAAUUUAUUGACUUUCAUCUUUUAAGAAAGUAUGAUCCCUUACUCAUCAAUCGUCCGCGCUCACUCUUAAUUAUAGGGGAGGAUGAUGAGAUGAUAUUGGUGAAGGAUCCCAGACAAAUCCAAGAUGAGAAAGACAGAAAGAUUCCUACCUUCCAUUAUCAAAAAGGUCAGUAAUUCAAGAUCAGUCUCGGCCCCGUGGGGGCCCAGGCAUAGUUAGCGAGACUGGGAGUCAGGAAGUAUCUUUAUUCAUAAGUCGAGGCAUCCGGACUAUGAGAAGGAUUUCCCCGCCUAACCUCUUCUUUAUUUCAGCUCCGGAAGAGUUCUGGAAAGGGAAGGUUAUCAGAAAGGAGCCCUUAUAGUAGGGUGAAGGAAGUCGAGAUUAGGCUCUGAAAGGGGAAGGAGAGAGAGAGAAGUCAGUUCUUGAAGUUCUACUAGAUUUUAUGCUUCACAAAAGAAAUACGGAUUCCUAGACCUAAUCCAUCAAUAAGUAAGGUAGCAGAAUAGAGAGGCACGCUCGUGCACGCGCUAAACUCCACGAGGCGGACGCGCAGAGGCAUGAAGAAGAAGAAUGUGUCCGAAUUCGAUGAAGAGGCGGAGGUCCGCGCGGCUGGCUGAGAAGUCAAUUUCCUUCACCUUUUUCAGUCAGAAAAGCCCACGUAGCGGUUGAGGAAGAUGCAGUGGCAGCUGAGGAAGUGGAAAGAGAUUGAAGAAAGAGUUUAGGAUCUCGACGAUCAGAGGUUAUGGAAUAGCGAGACGGAGAGGAUGCCUCAUCAGUCGAUCGGGAUAAGCAUUGAGCCUCAUCUCUUUGCCAAGGCUUAUAGCGAGCCUUUCUUUGAACGAGAAAUCCUUUUCUUGUUCUGAGCUUGAUCCAUAAAUGAAUCACCGCCAGGCUUCAGGCCUUACUCAAGAGAUCGCAUGAAAGAGCAUAACUAAACUAAGCCACUGAAGAAAGAACUUCUGCUACCGCCUCCGCUACAAGAGCUGAGCUGAAACUGGGAAUGAAUACUCUUUCUCUUCUGCCGAGCCAGAUGUCUUCCCUUAUUCCGAAUUCCGCAAAUUUCACAUAAUAUCAUAGCCUUUCAUAUUUUGCUUUCCGCAAAAAAGUAUUAUGGAACGGAUGAAGAACCGAAAAGUCUUUUUUCUAAUGGACCUGAUAGUCCUUCGGACGUCCGAAGGCGCAAAGAGAUUAUGCUGAAGGAGGAGCUAUUCCACAAAAAAUCAAAGUCAUGAUUACUCAAAGAAUUUGCGAAUCCUACUACGCUUUCCUUGCCGUAGGUCUUUUUACUUAAGACAUGCAUUCGGAGAAAGCUAACCUACCAUUGAAUUGAUUGAAUAAUUAUUCUGUGCUUCGUCAACUCAUCUGGAGCUUUGAUUUUAGGUACCAGCUUACUUUGGGUCCUCAAUUGGAGCAUCACCUUAAGGGUGAGCCAGUUCAGGACCUGCUUGCUUAUGAUCUACAUCACCGCUUACGACGAGGUAGACUUGCACCCGCGCGGGAAAGGGCCGCAUAUUUGCCAUGGGCCCGAUCACAUUUCUCAAGGUCCCAUUGAAGGACUGCUACUCUUUUUCUUUCUUGCAAGGGGGCCACUUUCAAUAAUGAAUAAUAUGAUGGUCUUUUGGGGUCCAACCAUGUCCACUGCGAUCGUCGACCUCACUCUGGGCCUUAAUCUCUUCUCCACCGCGGGGGAGUCCAUUAUAGGCUUUGUGUGUGGUCAACCCCCACGGAUUCAAUCUUCUUUGAACCUAUUGUGCUGGGCACUCUUCUCACUAUCCCACCAUUUUCUGGUGUGGUUAGCGGCAGAGCAGGUUUACCCGAACCAAGGGCCUUUCACCCGGUCCACCGUUGGGCUAUGGACCUUCUUCGGUCUAUCAAAGCCGUCGCUAACAAAUACCAAGAAUGAUGUAGGAAAUUCUCGUAACUAUCUAUCUUUUUGAGUCUCCGCUGUGAUACUGGAUGCUUUGAGUUCGCCAAGAAAGAAUUUCUCACUAGUGGGAAAAGGGAAAAGCAAGAUGAAUCUUUCCCCAGUCUCAUUGGUGGAUUUGCCUUCCGCCAGGUCCAUUCAAGGUCUUUGUCAGCUCAGUCACCCAUACUCUGUUACCAAUUCUUGAGACUGGGCAGCCCGUUCUCGACUCUAUUCCUCCAAGCGAUAACGAAAAUGGGAGCGCUUGUCCUACCCUUGCCUAUCGGUUCAUCUAAAUUGAAAUUACCCUUGCGGGGUAACCCGAUCAAUCCCUAUUUGAGGGGGCGGAUAAUAGAGAUCUUGAGACGGGAGCUUAAGCCGAAAGAACUGAGACUUGCUCCAUCAGAGUUCUUCACCAGUGAUAGUGAUGAAAGCAUGCGUUAGUAUAUAUACCCUUUACCGAAAUUGGCUAAAUAAAAUAGCUGGAUGGGUAAAGUGCUAUGCUUUAGUUCUGAUCCUUGUCCCACCAUUGCAUCACUCUUUUCUUUUCUUGAUGCUCCCAUCAUCGGCACGAUGUGGAAAGUACGAGAUCCGGACACAGAUCGGAUCAAGUAUGGACUGAUUUUGAGCUCUUUUCAUAUUCUACACAAGAAGAAGAAUUUCAUUUUGAGUCGAUUUGGAAGGAAAGCCUAUCAAUGAAAUUCCAUAAAUCAGUCCGACUAUCCUACUAGGUAGGGGGAUUAGCAAGAAGGAGCUCAGCAAGCGAUUUCAUUCCCUUUUCUCGCCAGUGAUCGAGAGCUUUCAAGAGGGGCUUUCAAAUGCGGAGGCAAGACCACUUCUGUCCCCCGUCCGGAGGACUUAUCCACUAAAACGAAAUAGACUUUUCUUUUACCGAUAUGUCUUGGAUUGGAUUAAGAAAAAUGCUUCCUGCGCAUAGACUAUUACAGUCUUGCCAACGAACCUCCUUUUGAUCUUGAUCUUGAACCAGCUAUCUCUAACUUUCCUGCUGUCUUAACUGAUUCAUUGCCCAGAGCAAGAGAGUCAAGCAUAUCGCAUAUCAUAGUAGUUAUGGGGUUGAGGAUCAAUGAAAAAAAGAAAGAUUCAACGCUCCCCGCAUAUUGAAUUGCGCCUUCGGACCGUCCUCAGUCCUAUCCAUAUUAACCUGUGACGCCUCCGGACGGAUAAAGAAAGGUGCAAAGAAUAUUGCGUCAAUGAACAAAGGUUUAAGGCUGUCCGCUACGCUACGCUUCCGCUCCUUCUAAUGGACCAGUCCGAAGCCUGAAUUAUCGAUUUUCGGUUCAUCUUUGAAUUUCAGAUUUCUUGCGUUCCGUAUAGGCCCAUUUCUGACUAAACUGGCAUUUUCUUCAUUUUAGCUAAUAAAAGAGUCCCAAUCACGUCACGGGAUUUGACAACAAAACUUGUGUCUCGCCUAUGCCCCAAACCUAGUAGUGGGGUUUUUCACAUUUAAAUGGCGGAUGGGUCUCGGGUCGGAUCGUCCAUACGAGUAUCUCCGUCAUCAGUCACUCUUUGUGAAAGAGGGCAUAGUCAGUCUCACGUUCUUAUUUUAUUCUCAAUAGGGGACGUGGUCUAAGGCCAAGGAGAGGUUCAAAUCCUUCUGUAUCCCGGUAAUUAAGUAAGAGGCCGUAAAACAUCCCCGUAUUUCCGUGCAGAGGUUAGAAUAUCUUUGAUUUCUAUUCCGAUUAUGAGAAGCGGCUCUAGCCCAAUGGUCUCAAGAUGUCCCAUUCCGGAUGGAUGGACGCGCCUAGCAGCCGAGUUGGUGGAGUCAUAAGUCGAUCUUUCAUCAUAUUGAUCGAAGAAAUCCCUCACUCAAUAAUCCCCAUGAGACAGAUCUCGAAGGGGUCCCCCACUCCGCGGUUGAGGAUUAGGCAGCUGGAGGUCGGGUUACUGAACCCUGAUUAUUUAUUGAAAGACAAAAUUCCCACGUAGCGGUAGAACGAGACUACUCAAUCAGUUCUGUCUCCACGACCAAGUCCGGCAUACCUACUUACAUUCCGAGUUUGAAGAGGAAAGGUCAAUAUUACUUUCCGAAAAGAAAGGCUCAUACAAUAGGGAAAAAGUCCCCACCAAGAGCAGAGGAUCUCUACCAGGCAGCUCAAAGGCGCAUGAAUAAAGGACGGGUUUACCCAUUGUGGGAAAGGCGCAUAUUGCGAGCUCCAGAUGAGGCGCAAAGCAUAUUGCAAGCCCACUCCGUAUUAAUUGACUGGAUCUUGUAACCCCUCCCCCACGGUGCGGUGCAAAGAAUAUUGCGUGGAACUGAAAGGAGCUCCGCGGGCUCGGGUUUCAGGCGAAAGGCGAGGCCAGUGGCAUCCGUCUCAGUUUCCGUGUCAUAGGACUAGGACGCCGAAGCAGUUUAAGAAGUAGACGUUGGUCCAGCAGUUGUUCGCCUUGCAGACUAAGCCGAUCGUCAGGCCUAAUGCCUUCUUUCUGCAUUUCUUUUCUUCCCAACUUGAAAGUGAACAAUAAAUAGAUAAGCUUUUGCUUGACCUAGCCUCCGCUUAGACCUAAAGCUAGAAUGAAUAAGCAAGAGUAGUUCAAAUCUCUGCAAUAUUCAUUCUUUAUAAGCUCCACUGGUCGCCGAGUGGGAUCGGGGUCGGUAACUGCAAGCAAGAAGAAAGGGAGCCGAGUACCGAUCGGUUAGAGUAGCUUCCUUCUACGAUGAUUUGGUGGCAAAUGAUGCUGAUUUGAGCACCUACUCAGAUGAACAAGGCGCAAUAUUGCGAGGCGCAAGAACACCUUUGUAAUACAUAAAUUGAACUGGCUUUUAAGCCAAUAGAAUAGGCCGUGUCCUGUCCGAGAUUGUGGGUCGUACCUGGGUGAACUCCUUUGGUCUUGCCUUCAGACCCACUAAGUUUGAGAGUCUCAAAAGGAUUACCCAUAUCGAGAAAGGGCCCGUGCUGGUACCAUUGAAGAGUCAAAUCCCGCCCCUCCUUCAUUGCCUUCCGCUCUUUAUUGAGAAAGUUAUGAAAAAGCACUCCUUCUUAGUAAGCUAGCUUCCGCCGCUAGCCCGGAAUCAAUGCUUAGAGCAAGACGAUGGAAUACACUUGCCUCUGCCCCCUAGAAACUACUAUCUCUUUUCUUUAUCCUAUAUUGUCAACCUACCCUCUUAAAGUAAUAGGAUGAAUAGUCCUAAUAGCUAAGGAUAUUCUUUCUUCCCGUGUAGUGGUCCUCCGGACUAUCCAUCAGGGAGCGUAGUGGGUCGCAGUGAAUUGAGAGGAGCGGUAGGCUUGAUCUUUCUAUAGUUAUUCCUAGACUGGGCAAGAAGAAGAGGAAAAAGGCAUAAGUAGAAGAGUAGAAGGACUUAUAUUUUGGACCGCGAUAAAAGAUAGGGGAGGAAUCCCGCUCCGUCUUCCUUUAACGAAAAAAACUGCUUUAUAAGGAUCAUGACUUUGAUUUUUUGUGGAAUAGCUCCUAACGUCAAAUAAUCAGCCUACGUUCCCUAAUGGAUAGGACUGAGGGCUCGACUGAAAGGAGAGAAGGCGCAAUUCAAUAUGCGAGGUCUUAAGACUCCUUUCUAUUUAGGGCAAGUCCGGAGGACGGGGGAAUAUUGCCUCUUUGCGCUUUUUUAAGCAGCUGCAAUCAGAAGCCGGAGGCUGGGUCAAGACGAUGCUCUUUUUUUAGAAAGAAUGAUCGCGACGGACGGACAGGUCUCGCUAUUACAUAACCUACGUUUCGAAGCUAGGUUUUCAGUACUAUUCUCAUAGGUCCGCUCUCUCUUUGGAAUUCCCAGUUUCAUGAUCAGGAUCGGGGAGGAAGAGUACUUACUAUUCUAAUAGAGUAGAUAUGGAGUAUCCCGCCUCAAUGAUUCCCGUAAGCGAGAGGAGCUAUUCUUUCAUUCUGGGUUAGAAUACCAGUUUCCUUUCAUAGGUUUCCCAAUCAGGAUAGGUGUUCAUAACGAAACUGAUUACGGGAGAGUCCUCCUUAGUAGGGUCCCCUGAAGUAGGGGAGUAGGUAACUUCAAUAGUCAGAGUUCCUUCCCGAGUGGGAAGGUAUCAUAAGAAAAAUAGGAAAGAGAUCGGAAUCAGGAUAAGUUGAAGAAGAGUCUGAGUCAGUUCCAACAACAAAGAGGAUCAAGCGGAAGUGAGUAUUCUUUGAAGUUAGUAUUCCCUCUUGAGUCAAGCAAGUAUUAUACAGUUGCGGAAAGCUAGAUGCCAGAGUCAUGAUCGGCCGGAAAGGAGAGGACAAAGUCUCGACCAAAUAGGAUAGAAAGGGCUUACCCAAGCAGCUAUCCAAAGUAGUCCUCCAGCUAUAACUAAGAAGCCUCAGUUGGGUUAGGAGUCUUGCUGCUUAGUCAAGCUCGAACUAUGAGACAUAAUAUCUGGUAGGGUGCGGAUGUCCGUAUAUUCUCUAUAUAGAGGCUUUACCGAGUUCUAGAGUAGGGUAUCAGGGUAUUAUAGAAGAAAGAGGGAUAUCGGAGCAGCUAACCCUUUUCCUCGUGAACUAGGUCGCUACUUCUAACGGGAGCUACUUUCUUUCCUAACCCGGAGCGGUCAAGCUUCAAAAGCAUGUAAGUGGAUCGGAAGGCUAAGGGCGAGGUGCCAACUAACCUUUGUCCCUGUCCUACUCGUCAACUCUGGAUGGAACUCUCUAUCUUUUAGAAUAGCCGCAACUCAAUUCAUUCAGCCUCCGUCUCAUUGAUAAUAACUAAGGAUAUUCUUUCUUCCCGCUCCUUCUCAAAUUCUUUGAUCCUCAGUCGCUUCUCAAAUUCUUUGUCAAUAUUCUUUGAACCUUGUUCUUAAAUAGUGGGACUUCUUAAGAAAACCAUAUUAAUCUUUUGUCGAGACUCGGCGACUAUCCACUUAAAGUCCCGCGCAGCCUCUAUCCUAUGAGGAAAGAGAUACUUAUCCCGCUCCUUCUCCGUCUUCUUGAUUCAAACCUAUAUGAAAUUCAAAGAAAAGGAAAUGGUCAAAUAAAUAUUCUUUACUCUCCACCAGUUCAGAAAGAAUAGAAUUCCUGGUCAUACUCGUUUGGCUCGACGGGAUUUUGAAUAUAGAAAGAGGGUUAGUAGACGAGCUAUAUACUCCGAAGGACGUCCUCUGGACUCGGUAAAAUGCUAUUUUUCAUCUAUCAAUAUCCGAAGUAUUAGGCUCCAUAAGACAGGGAUAUUGUAAGAAGUAUGAAACCCAUUAUAAAAACGACUGUAGGAUCAAUGAGAGAAGGAGUGAAAGAGUAGGCCUUUGCGGGCCGAGGGCACGCGCUGCGAUGCCCAGGAUUCUGUCUGUAUAGCAGAUAUGCACCUUUACCGCUACGUGGGACAUUUGAAAGAGGGACCGAGGUAAGGCAAAGAAUCAAAAGGUCGACUCGGUCUUCUACCUCGAGAAGGCAGGAGGUAAGGGUCACUGAUCCCUUUUCAUUCUGAUUGGCUACAAUAUGCUUUGACCGCACGAGGUCGGACCUAUUUUGACCUCAUGAAACUCCAAUGCAUUCCCAUGAGAGUUGACCAUUACAGAUGAGGAGGAUAGAUAUCUCGCUUUCUUAUCGAUACUUAUUAGUAGCUUAGUAGUUCUCAUUCGAUUGCUUGCCCCACGCCACUGCCCCUUGAUUCCUCUAUUCUAUUUCAGGCACCCACCCUUGUUCAUUGAUUGGAUAAUUUUUCCUUUUCAUAAUACCGGAGAUAGAUGAGAAAGAAUAUAUAUAUAUAAUCCACUUCACAGCAUAUCCGUAGAAGGUAGUAGGAGGAGUCGAUUUGCGCUCAUACUCACUUCAUAGGCUUCGCUUCGCGCCUUGCUUCUUUUUUGAAAGCCGGUUCCGGGCAUCCAAUGUGGAUUUUUUUUCUCUGAGAAUGAUGGUAUACAUAGGCUAUGAUGGACUUCAUUAAGCUUGAAGUGAGGAAUACGCAGCACUUAUCAGAGGUUGAACUUCUUCCUUAUAUUCUCCGGAUUACUCCGUCCUUUAUUUACACCACUCCUACAAUAAGAAGAAAGAUAGAUAUACAAGAGAGCAAGGACAGAGGUUCUAAUAGAUUAGAUCUUCUCCUAGGCUAUAGGACUAAGAGCGGGAGCUGCAACCUAUAUAUCCGAUGCCCUUAUCUGCUUUAUCUCCUUUGGUAUUCUUUUUUUGAUUAAGAAGGUUCAAAGGAUCAAAGUAUUUGAGCUUUGCGCCUAGGGCUGGCCUUCUCUCCUCGUCGAGUAAUGACCGGAAUAUCUCUUCGCUCUCGCCGUAUAAUGAUUAGGAUUAGCUCGAGGCCCCUCCUUCUAUCAUUGGUCCUAUCAGAGUAGAAUAUCAUAUCUCACCCCCCCGGUAUGAACCGGUAUGAAAGGUUCACUUCUACUUUUCUUUUUUUUCACAUAAGGCCUAGCAGACCAAUCCGAUGUGAUCUUAGAGGACUCUACCCAAUCUAAACCGAGGCUUAGUCUGAUCUUUAUCCGUCCUUCUCCUGUGAGCGAGUCCGAAGUUUGAACUUAUUCUAAAGGAGACGGAUUUUUUGAAAGGUAAAAGGCGGAAAAUCCAUUCUGCGCGGAUUUCCUUACUUUCUGAAAGGCGAGUUCUACUUCCGGCUUCUACCAGCUUGAGCCUUAAUUUCGAUUUCCACCCCUUUGCUGCGACUGAGGCUCCAAGCUAAUAUGUCCUUAUCAAUGAGACGUCACCUGGACCCGUACCGGAGGUGCAGAUGAGUUUCAUUACGUUUCGGUUCAACUCACGCAACUCAAAUGGAUAGUCCUUCGGACCUGUCUUAUGGCGCCUUCGGACCUGUCUUAUGGCACCGCUACGUGGGCUUACGAAAAAAGAGAAUUGAGGAGAGAGGGGCCCAUCUUCUUAUAUAUAAGAGUGAUCCAUCUCCGGGCCUAGUCAAGUACCCCAGAAAGGUUUUCUACUUCUGACCGCUCCGUGGGCUUCUGAGCUGCCGAGACAGCCCAUUAUCUAACUCUUCUUCUUCAAGUAAAGAAUGUGUCAACCGAGGCCAGGGAAUGCGGAUGUCUUCAUAGAAGAUUCAUCGAUCCCUACUAGGAAUCGCCCACUCCGCGGUAGGUCCUUUGGGCAUAGGGAUUCGACUAGGAUUCACGUGGGUAGCAUUUUCAUGCGUGGAGCACCGAAAGCACGGGAUUCUACUUUCUUUUCUUUCGUCCUAUCCUAAAUGGGUCUUCGACUAGGAGCUUGAACGUGGAAAUAGAAGUAGGUAGUGGGCGGCCAAAGGCGAAAGCGAAAGAGAUCACUCAAAUUCUUUGACCCUUGUCUUCUUCUUGUCUUGAAAGAAGGGAGAUCUAGCCAAGCCAAGGGCAAGGACUUUUUUCAAUGGAGAGGGAAAUACCAGAAGGAAAGUGAAAGUAGUCCAAGAUCAUAUGCCAUCAGUGGCCAAGAAAAAGAGCAAAAACAAAGGUCCAGAUGAGUCAGAAAGAUUUCCUUAAGGACCACUGCUUAGUAAGAUAGCAGCCAGUGAAAGAGUAUAACUCAAAGACUAAGCAUGAACAUUCGAAGAUGAUCCAUCCUUUAGUUUCGAUUCCAUCCUCAAGCUCUUCAUUCUUUCACCAAACGAAAUGGGUACGAUGUGGAUUAGCCUUGUGCUAACCAUACCGGAAAAUGGUGGGUUAGAGAGAGCCCAAGAGCCAUAGUAGCCCAAUGGUUGACCUGAAUACCAUUAUCAGCUCCAAUGAGAAUUUCCUGAUAUACGAAAGAACUUGGGAAACUCCACUUCUUCUCGAGGUGGUGUAACCGUAGGACUCGUCCAAUGGAUUCCUUCUCUGACUGGCAUGGUAAUGAAAGGGGAAAGAAGGAUGAAAGGGGGAAAGGGUCUCAUAAUUUUCCUAUUAUGGGAGAUAGAAUGCAUUAGAGACCUAUGAUCAUUACUCGGAAACCGGUCACAUAUUAAGCUGCUCCGUCGGUCGUCCAAAACCAAAAUAAUAGUAUGAAUCUCGCAAUAUUCUUUGCGCCUACAUCAAGAUCAAGCCAUGAUUUCCUUAUCACUCCUAACCUCAAUAUUCUUUGAGCCGGAGUUAGGCGCAUAAUAUGGAUUUCAGACUCCGCACUCCUUCCCAGUCGCUUCGCUUCGCUAGGCUUGAUCUUUCGAGAGUCUUCUUCCAAAUCAAAUAGUAGGUUCUGGAGUCUUAUUCCUUGCCGCGUAGUAGGAGUCUUCUUCCUCUCUCAUCUUAGCCUGAAGUCUUUUUUUUAGGAUAGGUCAACUCAUCUGGAGCUUGAUUUUUCUCCUCUGAAGUCGCUUCCCUUCUAGCCUCUCGUUCGCGCUCUUAGCUCUGACUCUUCCUAUUCUACGUCUUCCUAUUUCAGUGUGAGCUACUUUCAUACUCUCCUCCCACGGGGCGGUAGGGUCUCGCCGGGUACCGAGAAUUGAGUUCAUAGGAUUCUUCUUUGAUGAUAUUCAAAAUCUGAUUCUGCAAGCGGAAGAACAAAAAGACUGAUUUUACGUGCAAACUCUUCUUAUCAUCUUUACGGGAAAGGAAAAGCAUAUGAUAACCUUGAAAGGAUAGUGAUUAUCUAGCUUUCCGAGACUUCGCCCCUUGAUGACCCUACGUUCUAGCUUCUUGCUGCUUCCCUCCCACGGGGCGGUCGAGUUUCUGCCUUACCUAUUCUUCUUUUCCUUCUUCUGCUAAUGUAAUGGAUGGAAGUCAAGACCGGGAUAGCAGCUAUACGGUCUCCUCAAUCCGGUCUGUCUGGUCUGGCUUACUCUGGACAGCAGCCACUUCUUGAUCAGUUUGCAUGCUGACUAUUUGGAAGCUUCUGAGCUUUCUCUCUUAUUGGCUAGGCCCAUGAGGGGAAUCUUAGCAGCUUGCUUCGCACCCUUUGUUCAUUGAUCUUCCACUUCGGAAACUUGUAAGGCUUCUAAGAAAGAAUAAGAAAGUAGAUAUGUAGAUAGCAAAGGGGCUAGCUUUCCAAGUCAAUAUUCUUUUCACCCUCUGAGAUUCCCUUUGAAACUCUAUCUCUUUCUAUUAGAACCUAUAAAUAGGAGUGGGAACUGCUGAAACUGGGUUGAGCUUUCAUGAGGAGACCGUAUUUCAAGAGGGACUAGCCUAGGGCUCGACUGAAAGGAGAGGAAUAGUCCUCCUUUGUCUUUAAAGCAUUAUGUUCACCUGGUCCGAAGGAUCAAUGAAAUUUGACUUUGGUCCUUCGGUUUUUUAGUUCCAAGAAUAUCCCUGUCUUAUGCGGCCUCCGUAGCUUAAUAUGGACGAAGAUGAAUAUGGGGAAUCAAUAUAUAAAGAAUAGUCUAUAUAUUCUUUGCGCUCAUUGAUAAGGGCAAUAUUCUUUGCUUUUCGCAAUAUUCUUUGUCACGCAAACAAUAUCCCUUAAGUGGAAGGCAAUAUUCUUUGCGCCUCAGUAGCUUAAUAUUCAGGGGUGUCACGCAUUGAAUAGAUUAUGCUGAAGGAGGUCCGGAGGACUAUCCAUAUUAACCUGGAACUGAAAGCUCCCCACGGAGCGGAUCAAAGAAGAUUUCGAAAGAAUGAGAGUUUUCCUUUUGGAUGAAUUUUCACCUCUCGUCUGAAGUGCAUUCCACUAAUAUUCUUGUCUUCUCUCUUUCUAGAAGCAAGUCCAGAUUGACCAAGUCAGAUUUUUUUUAUGCCUUCCAUUAUAGCAGCCUUCUUUUGGCGCAGAAGCGAGACAUCAAGAUCUAAUCCGGAAAAGGUGUAAGGUGUGUAGGGUGUAAAGUUCUGAUUUCGAAUUCCCCUGAAAUAGGAGCAAAGAAUUUGCGAAGCGUACAAUCUCCAGCUCGAAGUUAGUAUGAUCCCAGUAGUGAGAAGGUGGCUUUGGCGUGGCAAAGCGAGCGAUUGAUCCAGUCAGACGGGGAAGAUCAUUCAUCAGAGUUCCAAGACGUACGAUUUAGUUAGUUGGCUUAGGCUUUACCCGCUCUUUUUGUCGUAUUUUCGUAAAAUAAGUGGUUUUCAAAGUAAUAGCUAUUCAUAGUCAGAAAGUCAGAGCUAUCCCUAAUGUUCAGCUUUGAGCCUCCCUCCAUUAAAAUAAUAGCUAUUCACGCAAUAUUCUUUGCGCCUCCUACGCAGCUUCUCACGCAAUAUGCUUUCGAACGCAAUAUUCUUUCGUAGUUAGGCGAAUAUUGCGAGACCGCGUAGAAGGAGUCUUAUGAAACCUGGACCCUUCUUUCCAUAUGGAUAGUCCUACGGAUAAAUCCUCCGGACUCUAAAACGGAGUGGGCCAUAGAUCUUUGCGCCUUUCUUUUUUCUUUUUCUAUAGUAGAUUAUAUAGUAUGAGAAUGAAUAACUAGAAGAGCUCGUGAAAGAAGAUAAGUGAGUAUUCUCGGGCAGAGGGAGGAAGCGAAGCUGCUUUACUGUACUUAAUAGGAGAGGAAGCGAAGCUGCUCUUUCUAAUGAAAAGAAACUAAUAUUUUGGAUAAACAAGGGUUCAGACGACCGCGUAGAAGGUGCAAAGAAUAUUGCAUUGCCUUCCACUUAAAAAAAGGUAAGCCCACGGAGCGGCGCAAAGAAUAUUGCGGAGAAGAAUUUGAGGAGCAUGAAAUGGAGAGGCGCAAAGAAUAUUGCUGAGGAGUGCAAGGUGCAAAGAAUAUUGCGGAUUUGAAUAGUCACCUCUAUUUUAGCAAGGAGCAAAGAAUAUUGCGUGGAAAUAAUAUCCGUUUUAAGACCGUUUCAGUUAUUUAACAGCUUUUUUUCGGCUAUUUAACAUUUUGAAGCUAAAAUAAUUCAAGGGAUCAUUCAGAAAAUCAAUAUCCCUGUCUUAUGGCACCUCCUCAAAAAGAAAGAAUGUCUCAAUAUCCUUUGAGCCUUGUGCAAAGAACAAAAACAAGGGACCAGAUGAGCAAAGAAUAUUGACAAAGAAUUUGAGAAAUGGUCGUUCUCAUUUGCUUGGGAAAGAGAAUGGGGUGGCGUCAAAUCCCUCAAGGAUGAAUCUCCUCCAUGACUAAAAUCCCACUCUCAAAUCUGAAAUCACCCCUAGGGCUAAAACAAGGGAGGUCCAAUGGGUGGUAAAAAGAAGAAAUUUUCUAUGCUCAGUCGCUGAUUUAGCUAAAGCUUUAGGAAGUCUUUACUACUGAUUUCUCGGUGGAGAAGUUCCGGUUGGCAUAUGCUUACCCCGAUCGGUGACCUAUGUAACUAAACCCAUAUGGGGGAAAGCGGAAUUCCUUCUCAAAAAGGCACACCUAGGGGUACUGGAACUAUAUCAAGGACGCGGAUUGAAGAACAAGACGUAAAGCUAAGCUUUUUCAACAGAAACUGAUCGGUCUUCGCCCGUGGCUCUUGCUUGAGUUCUUUCUUUUCUUUCUGAAUUCACGGAUUAUGUAAGUGUGAAUGAGAACGAGUAAUAAAUCAAAGGUGCGAAGAAGUUCUAGUUUCUAUAUAUCAGUUGAGAAGAGCUAAGCUCGAACGACUUCUUGCCUAUUGGUCUCAAGAUGUCCCAUUUUCUCGUAACCGCUAGAUGAAAGGUAAGACUUGAAGGAGUUCAUUCCCUCAUGAGAGAAGAAAGCCUCAUACAGAUCAAUGAACAAGGGGGCGAAGAGCAGUCUUCACAAGAGCAAGAAUAGGUUGAUCGUAAGGCCUCUCGCCUGUAACCUACGGCAAGGAAUGCUCCUUCUAAGAAGAAAAUCAAAUCAAUGAACAAGUCAAAGGAACCUAAUAAAUACUGGAGGCACUACAUCUCCUCCGGAUACGCCAUAGGGUUCGAAGAAGAUCGACUUAAGUCAAUGAACAAGGGAAGCGCAUUUAUCUAAGAAAGGAUGAAGAUAAGGCCUAAUUUUUGGAAUCAGACUCCUCCUUCAGCAUAAUCUAUGAAUGAUCGGAGCAAAGAAUAUUGCGGAAAAGAAGAAAGGAGUGCAAGGCGCAAAGAAUAUUGCGAGAGUGUCCAGGAUCAAUGAACGAGUCAAUGAACAAGGGCUUGAAUCUUUUUAGUAGAUUUGGAAGGCCUUCGGUAUUAUUUUUAGGCAUUAUAAGGCGCAAAGAAUAUUGCGAGAAUUUGAGGAGGAAAGAAUAUUGCGGAAAAGAAGAAAGGAGCGCAAGGCGCAAAGAAUAUUGCCGGCCUUUGGAAUCAUGACCUUCAAUAUGGCUUUGAGCAAAAAGAAAGAAUCUCAUCUUGAGCCUGAAUUUUCUGACUUAAGAAUGAGGCGUCGGACGAUGAACUUUUCCCCCCUAGUAGGAUAGUCGGACUUCUGAAUUCCACUUAUCAUGUUCCUGCUUGAUUUCAGCUAAUUUAUGGAUUUCUGCUUCCUUCCUUUUAGUAGAUGUUAAGUCGCUUCGCUUCUUCUCAAAUUCUUUCGAAAUCUUCUUUGAUCUCUUUGUAUUUGUAACUUAGUAGGUUCAGAAAACACAAGAUAAAGAUAAGUUUUGAUAAAGCCCUGCUCUGAAACUUCUUUCUUCUCUUCUUUGUCUUGGGAAAGCCUAGCCGGAGAAGGAGCUCCUUCUUUAUUCCUUUUCUGCCUUUUAUUUGAUCAAGCGGAAAUCUUCUUUUCACCUUUAUCUUCCAAUAAAGCAGCAAGUUUGAACGUGUUUCAACUGUCUUUUAGGAGAGGUUUAUACAUGAAUAUCGGACAAGAGCUGCUUUACGGUCGAGCCGGAUUAGUCUUAGUCUUGAUUCCGACCGGGGACCCUAGGCAAAAUCUUGUGCUACUGCCUUCUUAGUUCUAGCAACUUACGAAAGAUAGUUCGCGCGGACUCUCCUAUAUUAAGUCUCGCUUCUUAUCUCAACUGAAAGAACUCUCCCGCGUAAACGUAGUCAACUCCUAUCCUUAUAUUAGCCUUCUAUCCUAUUCUUUUUUAUCUCUCUCAUCACUUUUCCUAAUCUGACUCGAGAUCUCCCUUUGGUCUCGCCUACGUAUACGUUAGAGCAAGACGAGAUAAUCCCAGUCGAGCACUUGCUCUCUUCCGCCGCCGGGGUCCUGUCGAUCCGCAUGAAGAGGGCGAGGUCUCUACUGCUCGGCCAACUCCUCUAUCUCGCACGCAGACUACUGACGGAAAGAAUACAUACUAGCCUACUUCGUCUUUCAUCCUAUCCGAUCGGUCGUUCAAAUCAAAGGAUGAUAAUUGACAUAGGUUGAAAUCUCGCCAGCCGAGUAAUGUUGCCAUUUGGUUAAAGGUUCCAUCACAGGGCAAAAUGUGGAUGUCUCAUUCAUGCCUGUCCCUUUCGGAGAUCCGCUAGUGCUUCUCUCCCCAAACAAGCCGGAGAGUAGGACUAGGUCUCACCGGCUAUCUUUGAUUGGGUUGCUCUACGUUCCAUCUCUGGAUUAGGUUGAUGGAACCAGGUCUCCAUUAGUUUGACGACUUGUGGUGGCCCUCGAUAGAGUGGAAUCGAAUCCUUUGGGUAUAGACGUCCUAAGUGAAAGGGGGAACGUCCACAGGGACUUGAGGAAGAGAAAAGUGUUCUUGGUCUAAUUGUUUCUAGAACGAGACGAAUCGUCACAAAAGGCCACCUCCACAAAAUGUAGUAGAUCGAGCUCUAGCCCAUGACGUAAAACCAAACUCAAAAAAAUACGAUAAUGAGAGAAAGGGACUUUCUUAAGAAAAGGGAGAGACCAAAGAUAAAAGACUAAAGCGAAGAGUGAAUGAGAAGAUCCUAAAGAUCAGGACCGGACGUUAGAGUUGUGGUGUGAGAAAGCGGAAGCAGAUAUGCCGAUGGCUGGAAGGUAGCUACACUCCUAAAAAAAAGCUCAUGACUGGGCAAGGAAGUCGAAUCAAUAGAAGGACUGAAAUCUAUGCUAAUUAAGUUAAGGCAUGCUAGAUACCUUCCAUUCUCUUGUCUCCGGCGAUUAACCUAUUCCAGAGCAGUCUGGUGAUUAGCCUAUCUCGCACUACUUUCAGUCUUCGUAAACUCAUUGUCCGUAGUGGAGGUUGCUGUGAGGAGAUCCUUGUGCCAGUGAAGAUUGCUUCCUGUGAUCGGUAAACAAACCCUAAAGAAGUCGGAAUGGGAUAGAAAUUUCUUUCUAUUCUCAGAGUUGGGAGCGAAGGAAGCUAUCCCGGCCGGAUUGGAUUGACCUUUUGCUUCCCUCCUUUCUUUUGUUAGGAAUCGAUCCCUUCUAUUUUCUUGGUCGGUUAGGUUAGUACGGGGCAUUCUAUUCUCUUGAAGAAAGAACUGUAACAAGGCAAAAGCCUAUCUUUUCUCAAGCUUGAUUCGCAAUAGCUAUCAGUUCAAGCAAGAGAGUCCUCUUUGUUAAAUGGCCGAAUUAGCCACACCCAUAGAAAAUAGAAGGGAUCACAAUCCCACAUUCGGCUCAAGAGAGGCGAAGAAAAGAUCAGAGUCGGCAUUAGCCCCGUUCUUGGAGGAAGGCACUACCUACUAGUAUGGUGAGGUAGUUUGCGAAAGAGCCGAUGAUCGAGCAGAAGUCCAAAAGCCAUCUCGGGGCCUCCUCUGGGGAAAUGUCUCAUCUAAGCUUCUUAGUCAUCAAUGCGGUGAAGGCUCAAAGAAGAUUGAGAAAUCCCGUCCUUCGGACAGACGGGUUAAUAUGGAUAGUCCUUCGGACCUGUCUGUCCUUCGGUCUUAAGACUCCUUCAAAUUUCAGGCAAAGAAUAUUGCGUGAGAGAAAGAUUAGACUUUAACCCCCGCGUAGUGGGAAAUGAGAUUCAAAUGUCUGACGAGGAGAAGAAAGCAUGAUGUUCAUCUGUCGGAUAUUCUUCAAUCUAUGAAAAGAGAUGCUAAGAAAGAAUUCAAGAAAGUCCAUUACUGGUGAUCUCGUCUUGCUUGCUGGGAGAGAGGACGGACCACCUUUUGAAGGCAGAUAGCGAGCGAUCACUCAGCAAUUCAGACUAAAAGCGGCCGAGAAUUAGUACCUAUCCCUUACGGGAAUCGAACCCGUGUCUUCGACAUGAAAAGACGAUGUCCUAACCACUGGACGAAAGGGACCAAAAAGCCAUUCUUCAUAUACCUAGUAGUGGGAUCCGAGAAUAGAAGUCCUUCCUUUGAUUGAUAUACGCAAUUCGACGAUUUCCUUUGUCUGAAUCUUGGCGAUUUCUGAUUCAGCGGGUCCUCCCCCCUUCCACCCACCGACCCAGUGAUAGACCAAGCACCGUCCUUACCCUUAUUUUGAAGUCCCCUGAUCUCUUUCUUUGUCUUUCAUCCCCCUCUGAACAGAAUAAGUAAGGCUUUCUAAUGAAAAAAAGAAUUCGGGCGCUCUGCCUAUGCUAAAGUAAGAAAGAAAGUAGGUUAAGCUUACGAUCUUUCUAUAAAGAAAGGGAGGCGUCGGGCUUAGAAAGUAAGGUCAGCUGGUGUGGAUAAAAACAAGUCAGAAGGCCUAUCCAUUAGAGAAUUUGACUUUUUGCUUUCUUUAUUUCUUGAAAAUCAUCACUGAGCAAUAUUCUUUGCGGAUAUUAUUUCCACGCAAUAUUCAAAGCUCCUACUAAGGUCUGCGGUCAGUCCUUCGGACCAGCUGACUCAGAAAAUUUUCCGCUUUCUCAUUCAUUCCUCAAAUUCUUUGAGCCUUCGGACCUGUCUUAUGGAUCCUAACGGAGGGAGCGGAAGGGAAGAAUCCUUCUCCGACUUAAGGAAGAGAAGACUCCUUCGUCAAAGCCUUAAGGAAUUCAGACGAGAGGGAAGAUUUAGGCAAGGAAGAAUCAGACGAUAGAGGUGCAAAGAAUAUUGCGGAGUUGCGUGAGUUGCCCCACUACGCGGUGCCAUAAGACAGGGAUAUUGUAGAGCGGACGGAUAAAAACAAGUCCCAUAUUAAGCUACGGAGGCCCAAAGAAUAUUGCGUUCUUAAGACUCCUUUCUAUUUUUUUCUUUAUAAGGGAUCAUGACUCAUCAAAUUUCAUUGAUCCUAAGUCUGCAACUUUAGCGGAUUUAACAGGUCGUUUUUGGAAUAACUCCUACCUCCGGCCUAUCCAUUAGAGAAUUUGACUUGCGAGCCUGAAUUAUCUCAAAUUUUCGGUUCAUCUUUUAUCAUCUUGACCUUUCUUUUUCCUAAAAGUAGGCGUCUUAAACCGAAGGACUAUGAAUAGCUAUUACUUUGAACCGAAGGCGCGAAGAAGAAAAAUCAGGCGCGGGUGCAGAUAGACUCGGCUUUCUACCCACGUAGCGGUAAGGAGUGCAACUGAUUAAUGGAACUUUCAAUGAAAUAGUGGGACUGAUUUUGAUCCAUAUUCAAAAACAAAGGUCCAGGUGCAAAGAAUAUUGCGAGGAGGAGCAGCUUAAUUUCCAAUUAAAUAUCGGUGAAGGAGACUCUACCCUAUUGAACCUCAGUCCUAUCAAUCUAUUAUUUGAUUUUGACACUUCUCAAAAAGGAAAGAUGAACCGCCGAGUCCUUCCGCGCUCCGCUCCUUUCAGUUCCAUAAUACUUUUUAUAUUUAACACGGAACGCAAACGAAAAUUGAAUUCAGCCUUAUCCAUAGAUCUUUGCACCUAGCGCCAGAAAAGAAAGAAUCUCAUCUUGACCUCAAUAUCCUUUGAGCCUUGUAGAGGCGCAUAUUGCUCAAUUUGAGAACUAAAAACCUAUCUUUAUAGAAGUCAUCGACCGCCUUUCUAAUUCUUUCUAAUAUUUCAAAAUGAAAGAUGAACCGAAACGUAAUUCAGGCUCCGUGGGCUGCACCCGUCUCAUUGAUAAGGACAUAUUAGCUUGGAGCCUCAGUCGUCUCAUUGAUAAGGACAUCUUUGCAAAUUCAGACCGGAGCGGUUCUCGUUCUUUAGUAGUUCGAUCGGCUACUAGAGACGAGCAAAGAGCCUAACUUCAAAGGAGAAAGUAGGGUAGAAAGAUGUCCCAUCUCGAUUCUACUCUUUUUGCCCCAGCCUCCAGCUUCUUAUUUGACUCCUCCGCAUUCCUUUUAUUCAGAGUAUUUGCACAUGAAAAACCUAUUCCAGCAAAAAGACGCUCACAAUCGAAGCUAAGCUCUCACUCUAUCUUCCGGGAAGAGGGAUUCACUUUAGCCCUUCCUGCUUAGUAUUCAGCGAGAAAUGGGGACAGGCAGGCAGGUAAGCGACCACCCAAUACCUCCUUUCCACGAAAACUUCAACCGGCAUAGGCAAGAGAGGAAGAGGUAAAAGAGAUCGGGUCGGGCUUCUACGAACCAUUCCUAGACUGAAAGCAAAGUUCUCUUAGCCGGCUCAAAUUCCGAUCAACAAGUUGGAGGUAUGGCUGAGUGGCUAAAGGCAUUGGUUUGCUAAAUCGACAUAGAAGAAGAUUCUAUCAUGGGUUCUCAUCCCAUUUCCUCCGGCACGGAAGUGGAAGGGGCGAAAUUACGUGAGAGAAAGAAGGGUGGAGUCCCCCCGAGGACUGAAUAGCAGAACUUAGUGACUAGGAGAUAGAGUAAGUUGCGCCUUCUUUUUCUUUGACCGGCCUAUCCUCUUUCGAUAAUUCUUUCUUUUUCAAAUAUUCUUCAUAGUCCUACAAUAUCCCUGUCUUAUGGAGCCUCAGUCGCAAAGUUCAUUCAAAAACAAAGGUCCAGUCCGACAAAGAAUAUUGCUCAUUUGAUAGGCUUUCUUUUCACACCGUCCGAAGGCGCAAAGAGCGGUCUAAUCUUUCUCUCCGUCCGGAGUCCGCAGUCCGCAGUGCCAAAGAAAGGUCCAGGUGAUUUAUCCGUAGUCCGGAGUCCGGAGGAUUCUUAUCCGUAGGACUAUCCAUAUGGAAGUAGGACCAUCCGUAAUUAACCGAAGUCGGACUAUCCGUAAUUAACCGAAGUAGGACUAUCCAUAUUCAGGAGCGGAAUCAAGAAUAGACCUGUCAGUAUCCGGACCAUAAACUCAAACUAGAACUGAUCCAUGUGAAUUUCUGGGAUAGGCUUGAUUCUUUCAUUGCGUUUUCCCGGCUUUUUUGCUUCUAAAUGUGACUUUCUCGGUUUUCUCUAAAUAACGAUAAUUGUCUAAUUUUGACUGAUUUUUCAUGAUUUCUUGCUACUUUAUAGGCCCAAAACCUAGCAUUUCCCUCCGUCAAAAAGAGAGUAUGGAACUGCCCAUAUUAAGCAAAGAUGUCUGAAAUCUAGCAGAUGAAUUUUGUUUUGAGCUUCUUUCAUUCUCGUUAAUGAGUUCAUUCUGCUUUCAUUCGAGUUAAUGAGCUGUCCUACGUGCCAAAGAAAGGUCCAGGGUCCGGAGUCCGCAGGAUUCUUAUCCGGAGUCCGGAGGAUUUAUCCGUAGGACCAUCCGUAAUUAACCGAAGUAGGACUAUCCAUAUGGAAGUAGGACCAUCCGUAAUUAACAGAAGUCGGACUUUCCGUAAUUAACCGAACUUUGCGCCUUCUUUUUCUUCUUUGGGCCUUCUACGCUUAAUAAUGGGGAUCUGCUCAAUGACAAAGGCGAGAAGACAGGUCCGAAGGCGCAAUGAAAUAUGCGUUGCGUGAGGUGCAAAGAGUUCGAGACAAGACGGAAUUGACUUCUCUAAUUACGAGAUAAUGGGGAGAUUUCUCAUGCAAUCCAUUCGUUGCCUGAACUUUGCUUUGCAAUACCGCUCUGUGGGAAUCAGACUAAUCCGUGUACAAGAAGAGAGCUCUGGGAAAACUCCCCCGAUCUCGGGAACCUUCUGCGCCCCAGCCCAAGCAAGUCAAGCCUCCUUGAUCGACCUAUGUUCUACCUUCAUUCUCGUCCUUAUUCCCUGAAUUGGGUUGAGAAAGCACGAAAAAUCCUCCAUUUGAACAUCCAAAGUAGUAGGUAGGCGGUUGAAUCAGACCCCGAUCUGAAAAGAGGUGUCCCUUUGACGGAGUCACUGAGGGAUGAGAGCCAGAGGAGGCGUGGAUAGGUGCCCAACCGCGCUCGGGCCCACGUAGCGGUAGAAAGAACGAAAGUCGAGCAGGAAAUCCGGCAGUUAGAGGUCUACGACCGAUAGCAAUAGGGUGAGUCGGGUCUUUCUUUCUUUUCUAUAUUCUGAAUUCCAUUACUGAAUUUGAGUCAGCUAGGUUCAAAGAAUAUUGACCAGCUAAAGAAAUUUCCUACUCAAAGAACCGCGUAGUGGGCUGAAAACAUGAAGACUAUUAUUCUCUGCCUUAUUAAUCUUCCGAGAACAUCGAUAACUAAAACCUUCCAACUUUCUCUCUUAUGUUUUGUUUAUGGCGUAGAAGGCGUAGAAGGAGGAUAGGCGAACCUCUUACUAGUAGGCAAAGCAAAGGCAAAGGACGGCUCGACUGAAAGGAGUCAAUGAACAAGGGUCCAAGGCUUUCUCGUUCAAAGCCAAUUUGGCUAAGAUCUCAUUCCCCGAGCCGAGAUAGGAUGAGGCUAACCCUCUUUCUCAACUUCUCUUUCUGAAAGAACCGGAACUCUUAAGCAAGGAAUUAAGCAAGGAAAUAGGUCCCCGAGUCUUCUUUCUCUUUAAGUUAUUGAAUUAGCCCAUCAAAAAAGACUCCACAAGAGCGGACUCAGACUAAAGAGAUCAUGCCGAUCCCACUCCUUCCCCUCAACCUCUAGACCGAGGUCUCUCCUUCUAACCUCAAGAGCUGACUCUUCAUCAAGACCUUCCCGCGUAGUGGGCCGAUUCCCUGCAAGAAGGACCUAACUGCAUCUUCUUCCUUAACUCUUCUUGAUAUCGCCCUUCCCUUAACGGGAUACCGAAAGAAGGACUAAUGACCGGACUAAGUCAACUUCUUAACGGAAACAUAGAAUGAAAGAGAGAAAGAACAAAGCAAAGAGAAGAAGAAAGGGGCACCCAACUCGGGACAGGACAGCAGGCACUACAGGGACAAGAACUUAUGCAAGAAGAAGAGCUCGCCUUUACCGGACGGUAGGGCGGUCUUAGGGGAAGAUUCAGGGAGAGGAGGGGACAGAAGAGGUCUUAGGGGACACCCACGGAGCGGGGGACAUCCUAGGGAGAACAAGACAGCAUAUCAAAACUCUCUUGAUAAAGGGUAAAAGAGAGAAGAACCACAAGAGGAAGAGCUAAGAAACCUCUAAGCUCAUCGGACUUCCUUCUUUCCACUAAAGAUGAACGGAUUCAUUCUGAAAAAUUCUUUGAACCAGAGCUUGAUUUUUCAAGAACUGCUGAAAGAAAAGCCACUUAAGAAAGACAAGAUCCGCGCACCAAGAUCCUCAACCUCUCCCACUGGGGACAACGGGCCGAAACAGGGACCUCUGGUCGGGUCCAGCCAGGUUCUUCGGGGAAUGAGUCUCACUCUCUUUCCGAAGGAGAGCUCGAGCUAAGAAGUUGACCUUCUUUAGGAGGGGACUAAAGCUUGAUCAUUCCUAGCUAGCCCGCGCCCAGCCUUAAUGUGGGAUCUUAGAACAAAGCGCUUCUGAUCUGGGGUCCGCGUAGGAAUAGGUUUCUAGAUCUAUAACCUAUUUUCUCCUCAAAGAGUUGAUGAGCAUCAAAAACUUGGCUAUUUCCCUAUUACAGGAAAAGUGGAUUUUCUAUACUUUUCUGAGAGAUAGAUAAUCAAGAUUUUUGGAGUCCCUCUUUUUCAUUCAAAGUGAGAGCUGGAAUGGAAGAAAAAGAAGAAAAGACGAAGGCAGAACCUACUAAAAUACUAAAAUCCACUUAAGGCGCAAAGAAUAUUGCGGGAGGCAAGGCGCAAAGAAUAUUGCGAAAGCCUAGCGAACGAGAAAAAGGAAGGAAUUGCAUUUUGAUGCAAAAGGAGUGGGAACCCACUAGUAAGAGGAAAGCCUACCAUAAAUCGAAAGACAUAAAAUAGGAUAAGUUCCAUUAAUCAGUCCCGCAAGAAAUUCGUAAAUGAAUCAAUGAACAAGCAAUGAAAAAUCAAGCUCCAGAUGACUUCACCCGCACUGAAACUCUGAUGAACGAUAAUAGGCAGCAGCUUACGAGGUUCUUGCUGUGGUUGCUGGAGAAGUUAGUUUUCUUGAACUGCUUGUUCUAGCAAAGGGCUAGUGAAUACCUCGAAUGAGAAUGCUACCGCUCCGUGGGCUUCGUCCGCAACUGAGAAUACCACUUGAUCUUAGAAAGAGUAUCAGCUUUCUGGAACCUUCUAGAAUCAGAGAUAUUCUACCCAACUCGGCCAACUAAGCUUCAACGGAGGAAAGAAUCAGACUCAUUCUUAGAGUCGAGCUUCUUCCUGCAUUGGUCGUAUUAUUUCCGCUAACCAAUACAGUCAAGCCUGCCGAUUCGUCCUGGAACGACUUAGAUUCUGAGUUAGGAUGAUCUUACCUAUUACGAAUAAGUCGUACCUCACCCUAUUCUUGGAAUAGCUGCUUGGAAUAGCCGCUUGGGAUCGCUCCUUCUUUCUAUACAGGAAAGGAUAAGGGUGGAUGAUAGCAGGGCCUAGCUCGGAAACAUCCCUUUCGAUUUCUAUCUUCAAUUUCAGAAAGAGAGCAAAGCAAAGAAGCUCCGCGGGAAAGCUUUCCACUCCACUUUCUAGUUUGAAUGUCGAGCAGCUUUGCUCAUAAGCCUAUCGCUAUCGGCGCAUAUUCCAACGGAUGGAUUGAUUCCCUUUCCUCUUUAGAUAUUAUGUCCACUGGGACCCGUCCAGAUCCCCAUAUUCAUUAAGCGAAGGACUAGAAAUCCAUUAUUUUUCAUGAGUGGAAUCUGAAUGGCUUUCCCGGCCGAGUCUCAUUCAUCUGAAUUAGUAGUAGGGUCGGUGCCCACGUAGCGGUAUGAACUUAAGCGAGUUCUAGAAGCAAGCUAGAAUACGAGACUGAGCCCACGCGUCUUUUACCUCAAAAAGAAAGGCAAUAUUCUUUGCGCAUCUGCACCCCGUAGAUAGGAGCAAAGAAUAUUGCUCAAGAAUUCCGCUAAAGUUUCAGCUAAGAGGAGCAAAGAAGAAAAUAAAAGGGACCAGAUGACUAUCCAUAUUGCCUCUAGUCUGAUUCCAAAAAAAAGCUGUGAAAUCCAAACUUUAUACAUGCCUUGCUGAUUCUUUUCUCUUUUUCCAAACGAUUCAUUCCGCCACUAGGCCGCCCCGUGGGUGCUUCAGCCUGAAAUCAUUCUUUCAUAAGACACAGGAAGAAGGAAAAAAAGAAUAAAUCAGACUGAGUCUCAUUGCCGGAAACAAGCCAUUGAUUGGCUGCAAGUAGAUUUAGAAGAUCAAGCAUAAAGCAUAUGGCUCGCCUCAGAGAUAGAAAGCUAGGGAUUCCUUCCAAAAUCUUGAGUCGACCUGGGUCCUCCGUUUUAGAGUCCUACUUCUGUUAAUUACGGAUGGUCCUACGGAUAAAUCACCUGGACCUUUCUUUGGCCCAUAUGGAUGGUCCUACGGAUAAAUCACCUGGACCUUUCUUUGGCACUCCGGACCUGUCUUAUGGCACCGCUACGUGGGCUUUCUUUGAUCAUGACUCAUCAAAUUUCAUUGAUCCUAACUAUUCCUUGCUCCUCCGGAGGGAUCAUGACUCUGAUUUUUAGUGGAAUAGCUCCUAACUCCGGCGCAUAUUGCGAAGGCGCGAAGAAGAAAAAGAAGGUGCGGGUGCAGAUAGGCUCGGCUUUCUAUUAAGGAGUGCAACUAUUCAUCAUAUUUUCUCGCAGACGUUAGGCUCAAUUCAAUUUGAGGCCUAGGCAGAAUCAAUUUCAUAUGUGUUUUUCUCAAUAUUCUUUGAGCCUCCCCCACUCCUAUUCAGUCGUUCCGCUUCGCGCCAUACUAAUGUUUUGGAUAGUCUUCGUCAUCAUCAACACCUCUUGAGUCGUCUGAACUUAUUCUAUAUAAACCAAUUAAGCUUCGCUUCUUCUCAAAUUCAAAGAGCCUUGCCUCCGUCCUUUUGACUCGUUCAUUCCUUGUUGUAGGUCUUUUGAUAGUCUUCUUUAAUGGAAAGAAAAAGACUACUCCGUAGGAGCGGUCCGGAGGACAUUCCUUGUACUUAAAACCUUGCCGUAGGUCCCUCUUUCUUUCUCAUCGACUUCCACAACAACUACUGAAAGAGCUACUUCAGCUUCAACUGCUACAAAAAGAACUUUUCUGUCAGCAAUCAAUAAACAAAACAAGGCUCUUCUCAAUUAAUCUUCGCCUUUCUUCUUCAACAGAUAAUUCUCUUUCUAAUUCAAUACCUAUAUAUAGAAUACUUGGGGCGAAGGAAGAGCCACUAGGUGGUGGUAGGCCCACUACUGGGAUUGGUUAGACUCGACCAAUAAGGAGAGGCGAAAGGAGAGGGAUGAAAUAGCUCGACUGAAAGGAGAGGGAGCCUCAUCCCUUUCAUCAGUGGCUGCUGCCUGAGGCAGUAGCUUUGAUUGUUCCGGUUGAGAAUAUUAUGUAGAUAAGAGUAUAUUCACUCAUAUUCCCAUUAGUAGGAGAAAUGCAGGUUUAGAAUAUUUGACUCGGCUAGGCUUUCGACUUCUUAGUGGAAUUCAUGAUCCGACCUAUCUUUCUUUGAUACAUUCUUAUAUGAGUCCGACUAUCCACUAGGGAAUGGUAAGAGGAGUGAGGCAAGAUUUUUCUUGUAGUAUAUCCGCUACAUGGAAUAGAGUUGACCGAAGAAGGGGUCCCACUUGGAGAUUCAGUCGAACUACCAUACCUUGCGCGGUUCGAGUGGUCCGACGUCUUCUUUUAUUUCAGACUGAUCUUCCUUCCCCCUUUAGAGCUGGGGCAAGAAGGAUGCAUUCAGGAUUUCACGAAGUAUGUGUCCAGAUAGCCCAAAGUCUCGAUAGUUAGCUCUCGGUCUUCCGCUUAAAAAAGAAGGUCGAUGAUUGCUAACGUAGAAAGGUGGGGAUUUUUCCAUGAAUUUCCCAUUUCUCACUCUGGAACUUUGCUUCUUUCUUUUUUGAAGGAUCGAGGUGCAAUGAAAUAUGCGAAUAAUAUUUAACAAGGUGAGGCGGAAGGAUCAAUGAAAUAUGAUUGAUGGCUCAGUUGUUCACUUUGCAUAAAACCCCAAUUUCAUUUAGGUAGUCACUCCAUUUCCUUCUUGUCCCCUGAGCCUAUACCCUCUCCCUAAAGAGAAGAACCUACUAUUUGCAAGAUUAAGGAAGGAUGCCUUCUACGUGGGCCGCCUUCUUCGGACGUCGAUCAAUCUAUCACAGGCCGCUCUCUCAUUGUCUGAUUUUUUGUUGUCUGAUCACACUCAAAAUGAUGUAUCUACUUAUCGUAUUUUUGCCCCUGCUCGGUAGUGGAGUAGCAGGUUUUUUCGGACGUUUUCUAGGAUCUGAAGGAACCGCUAUAAUCACCACUACGUGCGUUUCAUUCUCUUCUCUCUUCUCUUUUCUUGCUUUUUAUGAAGUCGCACUGGGAGCUAGUGCUUGCUAUCUAAGAAUUGCUCCAUGGAUCUCAUCGGAAAUGUUUGAUGCUUCUUGGGGCUUCUUUGGCGACCGUGAAGUCACCGGAUGAAUUGCCGAGUAGAU